rnacentral:lncRNA from 1 species
GCAAAAGAUAACAGUUGCUGACAAACUCAGACUGGAAAACAUCCCAUUACUAGCAACGCACAAACUAUACUGAAACUUUAAAUCUGGAUUUGCGUUCGCAGGACUGAGACCUGCAGGGUUAAUGGACAGAAACGAGUUCUCUCUUUUUAAUCGUUUUAUUCUUGAAGAUGAACAGGAAAAGGCACAGAAGGCACAAGGUAAUCUGGGUAUGAGGAAAUACUAAUCUCUAAAGCAGUCCACGUCACAGCAACUACAAAGAUUUGCUACAGGAUGUUCUCCUGAGCAGAAUGCAUUGAUAGAUGGAGCAGUACAGAUCUAUAAGACGAGACACUUGCCACUCGUAUAAAUUUCACCAUAAAUGAAUGGUCACUGGUGUCCCAUGGGUCAAUUUAUUUAGCACGUUGCACUGUUGAGCCUAAUUUUCCUCUUUCAACAUUUCUCUAAUCAUUUCUAGGCUAGCUGAUCAAAGGUUAUAAAAUGCAUGUGUUAUUUGGUGAGCCACAAAAAGAUCUGCGAAAAUAGCUUAAAAAACUGCAUUGUAUUCUGCUUUCCUAGUACCCUGCUUUUAAAUUAAUCUUAAAGUUCUAAAUAUAAGUAGGUUUAUUACAUUGACUAUUUCAUGUCAUACAAUUUUGCUUGCAGUACUUUGAGUUAUUCGUGGUAGGAAGGUGACCUUGGGAAAAAAGUGGGCUUCAAGCACAUGUGUGUGUAUGUCUUUAAUUGAAGGGUUAGAAGAAGACUAACAUAUUUUACAGAUUAGGAUACAUUUAUCAUAAUGCGACUUUAUGUUUUGUUUUCAUAGAAUUUAAAUUGGAAUGUGUUUAAAGGAAUCAGUCUACUGCUGGAUAUGCUAAAAUAACCAUUGUGGUAAAUAAUCUAACUCUUUAUCUGCAAGUGGUAAAUGAUACAAUACUGUGUUUUUUAUGAAUAAUUUUAUGUGUCCCAAAUGAUACGUUUUUUAAAUCAUUUAACCAAAGAUGUAUUUUUGUUUUGAGUCAAAUUAAGGCAGUAAUUAAACCAGUAAUGCAUUAUCACAGGUAAUACAUAGCUACAUGCCCUUUUAGUUUUUGGAGUUCAGUAAAAUGAUGACCUCAUCAGUGUUUGCUAAACUGACCCCCGGAAAACAAAAAAUACAUUAAUAAGUAAAUUAUUUUUACUACUUCUUUUUUAUUCACUUUUCUUGUACACGGGCGAGUCAGUGGUUCAUGGCAUCAUAUUAAAUGGUAACUGUCAUUUCUCAGUAUUUUGAAUAUUAUGUUUACUCAUUCCCUAUAAUUAAAGCGGCACUGUGGCUGUCUGGGGAGUUCGCAGAAUUUGCAAAGACCCCCGACUGUGACAUCACCAAUUGGGGUCAGGUGGGGCAGGGAAAUGUGAGUUUUACUUACAUGAACAUGUCCCUCUCUGGGUCUGCCGUCUUCCUCCUGCAGGUCCUCUUUAUCUCCUGGCACUUUACCGCCAAUGAUGUUACUGCUGUUUUCUCACGUUUGCGCGAGACUACAGCAUUGAGGUCUAUGGAGGGUCCUGUGGGACCCAUCAUAGACAGAGCCAAUCCCUGCAGUUGUCACUAGUGAUGGUCCCUACUUUGUCUUAUGUCUUUACUUAGAAAUAAAUGAAAAAAAGAAAGGCAGAGCAGGGAAGAGGAAGAGUAGAGCAAGCGAUUGGCAGUACGGUGUGACAGUGCUGCUUUAACAAAAAUUGUUAUACCUCCUUUUCCUACAAGGGAGUACUGUCUGCCCUCUUAGCUCCCUGUCAAUCAUUGUUAUAAGCUCUGUCCUUUGGACCUGACAUCAUAGUGAAAGAAUACGGAGAAAUAAAACAAUGUUGCUAUUUAUGCCCUACCUGUGUCUAACUGAACUGGAGUGUGAUGUCAUUUUGUAAAUCUUUAACUGCAAUAAAAAUGCAUAACGCAAAGUUAAGAGUUAUAGGAGGUUUUAAAUAUUUUAUUAAAUGGUGCAGUUUUUAGAGAAAUUAUAUUUCCCCUUUAAGUCAGAAAUCUAUGUCUAGAUCCUGUGUUUUUGAUAAAACACAACGUGUGAUUAAUAGUACAUUAUGACGUACAGGUUGGAGAUUAACUUCUUUGCAGAGUAAAUAUUGGAAAACCUUAUGCUUAUCUGAGAUAUUAGUAAGACAGACAAAGCUCAUGAAUUUGAUUUCACCAAAAAUGAAAUAUUUUUUUAUUACCUAAAAACCCAACUAAAGAAGUUUGUCUAGUCCAGGGUGUGUUUCAUUGGUGUUUUAGACGUAACCACGUGAAGGUGCAUAGCUGCCAUAGUUUGUACUUCGAAGAUAGGCAUACUCCUUGACCAACAAUAGAACACAAGACUUCUCCCUCAGCCAGUGCUCCCUUACAAGCAGGUCCGUCUUUAAUAUUGAAUGGACACUGGGCAGGCAUUUGCUUGGCCCCCUGGGCCUAGCAUGCCAUCACAUACUCCACCCCCCACAAAAAAACCAACACAAAUAAAAACAAAUACACACGCACUCAUUUUUACUGAGACAAAAUAUACACACGGACGCAUACAGAUGCAGACACUGACAUACAUAGAGAUACACACAUACACAGGUACAGACAUUCAAAGACAGAUACACAUACACACAAGUGCAUACACAGACACACACAGGCCCGGACUGGCCAUCGGGCACACCGGGCAAAUGCCCGGUGGGCCGCGGUGGCCGUGGGGCCGAGGCCGGCAGGGGAGGUCCCAGGAUCUCCCCUGCCGGUCUAUGCAGGGCUGGCACUAUCCGAGCGCCGGCCCCGCUGUCUUCCAUGGAGGGCCGAUGGGGAGAUCAAAGAUCUCCCUCACCGGCCCAUUUAAAUAGACCUGCGGCUGGGGAGGGAGGGAGAGGACCCGGCGGAGCUCUGUCUUGCAGCUCCGCCGGGUUUCUCUCGCGAGAUCCGGAGCGUUGCCAUGGCAACGCCCCGAUCUCGCGAGAGAGUUCACUCACCACUGGACCACCAGGGAUGGUGUGCGAGUGCCGGUGCCCCCCCUCCCAGCUACCACGUGCCUGUCCCCCCCUCCCAGGCUAAAGGUAAGAAGGGAGGGGGGGGGUUUAGUUUUUUUUUUGCUUAGUUUUUAUUUUAUUUUUUUAUAUAUUUACCCCCACUUAAUUUUUUAUUUGUUUAUUUACCCCCCAACACACAACAUUUAUACACAGCACUAUCACACUCAGCAUUCUCAGCACUCACACAACACUCUCACACACAUCACACCCAGCACUCUCACACCCAGCACUCUCACACCCAGCACUCUCACACCCAGCACUCUCACACCCAGCACUCUCACACUCAGCACUCUCACACACAGCACUCUCACACUCAGCACUCUCACACACAUCACACGCAGCACUCUCACACACAUCAUAGCACUCUCACACACAUCAUAGCACUUUCACACACAUCAUAGCACUUUCACACACAGCACUCUCACACACAUCAUAGCACUCUCACACACAGCACUUUCACACUCAGCACUCUCACACACAGCACUUUCACACUCAGCACUCUCACACACAUCACACGCAGCACUCUCACACACAGCACUAUCACACCCAGCACUCACAACACACAACACUCUCACACACAGCACUCUCACACACAGCGCAGCACUCUCACACAUCAUAGCACUCUCACACACAUCACACGCAGCACUCUCACACACAUCAUAGCACUCUCACACACAGCACUCUCACACACAUCAUACACAGCAAUCUCACACACAGCACUCUCACACACAUCAUACACAGCAAUCUCACACAUCGCAGCACUCUCACACACAUCAUAGCACUCUCACACACAUCAUAGCACUCUCACACACAGCACUCUCACACACAUCAUACACAGCAAUCUCACACAUCGCAGCACUCUCACACACAUCAUAGCACUCUCACACACAUCAUAGCACUCUCACACACAUCAUACACAGCAAUCUCACACAUCGCAGCACUCUCACACACAUCAUAGCACUUUCACACACAGCACUUUCACACUCAGCACUCUCACACACAUCACACAACACUCUCACACACAGCACUCAGCACUCAGGCACAUCACUCUCACACACAUCACACUCAGCACUCACACACAUCAUACACAGCACUAGCACACUCAACACUCAUACACAGCACUAUCACACUCAGCACUCACACACAUAACACACAACACUCUCACACAUCACUCUCACACACAUCACACAUCAUACACAGCACUAUCACACUCAGCACUCACACACACUAAAACAGACCUUAUUACACAAUACCACACCAUGACCAGCUCACUCUGCACAAACGUAAUACCACAAACAGGCUCCAAACACAUGCACAAUACUCUUUCCUGGCCCUUUUGUCUCCUGGUAUCCAUUUAUAGAGACAUCAGAGACAAGUUGCAAGGAAACAGUGCAAGCAUGUUAUUAAAUUUGCUUGCACUGUGCAGAACAAAUACAGGGCUUUUUUCUCAUGCUAGAGCUCUUCAGCAGAGCUCUGCGCAUGGUCUGCCCUGAAGAGCAUUGAACCAACAUGCUCACUUUGAGAGGGAGCGUGUUUGUCAUGAGUGAUGACAAAACACACCCUCUCUGCCCCGCCCCCUUCUUAGUGGGCCGCUGUGAUAAAAAAAUGCCCGGGCUGAAUUUUUUUCCCAGUCCGGCCCUGGACACAAAUGCAGAUACACAUCUACACACAUCCAGAUACACAGAGGCAGUGACCUCCUCCCAGCAUUGUGACAUCAUCACAGGGGGCCCGGUUGCGUUCUUAAAGCGCCACAGCGCUGACUGGGCUCCCUAAAAGACAUUGCCGCCAGGUGGCCCUUAGAUCAAGAGCUGCAUGAUGGGCCCCCUCAUUGUGCGGCCGGCGGUGGUAGUUCCACACGAGCCGUUUGCACCACGGCGGCCAGUGGGCUGAAGGGGCAGCUGCUUUGGGCCCCCUAGGAUGACAGGGCCAGGGGCAGCUGCCCCUUUUGCCCCGUGUUAAAGAUGGCCCUGCUUACAAGUCAUGUAGGACGGUUUUCUGUAGGUGGAAAUCGCAGUGGGUGGGUAUCACAGCGUCUAUGUUUUCGUUGCUUCUUGUUUGUAAUGAUCCAGGCGUAAACUCAGAUAAUAAGAAUAAGAAAAGCAUGGGUAUGAUAAUUAGACACACUGUAUUAGCACUGUGUAUUCUUUUAAGUCAAACUGUUUUAGAGUAAACUAGAAAACCUGUUUUUGUGAAUUUAUUUUUUUUUAAGAUAAAUUGACCUUUGUAUCUUUAGGCUGUCCUUUAGCAAAUAUAGUAAUACGGAAUUAAAUUAUGAUAGACGAUUGCAGAAACCAGCUCGUGAGGCACACCUGAAAAGGGCAGUAGUAUGUGAUCUAAUGGGGAAACUAAUGUUGAUUCAAGAAUAAUCAACAGUUUAACUGAGCCAGCUUUGCACUGCCAGCCUGUGACUUAAUUACCAAACACAAUACUGAACGCUACCGUGGGUGGAGAGAUCAAACACAACUAGUAUUUCCACUAACGUGCAGAGAAGAAGCAGUUUUUUUGGGACAUGGAAAUAGUUUUUGGGACCUAUUUACAAAAUUCCUACUUAGGAUGAAAUUUAGAUAAACUUUUCUUUAAAAUCGAGAGAAAUGUCUGCUCGGAGGAAAACCUUCAAGCCAGCUAUUCACUAAGCACGAGGUAUUGUAAAAGUUACCUAUUACCUAGUUACCUAGCAACCAACCUCUACUGACCAAAGGACUUCACGUAGAGAACUUUUUAACAAAAGAAAAAACAGGGGACUAGCUGCACAGUUAUAGCAAGUUGGCUGCCCACAGAGGUCAUUUUUUUACUCAGACUCAUACAGUUCUGGGCAGUUGUUCAAAUUGUGAAUUUCACGUCGGCGCUUGUGAUUUCUCAACCUGAACAACAGUGUAACAUGAAAGCUCAUUGGCAGCACUAUGAUAGUUAAAAAUAAAUAAAGACAUAAUAAACAAAAUCAUACGAAAAUAAAUCAUACUUAGCUAUUUGGGUAUAAUUAAUAGUUUAUCUAGAAAUUCUUCUGGCAUCAGGAUGCAAUCCCUUUUUUUUUUAUAAGUUUCCACAUUGAUAAAAUAACGUUAUGAUAAGUCUCCCCAGAAGUCACACCUUCGGGCUCAUAAAGGGAUACCAGAGUCACCAAGACAACUUCAUCUCAAUGACGUGGUUUGGGUGCAGUGGUCUUUCCUUUUAACCCUGAAAAGUAAAACAUUGUAGGUUUUUAGAAGCUGCAAUGUUUACGUUGCAAUGUUAAAGGAAUUCUAUAGUGUUAGAAAUACAAAGUUGUUUUUCCAACACUAUAGUGACUUCUGGUCUGCACCUACCUUACAUCCACCAUUCUGACAUAUAAAGGAUUAAACAACAUUGAUUAGCUCACCCAAUUCCAGCGCCAAUGCCCCUCGUUGCUGGGUUGGCACUCCGCCUCCUCUGACAUAAUCUGGUGGGAGGAAUCCAAUGCGCAUGCAUGCGAGCUUCACAAGCGCAUUAGGCCAUCACCUUAGGAAGGCAUUGACUCAAUGAUUCCUAUCGAGAUUUUAAUGAUGUUGGAUGUCCUCAUGCAGAGCAUUAAGACGUCUAGCGUCAUUUAGGCAGCCUGGACUCUGGUAAACUCCCAGAAAUAUCUCUAGUGGCUGUCUGGUAGACACUAGAGGCUGUCUUAGUGCUGCAAUGUAAACAUAGUACUUUUUCUAAAAUUGCAAUGAUUGACAUUGCAGGACUAAGUGGGAAAGGGACACUGCACCCAGACCAACUUAAUGAGAUUAAGUGGUUUGGGUGCCUAUAGUGUCCCUUUAAGUCCACCUCUAGUGGAUGUCAGCACUUAUGGUGCUUCUGUGGCACUGAUUAAGUAAAACGUAUUUACAUGACAUGGAAGCCCCCAUUGGAAUACCUUGAAUAAAUGUUUUUGUAUUGGAAAGUUUGAAUGAAUGUGGUACUCGUCAUGCAUGCGCAUGAGGAGCAUUGGAUCGGACAUUAACGGAGGAGGCAAUGACAUGACAUCAUGGGAGGCGAACUAUGCUAAGGGAGACUCAGCUCUGGAUAAAAGUAAGUAAAACAUUUGUUGUUGUUGUUUUUUAAUUGCAAAUGGGAGGGACACCUAUGUAGAUAUAGAGACAGAGGCACUAUAGGGUUACAAAUACAGGUUUGUAUUUCUAACGCUAUAGUUUUUUUUGUUAAACAUCAGCUCUUGUGACUGCUAAUGAUUUGUAGAUAAUCAUGGUCAAAAAUUGGAUUAGUUUCCAAGCUUCGGGGGAAGAUCUCUGUGGCCUUAUGUACCUAAUGUCUGCCCUUACAGGUAUUGUCCACUUCUUAAUGUUCACUUCACAUACUAGUGACUUGAAUAUAAAACAGUAAAAAGCAUGCUUAGUAAUUUGUUACUGUAGCAACAGUGCCUGGACAUUCUAAAGGGUUGAUCCUGUACAUGAUCAAAUGGGAUCAGCAUGGUUAGGCUGAAGUAAAGAUUCAGAAGUGUAGGUCAACAUUAGCUGUUAGAUACACACAUUUACAUAGGUAGACAUUUCGCACACAUACAAAUACACUCUUUUUUCUAAUCUCAGGGCAAAUUACACACUCAUACAUACAGGACCAGAUUUCCCACAAGGCCACUGAGACCAUGUCCUCUGGGUGCUAAGUUUGAGAGAGGCUACACUUCCGGUGGGGAGCAUGUGGUCUGCACUUAUGGUGGGUGCAGACCACUUUAAAUGCUCCCUUGUGGUCCCAGCAUUCAUUGAUUGAAUAAGAGUGGCUUAUCAUGGCAUUAUUCUGACUCUUUUAUUGAGUGUAUCUCAAUGUUUAAAUGUCUCAAGUGUGAUAAUAAUUCCCCCCCCCCCCCAAUAAAAGACAUGGAUACUGUUAUAUUCUAGCAGUAGCAAGUAACAAGACAUGGACACUUUUGAUCUUUUUCUUCCAAUAGUUGCUGAGUAUAACAGAAUCCGCAUUCUCUCACUUGGCAAAGAAAGAAAAGCACUUAGCAAUUUGUGCAUUAUUAACAGGUUAUCUAGAAAUUCUUCUGGCAUGAGAAGGCACUCCCUUUUUUCAUUUUUUUCCCUUAAGUUUCCACAAGGAUGAAAUUACUGAAGUCAUUCUUAUUUCCGUGCAAGCUCCUGCAAGAUCGUCUGGGGAAAAAAAAAGAAGCUAAAACGUUACCAGGGGAAUAAGCAUACACAUAGGAGCUGUGCAUAGUUUUACUCCCUAAAUAUUUUCCUCUUUACGGGAACUUUACCUGAAAUGACCUUCGCUUGAGUUCCGUGUCUACAAAUCAAAACAAUGACUGGUGGGGGUGGGUUAUAAAAUAGCUGAAAAUAUUUUUUAAUCAAUUGGUUAUAGGAAAUGUUAAUACACAGACUUUCGAUUUACCUACUAACCUAAAAACAAGUUUUUAAUUUAUACAUAUGGAAUAGCACAUAUUGUGUAUUGAAAGUCAAUCUCUCAUACAGCACCAGGGCAAACAUUUCCUGAAUUUCUCAAAAAUGGUGGGAUUCACAGUCUGCCUAGAAGUAUUAUUCCUGUAAAUUCUGCCCCACUAAGCUAUUCAUGUAGAAAAAAAGUAGCUGCAAAGAGAGCUUGCACCCCUCUCCUUCUCCCAUUAGCUGCUGCAAGUGUGACUCUUGACAAUCUCAGAGAGGUCAGAACCAGAUCAGAAUUAAUUAUAAGGUGACCUUAAAUGAAACACUAUAUAGUGUUAGCAAUACUAAUAUGUAUUCAUAAUGCUAUAGAGCCCCAGUCACCAUUUAGGUGACUAGGGCCCCGUUCCGCAGCGAAUAAAUUGUUAAAUUACCAUUUAUUUGCUUACCUUAAUCCAGUGCCGGGCUCCCUCGGCAAUGGUGACCUCUCCUCCUCCAUCAACGUCAGCUUCUGAAUGGAGCCGAAUGAGCAUGCGUGGCCAGAGUGGCUGUCAUGGAGACAGCCACUAGAGGGUGAGUUAACCCUGCUGUGUAAACAUAGGAAUUUAUCUGAAACUGAUAUGUUUUCAGCCGCAGGGUUAAAACUAGGGGGAACUGGCACCAAGACCACUUCAUUGAGUUGAAGUGGUCUGGGUGCCUAAAGUGAUCCUUCAAGCAGACAUCAAUGGGGUGGCCUACUGGUAGACUGCCCAGAACCCUGUGACUUCUUAAUCCGGACAUGCAUGAAAUAUAAAAUAUGCAUAAUUCUGAAGUAUAGUAAAGUGCCACUGUCACCUUUCACCAGGGCCGGACUGGGGAUACAAGAAAAAAAUCUAUGUAAUUAUCAUUACCUUAGUAAACCCUCUUUUAUUACAAGCCUACUCGUUCGUUGGUUUCGGCACAGCUCAACCAACUCUACACCACCUACCACAUUCCAUAAUCAAUUAAAUUCCGACCACAAAUAUAUAUAUAUACAGGGACAUUUUAGCCGCAAGGCAAACAAGGCAUUUGCCUUGGGCGGCAUUUUUCAGGGGGCGGCAAAAAAAGCCGCCCCCAAAUGCCCAGGGCAAAUGUCUUGUUAGCCUUUUGGCUAACAGACAUGCUGGGCGGGCUGAUGGGCUGGCUGCUGGGCUACUGGGCGGGCAGUGCUGGCGAGAGAGCACUUUCCCUUGAGAUGUCUGCUCAGCUCCCUUGCGAGCCGCCCGCAGAGUGAGGCUGGGAGCCGGAAUAUGACGUCAUAUUACGGCUCUCAGCCUCACUCUGCGGGCGGCUCGCGAGAGAGCUGAGCAGACAGCUCAAAGGAAAGUGCUCCCUCGCCAGCGCCGCCCACCCAGCAGCCAGCCCAUCAGCCCGCCCAGCAGCCAGCACAGGGAGAGGGAGAACCCCCUCCCCAGCAUUCCUAAAGGUAAGGAGGCUGGGGGGGUUAAACUAAAAAAAAAAAGUGAGUGUUAAUGUGAGUGAGUGUGCUUGUCUGUUUGUGUGUGUGUCUGACUGUGUGUGUGUGUUUGUCUGUUAGUGUGUGUGUGUCUGUGAGUGUGUGUGUCUGUUAGUGUGUGUGUGUAUUUGUCUGUUAGUGUGUGUGUGUCUGUUAGUGAGUGUGUCUGUUAGUGAGUGUGUGUGUAUGUGUUUCUGUCAGUGAAAGUGUGUGUAUUUAGAAUGCGGUGCAGGGGGGGAAGGGUUGGGUGGGGGUGGCGCACGGGGGGGAAGGGCACCUGAGUUUUGUCCUGCCUAGGGCAGCACAAAACCAGGAUACACCACUGUAUAUAUAUAUAUAUAUAUAUAUAUAUAUAUAUAUAUGUAUAUAUAUAUAUAUAUGUAUAUAUAUAUAUAUUGGUAUAUUUCUUUUUCUAAUUCAAAAAGUCUUUUCAGGGUUAUUAAAAUCUACAGUAAAGCAUACUCACAUGCAGACACAGACAAUCUUACUGACACAAGCUCAUUGAUACACAGGCUCACAGACAAUCUCAUUGAUAUACAUAAGCUCAUUGACAUAAAAACACAAGCUCACAUAUGCACACACAUAGGCUCACUGACAGACAAUCUCAAUGACACACACAGACAAGCUUACUGGUACACACACACAAAUCUAGUACAGAGAAACUGUGAUACACACAAGCUCACUACAGACAAGCUCCCUGACGCCACACACUCUCCCUACAGACAAGUCCAUUGACACACACAUGCUCCCUACAUAAGAGCUCACUAACACACAGAUUCACUACAGACAAGCUCACUGACACACAUGCUACCUAGAGACAAGCUCACUGACACACACAUGCUCACUACAGACAAGCUCACUGCACACACAUGCUCACCACAGACAAGCUCAGACACACUCAUGCUACCUACAGACAAGCUCACUUACACACACACAUGAUCUCUACAGAUACGCUCACUGACACACAUACAAGCUCACUCACUAGCAGACAAACAAAGUUCACUCACUAGCAAGCACACACACACACACACACACACACAAGAUCACACAAAAGUUCACUCACUAGCUGGCACACAGACACAAACUCACUCACUAGCAGACACACACAAACUCACUCACUAGAAGCUGCCUCAAACACAGAAGCUCCCCCACUAGCAGAAGCACACACACAGAAGCUCCCUCUCUAGCACACACACACACACACACACACACACUCACACACACAAGCUUCCUCACUAGCAGACACACACACACACAGAAGCUCCCUCACUAGCAAACAGCACACACACACACACACACACACACACACACACACACACACACACACACACACACAGAAGCUCCCUCACUAGCCAACACACACACACACACACAUACACACAAACACACACAGAUGCUCACUCACUAGCAGGCACACACACACACACACAAACACACACACACAAAUGCUCACUCACUUGGAGGCACACACACACACACACACAAGCACACUUACUAGCAGGCACGCACACUCACUAGCAGGCACAUACACACACGCACACACAGAAGCUCACUCACUAGCAGAUGCACACACACACACACACACACACACAAGCUCACUCACUCACUAGCAGAUACACACACACACACACACACACACAGAAGCUCACUGACUAGCAGAUGCACACACACACACACACACACACAAGCUUACUCACUCACUCACUAGCAGAUGCAAACACACACAAACACACAAAAGCUCACUCACUAGCACACACACAAAGCUUACCUGGCACUGGUGGGUGAAGGUGUCAUUGUCUGGCCUCUUCAUUCCAGCGAGGUCAGCAGCUUCAGUCUGGGGCAGGGGCUUGUGUUCGGGAAGUGGGGCUUAAGUUUGGCGGCGGGGCAUGCAGCCGUAAAUGCUGUACACUGUGCAGGGAGACUGAUAGGUCUCCCUCCGGCCACAAGAAGAGUAAGUGAGGCCGCACCAGCUCCUCCCUCGUUACUCCCCUCGGAUUGACACAGGCUGGCACAGUCCGAGGAGAAAAUCAUUUAAAAUACAUGUGCCUGAUGAUUUGGGCUGUCUGCCUGGCCCCAGGUGCAGCAGCCCUCCGGGAAAUUUCCCAAAAUCCUGGUGGGCCAGUUCGGCCCUGCCCUUUACCGGUUGAAAAAUUUGUAUAUCAUAAAGAUAGAAUUUCAAUGCUGUCAAGAGAUACAUUGACACAAACUAGGGACUACUUUGUCUCUGUAUAUUUCCUACACCUGCCACUUCUAGACACUGGGAGGAGCUACUGCUAUCUAGAAGUGACAAUACCUCAACUGUCACCAGUGAUGGCUGCAGGGAAUUGGCCUUAUUUAAAGAGGGCCCAUAGACCUCAAUGCUGUAUACGCACACGUGCGCGAGAGUACAGUGAUGUCAGCUCCUGGCGCUCCAAGCGCUGAAUAGGAGGAAGAUAGCCACACCCGUGAGGGACAGGUCCAGGUAAGUAGAACUCACCUUUAACUGCCCACCGGACCCCAAGCACAAUUUGUCAACGUUGAGGGAAUUCUGCAAAUUCCCAGACAGUGACAGUGGCGGUUUAAGGAAAAAUAAUGCCAUCUUUGAUUUCUGGAGUCAUAGAUAAGUCACACGAACCUUGGUUAUAUGUUUUAUCUUACCUUAAGCACUUCUUAAUAUGUACGUACUGGUUUGUGAGUAUAUAAUUUAUUACUUUUAGUAGCUGCUGUACACGUCAUUUUUUAAAUGUUUUAUGUUUUUACAUGGUAUAAACCUCUUCCUCUGUGUUUCUCCACAUUUUUUAGCUAACAUUAUCAGGGUUAUUCACUAAAGAGAGAAUUCAAAGUGAAUUUCAAAUUUAAAGCCAAUGUAGCCAAAUUGAAAGCAUUGCUGACUUGUGUAAUGGAUACACUAUUUCAAAGAAACCACAACAUAGUAUACAUUGUAUAUAAAAAUUAAUUUAAAAAAACAACCAGAAGAUCUACUGAACCUCUUUAACAAGGGUGUUGAAAAUAAAUGUGAAUUUUUGUAUGAACGUGAGCCUGCCCCCAUGUGGUGGACUUUGCAGUUGCAUGUCCAGUAGCUCAUGUUCAUUUGUGGUGGUCAUGGGCAUAGCUUUUCUUGUGCCAGGGAUUGUGCAAGUAUGGCAAGAAAAAUACAGCCGCUCUGAUGGCAGUUGAAUCCUCAAUAGAUUAUCAGAUUUAUUCACUCAAGUAAGAAUUCAAAGGGAAUUUCAAAUUUUGGUCCAAAAUAGCCAAACUGGAAAUUUCUGUAAAACUAUGAUUCCAUUUUGGCUUCUUUUGACUUAAAUAUGAUACUCACUUUAAAUUCUCACAUUAGUGAAUAAUACUGCAUAUACCCAUCAAGGUAGCUAAAUAAAAAUGAACAAACUGUUAUUACAUUUUAAAAUAAUACAUGGUGGGUGUCAUAAAAAUGCCAAAGGAAAUACAUUUCCUUUCUCAUUUCUGGCUGAAAUCAUUGUGAAAGUAUCGUUAAGGUCUCAUACAUAUCAGUAAAUACUAGAAUUGGGCAUUAAUUUUUUGAUGAACACAAAAAUGAACGACAAUUAACUUUUUUGUUCAUUUGGACCAAAACCAAAUAGAAAAUCAGAAUGACCGAACGGGUCAGCAAAUUAAUUUUUUCGUUUGGCACCUUUCAUUCACUCAUUUGGAUUAGGGUUGAACAAUGAAGGUUGUAAACCUCCCCCCAUGCUUUCACUCCUGCGCAAGUAUGGGGCAUGUUUCCUAAACAGCAGACACCAAGUGGCCCUAGAGAGCUGGUACAGGCUGGAAUGAACACAUUCUGAUAUUAAUGCAUGGUACAGGUAGUGGAUUGAAAACAUGCAAACACAUCAAAAAAGAUGAAUAAACUAUAAAAUACAUUUAAAGUUGACUAAUUUUCUGCACAUUUUCACACAUCAUCAGUUUUGUUCUUUCCAGGAUUUAGUGUGUGGUCGUGGCAUGUGUAACCCAGCACUGCAUGCAUUAAUGCGUUGGAAUGGGGUCAGGGAAUUGUAGUUCAGAAAUUAGUGGAACUAUAACUACUACUUCAAAGCUGUGCUCCUCAUGACACUCACAGUUCCAAUACUGAAUAAUAUUGGGAUUAAUUAUUAAACUCCGAAAUGUCACUAUAUACUGACAUGCCAGUGUCCCCUCUGACCUCCACCCAUGUUGGCGGCUGGGGGGCUAUAAUAUACACACAGGGGGAUGUGACCCAUGGGCUUUGGGUGGGGGCUAUUAAUCUAAUAGGCCGUAGGCAUGCAAAGAGUCCAUCUUCCCAAAUCAAAGUCACUUUUUCCCUUUGUUCCCUGCCCAUGUCCCCAUAUGUAAUUUAGUGAAGAACCCUGUAUAAACUUGCAGGGAUUUUAUAGAAAGAAUGCUGUAAACAUGCACAGGAACCAGUACUUCAGUAUGAGGGGGGUAGAAGAGAGGAGGUAGGAUUAAGGGUACACUCCAUGUACCGAUACAAUGUCAAUGCAGGUUUAUGGUCUCAUUAAUGUGCUAUAUUUUAUUGUGCACACAACUCUUUCUAGUUUUUGCACACACACACACACACACACACACACACAAAAAUACUUUGCAGAACGCUGCACUAGGAUGUAUCUGAAGUGUUAUUGCCGCACACUAAUAAAAUAUGCAGGAGUCAGCAUGGUUUUAUAAAGGAAAGAACAUGUGAGGCUAACUCAGCCCCAUUCUGGGAAGAAGCAAACAAAAAUAUAGGUCAGGAUGUUGCUGUAAAUAUGAUCUAGUUAAAUUUUGCAGAGGUAUGUAAUACACACCCUAUUAAUUCAAUCCUGUAGCUAUGUGACACAAAUAGAUUGCAGUAAAAAGUUGACUGUUUUAGUUGUCAUAGCAACAGCAAUAACAUCUGAAAGCAUGUGUUAUUUCCCCCCCCCUAUGUUUAUACCAAUCGAAGAUGAAGUUAAAACGAGAGGUCUACUUCAUUUUUUUUGUUUAACGUGUUGCGAUGUUCGAACAUCAACAAAAACCAAAAAAAACACCUGUGCUUCUUGUGCUAGCAGUUCCUCGCCGAGAUAAACAAUUAUUCCUUGUGCUUUUUUAGUGUAUGCGUCUGUAGCCAGCUCACACAACAGUUAACAUUUUGUGACUCAGCAUUUCCUUCGAUUGGCACGUGAACUCUGUGUGAGUUUAACGUACGGUGGCCUGACUCACUUAGAUCUGUCUUUCCUUAUGGGAGAGGCAGGGCAUGAUAAGACGUUACCAAUCAAUCAAGCUGUAUAGAAACACCCGAAUGCUGUUUCACACCUUAAUGUGUAAAUAACGCUUUAUUAUUUACCUGCUACCACAGUCUGGGCAUUGUGAUCUGUAAUAAGGACUUGAGGCAUGUUAAAAAAAGAAGCCCAACAAGACUUUGACACGUGGGUUAACAUUUGAUGUAGAGUCAGAACACAUUACCCUGGUGGCUGUUGGUGUCAAGUUUGUUUUUAAGUAAAUCUGGCAAAUAAGUUACUUUCCUGAUCCCCUCAAUUAUCUCUUUACCAAUUUUCCAAAUUGUCUGGCAACAUAAACUCUAGAAUUUUAGCAGUGUGAGAACUUUGCUGUAAGGUUAUAGCAGAAAAAUAGACUUGGGCAUUUAGAACAUUUUUUUGUUUGCCUGAAAAAUUAUUUUGUUUGGGCGAUUCUGGGAAAUUUUGUUCUUGUAAUAAUUUUGUGGAAAACGAUUCGGAUGAACUAACAUCGUGCAAAAAUGGCAUGUGAAGCAACUAAAAUUUUAAUGAUGUGCUUAUCAAUGAAUGUCAUGCCACUUUCUCACUAGCUAUAAAGUAUUUUCACAGUUUGUUGUCAUAGUUUGUCAUAGUUUAAUGGCAGUCUGUUUUCCAUUAAAGGGACUGCCCAGAUACAAAAUAAAUAAAAAUCACUGAUUAGUAGAUAUACUACCAAUGAAACAAGCAUGCAUUUAAUUUUUUUUUUUUAUCAAGGUAUAUCUAUCAACAUAUUGCAAAAGCUGCAGUUCUCUUGUCUGCAGCAUUGCAAACCCCUCCCCUUCUAACCCUGCCCACACUUACUGUGGCUGUCCAAUCACAGACUUCCCAAUGCAGCUCAAUGAGAAGUCUUUGCAAGGUGGGUGCUCUGGGUUAUUGCUGCCUCUUCGGGUUAGCUCCACUGAGCUAACUAAACCAGGAAGUAACAGAAGUGGUUGUCUGAUUGAAAGCCAGGGGGGGGGGUGUUAAUUUAUUAGUGUCAAUUUCUAUUGAAAUCUGCACUUGUAAGAUACAAAAUAGGAUACAUGCUUAAGUUGUUUUAGGGGUCUGGAGUGUUCAUUUAAGGAACACAAUACCCAGGAAUUGACUCCCUAAUUGUUUUAAUACACAUCUUGAUCUAGAGCUUGAUCCCUAUUUUGGGGGCUGUAUGCAGUGAAAUGCCUAGCUGCCAUCCUCACAUGUGAGCAGCUGUGAAAAGCUGUGGCUUUGCUCUAUUUGUGCAUAUGGAGUGUUCAUGCCACAUAGGCAUGCGUGAAGAAUCUUACAAGGCAAAUGAGGAAGCAAAAAUUGCUCUAUUGACACCUGAGAGUCAAGGUGUAGUCUUACAACUGACGUAAUCUUUGCAAAUCUCUGCCAUUACAAGCCACUCUUAGCAAGGAUACUGGACGCAGAGUAUUCUUUACUAUUAUGCUAAGUCGUUAUGGUACUUAGAGAGACCGUUUUUGAUUACAGAGAGGCGUAGAUUUUCGGUUUUAAUUGAGUCCCAACAUUGGGUGGGCAGGCCCUGGGGGGCAUUCUAAGGAAUGCAUCCUGUGUCAUUAGUGACGCCUAUUCUGGAUGGGCCAGACGGGAAAGGUACAGACCCACACAUCGCAAAGGGGUGUGUCAGCCUUGUGUCAGUACAUACCUGACUGAUCUACAGUCUCCAGGUCGGCACUUUCUGUAUCGUCCCAGUGCCCACCACAGAGCUUCUAAUAAUACGGUGGUGCUGUGCUACUUAGGGACAGGUCCUUGGAGUCCCUGGAUUUGGGACACCAGUGAACAAAAUUUAAACAAAAUAAGGAUGGAGGGACAGAACCCUAAAGUAGGGACUGUUGCACCAAACUCAGGACAGUUGGGAUACCUGGAUACUGGAUUAUUCUAACUUCAGUUUGGUUUAUUCAAAAUGUAGUAUUCACAGGAGACCUUACACAUUGCUUGAGUUUUAAAGUAGAACUCGUUAUACAGUGUACAUAUCCAUAAUCAAGUCCAUAUCCUUUAACUUCGGAACUUAGAGAAUGGACAAGAUAGAAAAUUUCACAUAUCGUUGUUUAAUCACCAUUGUUUACACCUUCUGAGUGGCUGAGUCGAGGAGCACAGAAUCGUGUAUUGAAAAGUAAUAGAGAUGUGCGGAAAACACACAAGAGUCAUGUUCCCACAUAAUAAUUUUUACAAACUCUCCUUAGUAUUUCCUGUAAACAUUUACAAUAACAUUACAGGUACAUCGAACUUCAAGUAGCUUUAUCUCACCUGGACAUGAUCCAGGCAUUAACCAGCAAACCAGCAGCACACAACAGAGAUAGAAAACAAGUUCAUUGUACUUUUGGGCGAACGAUCUCAUAUCUAGAAAUAGAACAAGGGACCCGACCGUCCAUAUUACAGAUUUAAUAAAUAUAUUUCUCUGCAACUGCUAGGUAAUUAAUUCAGGGCUUCCAAAUGCCCCGCUUUGGUGGGACAGUCUCUAUUUUGGGGUCCCAAUGUCCUGAUUUAGUCUCCAGGGACACAUGAACAUGUCCCCGGAUAGCACCAGUGGCGGAUCCAGAGCCUGAUCUUGGGAAGGGCACUUGUAGAUUAUUUAAAGAAAUAAUCCAGACACAACAACCACUACAGCUCAGUGUAGUGGUUAUGGUGUCAAUAGUGCCGGGACCCUCUCCCAGAGUAAGUAGUCAAACCGUUUAAGAACAGUUUGACAACUUACUUGAGGUCUGCUGAGAAAUGGGGCUGUAGUAGGGCAUAGGAGCAGUGGUGUGUGUGAGUGGUACAAUGUGUAAGGGGUGCAGUGUGUGUGUGUGUGUGUGUGAGGGGGACAGUGUGCGAGCAGUGUGUGUGUGUGAAGGUUGUAGUGUGUGAGUGAGGGAGGGCGGCAGUGUAUGUCAGGGAUGCAGUGUAUGUGUGGGACAGUAUGUGUGCGUAACAGUUGCAGUGUGUGUGUGUUAGUAUUGCAGUGUAUGUGUGAGUGUGGGCAAUGUGUGUGUAUGGGGCGGCAGUGUAUGGGGGCAGUGUGUGUGUAUGGGAAGCAGUGUGUGUGUAUGGGGGUAGUGUAUGUGUGUAGAGUGUGUGUGUAUGUGGGACAGUGUGUGUGUAUGGGCAUUAUGUGUGUAUGGGGGAGCAGUAUGUGUGUAUGUGGGGGCCAGUAUGUGUGUAUAAUGGGGCAGUAUGUGUAUGGGGCAGUGUGUGUGUGGGGGCAGUGUGUGUGUAUGGGGGCAGUGUGUGUAUAUGGGGGAGCAGAAUGUGUAUGGGGGAGCAGUAUGUGUAUGGGGGGAGCAGUGUAUGUGUAUGGGGGCAGUAUGUGUGUAUGGGGGGCAGUGUGUGUGUAUGAGGGGGCAGUGUGUGUGUGUGUGUAUGGGGGCAGUGUGUGUGUGUGUGGGGCAGUAUGUGUAUAGGGAGCAGUAUGUGUAUAUAGGGGCAGUGUAUGUGUAUAGGGGCAUGUGUGUAUGGGGGGCAGUAUAUUGUGUAUAUGGGGGCAGUGUGUGUGUGUAUAGGGGCAGUGUGUAUAGGGGGCAGUGUGUGUGUGUGGGGCAGUGUGUGUGUGUGACAGGGGCUGUAUGUGUGUAUGGGGGGCAGUGUGUGUAUGGGGCAGUAUGUGUGUGUAUUGGGGGCAGUAUGUGUGUAUGAGAACGGUAUGUGUGUAUGGGGGCAGUGUGUGUGUAUGGAAGUAUGUGUGUAUUGGGGCGGUAGCUAUGUGUGUGUAUGGGGGCAGUAUGUGUGUAUGGGGGCAGUGUGUGUAUGGGGGCGGUAUGUGUGUAUGGGGGUAGUGUGUGUAUGGGGGUGGUGUGUGUAUAUGGGGGCAGUAUGUUGUUUAUUGGGGGCAGUAUGUGUAUAUGGGGCAGUGUGUGUGUGUGUGUAUGGGGCAGUGUGUGUGUAUGCGGGGGGCAGUGUGUGUGUGUAUGGGGGCAGUAUGUGUGUAUAGGGGGCAGUAUGUGUGUAUGGGGCAGUGUGUGUGUGUAUGGGGGGCAGUGUGUGUGUAUGGGGGGAGUGUAUGUGUGUAGAGUGUGUGUGUGUGUGUGUGUGAUAAGGGUAGGGAGGCUUUUUUUUAUAAUAUAUAUAUAAUUUUUAUUUAAUUAAAAUAAAUAUUUAUGUCCCCCCUCCCUUCUUACCUUUACUGGGAGAAGGGUGGACUCUUCUUAGUCCCUGGUGGUCCGGUGGGGAUUCCCUGGUGGUCCCAGUGGGGAGAGUGAACUCUAGCCCGCGCUCCAGGGCUAGAGUUCACUCUCGCGAGAUUUGGAGCGUUGCCCCAUUGCCCCCCCCUGGAUCCGCCACUGGGCAGCACAGCAUGAGUGCAUGAAUUGAGAUGCUCACUCAGUGUGGCAGGCACUAGGAAUAGCCAUCCAGCUGACACAGUGACGGAAUUUAACCACGCAUGGGGUAAUCAUAAGACUAGAUGGGCCAAAUGGUUCUUAUCUGCCAUCACAGUCUAUGUUUCUAUGUAUAUUUUCAUUUUCACAGUUCCUGUUCCUGUUCCUGUAAAGGAUCUUAACAUGUAUAGUUUGGAGGAAAGACGAGACAGGGGCGAUAUUAUUAUUAUUAUUAUUAUUAUUAUUGGUAUUUAUAUAGCACCAGCUUAUUCCGCAACACUUAACAAUAAAAGGGGAAUUUACCAAAUGAGACAAUAACAAAAUGUAACAGGAACAAUAGGUAGUUGAGGACCUUGCUCUAACGAGCUUACAGUCUAGAGGAGGAGGGGUAUAAAAACACAAUAGGAAGGGAAUUGAGGGAGACAGCAAAUAGACAUGGAUAUGAGAGAAACAUAUAAAUACAUAAAGGAAAUCAACACAAUAAAGGAGGAGACCAUAUUUAAAAGAAGAAAAGCUACCACAACAAGAGAACAUAUUACUUUACCGAGAGGGUAGUGGAUGCAUUUUAUUAUCAAUUUGUUUUAAUUAUUUGCCUAUCAUUCCUCUAGAAGAAUUUGAAAGCUUAUAAAAGCUGUAGGCCAAAACAUAUUCAUCUAGAGCAGGGGUUCCCAAAUAAUUUUUCCCAUUGAACCCUUUGGCAUAGUGUAUCAACAUUGUGGAUCCCCACCCCUUCUCCCCUCAGAAAAAAAAGCACAGUUUUCUGUAUGUGCCGGUGUGUGUCAAGGUGUGUAAAUAUGUGUUUGUAUGUGCCAGUGUGUGUAUCUCUGUGUCAAUGUGUAACUGUGUGUGUGUAUGUUUCUGACACACAGAUUCACACACACAUACACACUGGCACACAGAUACACACACCUUGACACACAGUGUGUAUAUGUGUGUGUGUGUAUCUGUGUGUCAAGGGGUGUGUGUGUGUCAAGGUGUGUGUAUCUGUGUUUGUAUGUGCCAGUGUGUGUAUCUGUGUGUCAAUGUGUAACUAUGUGUGUGUAUGUAUCUGACACACAGAUACACACACACACACACACACACACACUGGCACACAGAUGCACACACCUUGACACACAGUGUGUAUCUCUGUGUGUGUGUAUAUAUGUGUGUUAAGGUGUGUGUGUGUCAAAGUGUGUGUAUCUGUGUGUGUAUGUUUCUGUGUGUCAAGGUGUGUGUGUAUAUGUGUGUCAAAGUGUGUGUAUCUGUGUUUGCAUGUGCCGGUGUGCGUCAAGGUGUGUAAAUAUGUAUUUGUAUGUGCCAGUGUGUGUAUCUCUGUGUCAGUGUGUAUCUGUGUGUGUGUGUAUGUAUCUGACACACAGAUACACACGCACACACUGGCACAUAUUGGCACAUAGAUACACACAGAUUUUUUUUUUAACUUAUACUACCCCAAAAUAGAUGUUUGCCUUUUAGGCGGCCGUUUAGAACUGGUUUUACUGGUUUUGAAGAUGUACAUUCGUGUGAAAGUUUAUAGAUUUAGUAAAACAUGUUUGCACAGGUCACAUAUAUCCUUAAAAUGCAUUUUAGUGUAGGUUAUGUAUAAAUAGCAAUUCUGGGACAACUGUCACUUUACAACAUUUUUUUUACAUAAUAAUCCAUUCAUGAAGUUUUAUAAGGAAAUUGAUUUUCUAUUAAAUAAUGUACAUGUAAAAAAAAAAAAGGGAAAACUCAUCCCUACCUUUAGUAUAUGACAGAAGUCUUCAACCAUGUACAUUCACCUUUGGUCAGACAGUGUUUGGAAAUCAGUAAAUAUGGGAUUAUUCACUGAAACUCAAAUGGCCCAACACUAAAAUCCAGUAAAGUGUUAAAUAUAUUGCUGCUGCCCAGCACUUGCUAGUCAACCUUAUUAUCUAGUUAAAAAUAAAUAAUACAUCUAAAGCCUAUGGUGGUCAUCAUUAAGACCUCCAUGUUAUUAUAAGAGAUGUUUAAAACUGACAGACACGCACACUCACUGACAGACACGCACACACACACUCACUGACAGACACACACACACACAGUCACUCACUGACCACAUUCACUGACAAACACAUUGACAGAUAAACGCACACAGUUUCACUGACAGACACACACACACACACUCAUUGACAGACACACACACACACACACACACACACACACUCAUUGACAGACACACACUCACACUUACUGACAGACACACACACGCUCAUUGACAGACAAACACACACACACACACACACACACAGGGGUUAUGGGGUUAAUAUUUAUUAGGACUGGGUAAAGGGUGGUUGGAUUUUCUUAACUUUUUUGAAACGUUAUUAAAACAUUUAAAAAAAAUUUAGAAACAUUUUAAAGCUCUUUUAACUUUAACCCCUAGCUAGCCUAACACCAACUUCCACCCGCCCCAGCUAUCUAAAUAUAUAAUUUUAAAAUAUUUAAAUUAAUCAAUAAAAUAAAUUUAACCCCUGAGGGUUAAAAAAAUAAUUUAACUCUCAGGGGUUAAAAAAAAGUAAUAAUCAGAUGACAGUAAAAUGUAGUCCCUGCCAAUUGAUCACUGUAGUCAGUGAUACAUUGGCCUGGAAGGGGUUCAUUUUAUUAAAGUGGGGGUGGGAUAUAACUUAAACUUAUUUUUUUUUACGGGGAGAAGCAGAUCAUCACUGAUCCGUCUCCCUGCACUUCACACUGACCGCGGAAAAGUUAAAUUAUUAAGUUCCCAUGAAAGAUGCAGGACAUCACACAUGUACGUUUAUAUUAGGCCCUCACUUGGCCUUCCACAACAUAUGCUUCAUAUGGCCCUCAGUGGGCAUCUUACUAUGAUCAGUGCCAUGUUACUCAAGUGUCUUUUCAUUAUCAUCUCUAAUUAACAGUUCUACCAUUCGGGCCUCUCACAGGUCAAGUUGGUUAAUUACACGUUAUGAUAUGAAGCAGGUAUGCAAAUUUGGCAUCACUAUGUAAAUUGCAACUGCUCCACUGGUCAACAACCAUUAACCAACCAACGUCAUAUCACUUCAUACACGCAGAAAUUCUGCCCUUAAAUGGAUAAAUCGCUACUCAUGAAUCGCAAUGAGCUCUCUCUGCCUUCUACUUCUAUACCUUGACAGACGGACCUCACUAGGCCUUCACUUACAUAGGCUUCAUACGGUCCCAGGUGGGCUUACAGCUACAACUUAAUUUUGCCCUUCCUGUCGCUUGGGGGUUAUAUAUUGCCCUAUUAUACUGCGUUUAAGUACACCACUCACUGCAGAAAUAAAAAUAAAUAAACUAAACCAGAUCGAAUACCAGAGUAUCACUACUGUCAAUACGCAAUUCAGUGGCGUAUUUAGCCCAAGGCAAACUAGGCAUUUGCCUUGGGCGGCACUAACAAGGGGGCAGCAAAAAUUUGCCACCCCCAAACACCCACUUGGGAGUACCCGGUGGCCUUCCUGUGAUGGGGGUCCCAGGGCAGGCCUGUUGGCCACCUUAAUGGACCCCCCCCACGACGUACCGCUGUAUUGACAUACAAGGCGGCGAGGAAGCUUUCAUGUCUCUGUUCUGCUCCCUUGCGUGCCGUUUGCUGAUGCCGCAGAAGCCGGAAUAUGACGUUAUAGUCAUUAUAGCAGAGCAGGGACAUGACAGCUCCCUCGCCGCCUCGUAUGUCAAUACAGCCGCCCGCCUCACAGCAGCCCCACUGGACCCCCCAACGACAGGUAGGAAGGCUGGGUAAAAAAAAAGUAUUAUAAUAAUAAUAAUUAGUUAGUGUGUGUUUCUGUGAGUGUGUCUGUGUGACUGAGUGUGUGUGAGUGUAUGUAUGAGUGUAUCUGUCAGUGUGUGUGUGUGUCUGUGUGUGUCUGUGAGUGUGCAUAUGAGUUUCUGUGAGUAUAUGAAGUGGUGUAUUUUGGUUUGGUGCUGCCCUAGGCAUGACUAAACCUGGGUACCCCCCUAAUCUAAUUUUCCCCACCCCUUCCAGUCAAAGCCACACCUCUUCCUGAUUAAGAAUCCACCCCUUCCUCUUUAGACUCCACCCUUUUAAAGCGAUACUACAGUGCCAGAAAGGUUUUCCUGGCACUAUAGUUCCAUAUAGUGCCCCCCUCCCUCUUGCUCUCCCCACUUACUCGGCACUUCAGUCACUUACCUGAAUCCAGCACUGAUGUCCCUCAGCGCUGGGUCAGUCUCCUACUACGCGCUUGCAUUACGCUUCACCAUAGGAAAGCAUUGUAUCAAUUCUUUCCAAUGAGGAUUUAGCAGACGCUGGAUGUCCUCAUACACAGAGUAAGGACGUCCAGCAUCAGUUAGGUGACUUUUGGUCGCCUAACCACCCGGAAAGAGUUAACCCCUCAAGGUAAUUAUUGAAAUAAAUCAGUGAUGUUAUCAAAGAGGUUUUAUAAAAGUACUGAUGUCUCUUGAAAAAAAGUCAUGCUUUUACUUCUGAAGCACAGGAAACCUUGAAGUUCUUUAGGGGUAUGGAGUGGACAUAUGCAUUUAUUAGAUGAACUAAUCGAUUUGUUUGGCAUCUAAUCAUUUAGUCUGAAACAAAUCCUUUUGAUUAAUUUUUAAAUAAAUCAAUUAUUUCAGUCAGAUAUGUGCGAAUUCUAAAUUCGAACCAUGAACAAAAACGUCCAUUAAAAUGAAUUGAAAGAUUGAGUUGCUAGACAACUUGAUUUGUUUAUGGAUGCACAUGCCUAAUUUGGAAUGUUCCUUUAACUCAAUAAAUACCUACACACCGGUAUGUAUAAUAUCAACCUUUCUAUAAGGUGAAAUCUAUGACAUUAAAAUAUUAUGUAUCACAAACAUAAAGGAACAUAGAGUCGCAUUUCAAAAAUUUAAGGGACACUCCACUGACCACUUAUGAUUAGGAUAGCCUUAUGCCUAUCCCACGCAUGUGUAAACUCCUUUACUGUGUUAACCUCUACCACUUCAGCUGGAAGGCUAUUCCAUGCAUCCACUACCCUCUCAGUAAAGUAAUACUUCCUGAUAUUAUUUUUAAAUCUUUGCUGCUGUUUUUAAGACUAUGUCCUCUUGUGGUGGUAGUUUUUCUUUUUUUAAAUAUAGUCUCCUCCUUUAUUGUGUUGAUUCCCUUUAUGUAUUUAAAUGUUUCUAUCAUAUCCCCCCUGUCUCGUCUUUCCUCCAAGCUAUACAUGUUAAGAUCCUUUAACCUUUCCUUGAAAGCUUUAUCCCGCAAUCCAUGAACCAGCAUACCAGCCCUUCUCUGAACUCUCUCUAAAGUAUCAAUAUCCUUCUGGAGAUAUGGUCUCCAGUACUAGAGUUAUAUCUAAAACCUGCUUGCAAAAGUUGCAGUUCUUUUGUCUGCUGCCUUUGCAAGUCUUCCCCUUCUAACCACGCCUAGAAUUUGAGUGACUGUCAAUUCACAGACUUCCCAAGGUAACUUAAUGGGAAGUCUUUGCAAAGCAGGUGCUCUAGGCUAUUGUUGCCUCUUGAUUUUAACUUAACUGAGCUAAACAACCAGGAAGUAACAGGACCAGUUUUUGAUUGACAGUCACGGGGGUGUAACCUGGUUAAUUUAUAAAAGUGCCAAUUUGUAUUGAAAUCUGCACUUUUUGAAAAAUGAAAAAAUGAGGGCACACUCUUUACACGUAAUACAUGUUAGGAAGCCAAAGUGUUUUAGGGGUCCCUUUAAAGAUGCUAUGUAUGAGGAAAGAGGAAUCCUGGCAAUUUAACGGUUAAAUGUUCAAACAAAAGGGAAACAUAUCGAUUGUUUUUUUGCAUCAACCGUGGCUGUGAACGAAAACGCUGGUUCAUACUGUAGUCAAAUCCGACAAGCAUGGAGUUGAAAGCAUUUUUCCAGGUGUGACUAAUGAUCUCAGUAUUAAAAUAAAAAGAAAUCACUUUGUACUCUUAGAAAUAACCACUGUUUGAAUAUUGCGGCUGAAUAUUCUCACUCCUGCUUUCCUUGCAAAUGAACCCACGGAUGUUGAGACAGUUUAUUUGAAUAUUCAGGACUAUAGAGAUUUGCCUCUGUGAUGUCAUCAUUGUGCUUAGUGUUUGCGUAUUUUUCAAGAACAUGCAAGGAAUAAAUUAAAUUGAAAUUAUUUUAAAAAUUUACAUAUUAGAUUUUACAUAUUUUCAGUAUAGGAUUUAUGUCCAGUAUUUAUUUAGGAGGAGAAUUCAAAGUGAAUUUCACAUUUUGAAAAAUUAACUAUGAUAGUGUUAAUCUUUUUUUGUAUAUUCAAAGCUAAACUGCAGAUCAAGAAAAGCAGUUGAGUUGCCUGUUAAUUGAUUUCUGUCAGUUUUGGGAUAUUUAACACACAUUGUUACCUUAAACCCAAUUGACAAAGUUUAAAACCUGGCCUCUUAUUUCCCACAUCUCUAUGCAUUCUAUUAUAGGCAGAGUUUAACCCCUUAGCUGCUGGAGGUGGAGAUACACUCAUAGGAGUGCCAUCAGCCGAACUAAGGUUCCGACUGGCUAAUGUCAAUUCUGUGCAACUUUCAUUGAGCAGAAUGUCAGUCACUGGCUGAGAGCUGGCAGCUGAUGCUCUGAACUGAUAAAUGUUAACCGCUGCGGCAGAAAUGUGUUACUGUACCACCAGGAAGCAGUGGAGCUUGGCAUUAGUGAAUAACAUUGGCCUAUGUAUAUUUACAUUUUUGGGGAUAACUUAAGUUGAAUCAUUUAAACUAAUUCUCAUGGAGUUUCACAUUCAUGCUAGAGAAUAGCAGCGAUGCUACUAAAUAAUUGAUAUUUAUUUUGGACUAAUAGUAAUUGACUUAAGUGAUGAAUUUAAAUAGUUAAAGGACAGGUGCACAAGAGAGCCAGUGAAAGUAAAUAUGUCUUUGCAGUGCAGGUACCUAGUUAGCUACAGGUAUAACUAUUGUGACUACAGCCUUUUUGUGACUCGAUCGCUACUGCACAACUGAUCUAGUGACGGGUGGUUGAACUUCUUAAGAUUGAAUGAAGAGACUAAGCAACAUCAAAGAUUCACACAGGGGACAACCAACUGAAUGGACCUGGGCCCCGACAAAGUUGCCAGGUGUGCAUUCAAUCUAUUCCAUGGGACACACACUAGCACAUAUUCAGAACUUAUUUUUGCUCAUAGGCAAUGUAAAGGAUUAGUAAUUGGAGUCUUGAUGUGAACGACGUAGCUAUAUGCUUGUGAAAUACAUUUUUUUGGUUGUAACACUUUAAAUUGCUUUACGUUGUCAUGUAAUGACUACCCAGAGGAAAAAGUCAAUGGAAAAUAUUUUUCAAAUUUGUUGAAAGGUCAAAUAUGCAGCAGCUACAGAUCGUUACUGACUUUCAAACUGCCUCUCAGGAAGGCUCUGAUCAGUGACUGUAGGAAAACUCUAAUCAAACCCACUGCUUGAACAAAAAUCAUUUUGACACCAGCAAAGGGUAUAGCAAUUUUCGAGCGGUUUGACUCGUUACCUGGGGUCCUUAUCUCCAAACUUAGCCAGAAAGACAGAAGCUCUUUGAGCCGAGCCCUGCAGGGCAGGCUUAGCUCAAGAGAGUUAAAGGACGUUCCUGCUUAAGAACUACUGGCUUUUGGGCAUUUGUAGAAAAGGCGUGGAGCGGUGCCUUUACUACUGGUAAGAAGUCAUACUAAUCUAAAUAGUUUGGAUUCUUUGGAAAGGUGCUCUGAGACUGUUCCUUUUCUUGGUGUGAAAUUUGACUUCUGUCUGCAAUGUUUGCAGUAUUUUCUUUUAAUUCAUCUAAAUUAAUCUAAAUUAUUAUUAUUUUCUUUGAAUUCAUCUAAAUUAUACCAAUAGAAACUGGUGAAUAGUAGACAUAUCCGAUGCAAUUUAGAAAGCAUGUAGAUGGUGUUAAUUUAUAAGAUGCUUGAAGCUUCUUCACUACUAUUUAGGUUGCAAACACGUUGAGAUAACAUGGAUAGAAUAGAAUAGAGAUCCGUCUUUGAAGAUUGUAAGACAGAGUCUGGGGUGAACGUAACGUCACCAUGGGCUCCUGGAAGAGCCUGCUUGCCAGCCUCUUGACCCAGGACUAUGGGACCUGCAAAAAGAGCUGCAAAAUACAUUUUAAAAGACUCCAUUCAUUUGGGUUCCUUGUGCUGUUCGGGAACCGAACAGAUCCACAAACUAAAUACCACCUGGGAGCUUGUUAAACAUUAUUGACACCUUGUAACAAUUCUGCCAUGGCCACAAACACGUGGUGGCGGCCAUCUAGUUCCUGCAAAUGCAGGCAGCGGUGUUUGGUCGUCGAGUGCAUGGAAUAAAAAUUGGACACAUGACCUCGCGAACAACGCUGAACUUCCAUCCCGCCUGCGUUUGGUACUUUACAUUCUAAUGAUGUUUGGUGGAAUCGUUCGUCUGAAUGAGAUGAACAAGCUCCACAUUAUACUUAUGGAUCAGGUUCGGUAUUUUGGUUGCAUGGAACACCCGAACGGGACCAGCCACAACCCUUGAAUUCAUGGAGCUGUUUUGGGCAUAGGAUCAUGUGUGCGGUUGGUCAGAACUUCCACACAGUGGUGUUUCAGCUGUAUUCAUGGGAUCUGAGAGCCUUUUGGCGCUCAGAUUCAGGCUAUCUGAGGAUGUACAGACUGUGGGGGGGUUCCUAUUUUUUAACGUUUGUAUUUUAUGCUGAGUCACAGUGACACUGUAUUUUGUGGCACAUUGUGGGUGUGUUUAUGGGUUUGUUUAUGGGUGUGUUUGGGGGCGUGUCACUGUGCUCAGAGUCUGUAUAUUAUGUGGGCCAUUUGGCCAGUUUAAACAGACUACCCCCAGCAUUAAGCCCCGGCUCAUGUGUGUGGGAACAGCUAUACUGCUAUAUCACUUGCUAUACCUGCUUUACUCUCUUGGAGGAGAGGUCUGCCCACUCGGAGCUGGAUCCAGGUGUUGGUCCAGGGAGGGAAGGGAUGGCAAGACCCUAGCCAAGCUGUGGCGGCUAAGGGGACUAUGGUGCUUAUGGUGUCCAGUGCGGCGCUUAUGGUACUUGGUGACAACUAGAAUGCGCUAUUGUCAGAGGUAACCAGUCAGGGUGCUAGGUGGUCCGCCACAGACCAUUUUACUGUACAUGUGAUAUAAGCUGUCAUGGUGUCUCCAAAUGGCUAUACUCUAGUGGGUUGUUGUGGACUUUAAAAUCAUUGGGAAAAAUAAUCGGAGUUGGAGAACUGAAAAAAACUCUAACAUGGCAGCAUGAUUUCAAUUCUACUAUUAUUGUGUAAAUCAGGGAACUCAAACUCUGAUUUACCCCUACCCCAGAUGUUGUUGGCCUGCAACUACCAAGAUUCUUUGAAUUCUAUAGAUUAUCAGAUUAUCAUAAAAGUUGGAGUUCAGCAACAUCUGGGGGAUGGGGGUGCAGAGUUUGAGGUACCUGAUUUAACUAGACUCAAAUAAUCCCAAAGCAAGGUCUGCCUAAACACUUGUGCUAUAACAGUUAAACACUCCCAAACACCCCUUUCCAUACGUUCAGGUAUAUCCAGAUCAUAUGAAUCCCUUUGUUCCAGUAACAUACUUACCUGCUGUUGUCGCCCCUGCUGCUCCCCUCAUCGGGUCGCAUGAGCAAAACACCUUGGGCGGCUGCACUGCUCCCCUCCUCAUGGCGUGGCCCGAACAAUCCAUGCGGCCACGUGACCUGAACAGGGAAACUUUCAUACUUACGAUUUGGACCAACGAACAGCUCCCUCUGCGGGUUCACGGGCGCCUAGAUCCUCUUAGUGUUUUCUUCCCUGUGUAAUAUUAGAUGCUGCCUGUUUGAUUGGCGCGUCUUUUAUAAAUUCAAACACUUGUGCUAUUGAUAAAAUUAAACUAGUUAUGAAACAGCAAAGCUUAUCUCACUCAGAGUCCAAUGACAUCAAACAAUAGAAAAUGUAUCUGUCAGGUGAUUAAGGUUAAAUAUAUUUAAAGUUUCAGGAUUUCGAAAACCCAUUCACCUGGGGCUGCUUUUUAUUCUAUGUGCCAUGAUAAAAUUAUAAAUGUCACAGUGUGAUCACGUUGCUAUUAGUAAUAGGUGAAAAUAGCAACAUAACACAGUGUAGGUGGAUAUGGCAGAAAAUCAUAUGACUGUUUUAAAAAAAAUAAUGUCACCAAUAUGUCACAAGGGUGGGGUGUAUAUUCCAUGUGUCACAAGCCCUCUGCCUGAUGAAAGGGAAAAUCUGGUUUUCCCUAGUUCUGAACUGCAACUCCUAUACCACUCAGUCUUAUAGGGUGGAUUUAGCAAGUUCAAAUGGGGUUACAGAAGUAGGAAACGGGGAGGGGAAGAUAGUCAAUAGAGUGUUAAGGCCAUACAGUGUCAAUAACGAACAGUCACAAUAACAGGGUAUGUUAUACAAAUAAGUGUUGACAACAUUCGGUAGGCUAAUAUCGAGGAGCGAAAGUAGUAUUUGAUGCGUUCCUUUCCAAAUCACAUUUGUGUGUAUACAUUGUGCAACUCACAUUACAUUUUACUUAUACGUUUGAAACCCUGUGACUCCGACAAGUAAGAAGGAUCGUUUUGGGUGUGAGUCCCAGCCUAGGUCGAAUGGUCAGUAGGCUGCUUUUAUGGAGCCCAGGCCAUAUCAAUGUGUCGCCGUGUUGGAACUUAGUCUAAGACUGGAGGAGUGGAGCUGGUGUAACCGGUACCACCCUACCUAUGUGUGGGCGGUCACGGUGCGUAGGGUGGGCCCUCUUCAUUGGCUAUUUGGGCGUAUGUGGCUAAUUUGCCACCAGGGUUAGGGGUUAGGUAUGUGAGCCUAGGCGGAGUGUUACCUGUGUGCUGUAAUUCUUGGUAGGACGGGGUUGGGGUUCCUGAGGGAUAGGGCUAGUGGCGUCUCCCGCAAUGGGUUAGGUCAUGGGCCCAGGGUAACCUGGUCGUCAUUUGCGCUUGCAUCACAUCACUCUGACUGGUCUGAGCUUUUUUUACUGGCUAUCCCCAUGUCAGCAAGGGGUAUGUUGCCUGUGUGUGAUAACCCACUGAAUGUGAGUUCUGAUCUGGUUCAGGUUGCAGGGCAGUCCAGUCGGGCGAGGGUGUAGGGAGGACAGGGAGGGUUAGAGAGACAGAGAGAGAGAGGGAAAGAGGAGGGAGAGAGAAAGAGGGCCAGGGUUGGGAUGUAGUUUUAGGUACCUGGUCUGUCCACCGCAAUGUACAUGAGCCAGGGGGUCCAUGUCAGGUUACACUUCUCUGUUAUUGUUUCCAUGGCAUGUAUUUCUCUCACCCUAUCUACCCAUCGUUUUCCAGAGAGUGGGUAUUAGGGAUUUUGCCGCAGUCAGUAGAUGUUUCGUCAGGGACUUCUUAUAGGUUUUUAGCGCCAUGCUUGUGUGGUGUAGUAGCAUGGGAAGGGGCUGGAGCGGGAGUUCCGGAUCCGAUAUUUCUCUGAUUUUAGUGUUUACCAUCUCCCAGAAGGGAGUACAGGACCACCAGACAUGAAUCAUAGUGCCUCUUUCCUCUCCGCAACGCCAGCAUAUCUCUUCACUGUCACAGAUCCAUAUGGUGUCAUAUGUCUUGGGUCCUGUACCAGGUUGUUAGCAAUUUGUAGCUCAUCUCCUGGAAUUUGAAGCUAACAGAGCUUUUGUGUGUGAGUAAGAAUAUUUUGUCCCACUCUUGAGCAGUCAGGGUCUCUCCAGUUUCUCUCUCCCAUCUACCAAUGAUCUUCGGUGGCGGUCUGUUUUCUCCAUCUAGAAGCAUUGCAUAUAGUGUUGAAAUCCCUCUCUCUACGUGUUGUCUGGUCGUAUGUAAGGUCUUGGUGGAAGUGGUGUUUGGUUGCUGUGGUGGAGUAGUAGGACUUGAUUUGGAGGUAAUGGAACCGAUCAAGGCCUGUUGGGGUGGCAUCAGGGAGCAAGCCUGUCAGGGUUUUGAGGGUGCCGUUGUCGCACCAUUGGGGCAUGCAGGUCCAGUCAGUCCGUGCGAAGUUUUGUAGGUCUUCCGGCACCAGGCCUCCCCCGACGUCCGGGUUAUAAAUAAGGGGCGUGAGCAAGCUGGUGUGAGUGGUCAGCUGCUGUGGGUAACAGAGGGAACACCAUGCCUUCAGGGUUGCAUCUAUCAGGGGGUUGAGUGGCGCUCCUGGCCUCCAUAGUAGCGAGGGUGUCUUUCCCUCUGCCUGUGUUAUCUCAGCUCGCAUCCAGAGUUUCUCCGUUGGUUGGGCAUGCCAGUCGGUGACCCUCAGCAGGUGAGUUGCUCUGUAGUAUCCUAUGAUCGAGGGGAGCCCAGCGCCCCCCCCCCCCCGUUGUUUGGGUUGUUCUAGUUGGUGUUUACCGACUCUCGGUGCUCCCCGAUUCCAUACAAAUUUCCGAAUAGCUGUAGAGAUGGAUUGAAAGAAUGCCCUCGGGAAUAUCAUCUGGAAUAGAUACAGGAGGCGCGGGAGACUAUUCAUCUUGAUCGCAUUAAUAUGACCAAACCAAGAAAUGUAUAGAUCUGUCAAUUUUUGCAUAUCUGCCUACAAGGAGGUAAGGAUGGGGACAAAGUUUGCCUGGUAAAGUUGUGAGAGCUCUCUGGUCCACUCAUGGAAGUUCCUGUCCCCUCUCGCUAGGCGCCGUGAUGUUGUCCUCAACAGCUUGUAAGCUUGUAACCUUUUCCUUCCAGUUCUGUCUCCCGGCACUGACCACAAGGGGUGGAGCCUAAAUCAGUGUGGGGAGCUUAGCACUGCACAACUUGCUGAUCCGCCUCUAUGCACCCUCUCAGGAUCGGCCCUGGUUGGGAUGUAUAUGAAAGGCAGCUGACUUUGAUGUUAGUCCUGCCAAAAAUCUGCCCUGUGGCUUAUACAGGUACUGCAUUUGCAGUGCUAACUGCUGAACUACCACACCCACCAAUAUCCUUACAGAAUAAUAUAGGAUAUGUGCUAAUCAACUUGUGCAUUAAGUAGAAAAUUGUGUUUCUUUGUGCAAGACUUCAAUUAAAAUAGUCACACCCAAGGUAAAGAUUAAUUUUUUUGUUGUGUACAUCAUCCACCAACCUUUGCCAUCUAUUUAAUUCUGAAAAAAAAAAGUCACAUCUGUUUAAUAUAAAUAAGAUUUUUGCAUACUUUUUUAUAAACUUUUAAAAAGUGGGUCAGGGCAAAUAAGACUUGUAUAUUAUUAUAUUAAGUCGAAUUAUAUAUAAAGUAUGCAGUGUGUUACAACUUCUAGUGCUUUUUAUAAACGUUUUAAGUUGCAGCAAUGUUAUAAAAGAGACAUUAGCGUUUUUAGCUUUUAAUUUAGAAAAUUCAAAUUUCAACCACAAUGUGCUAUUUAGAUAACAGAUGUUUAUAAUUAAGAAUUAUUCAUAUGAGUGCUAUGCACUUUGUUUGUUUUUUUUGUUUACAUGAUAUAUGUUUUAAUUGAACUUUAUAAGCAACAUUUUUUUUAAAUUAAACUGCAAGAUUUCUCAUUUUUGUGUUCUAUAAAAGGAUGUGCGAUGAGUUUCCAAAACAAAUUAGUAUGAAAUAGAAGCCAAUUUUAUCAGAAUUGUUCUCUGCGGUGCUAUCAGAAUUACACGCAAGACAGGGAAUUAAAAAAAACACACAAAGCUUCACGCCUUUCCCAUCCAAAACAUUUUAUUCCUGUGAGAUGAAGUAUCCGGGGGCAGAGCAGCAUCAAAACAAUCUAUUAUUGGAAAUCAGUAUUAAGACACGAGGAAACGCCCAGUGGAAAGCGCAGGUGGAUCAUGAACAAAUUCAAUUUGUGAUGAUAAUGCCUAGUCAACUUAAAGGAUCACUAUAGUGUCAGGAAAACAAACUCGUUUUCCUGACACUAUAGCAUCCUUAGGACCCCCCAACCCUCAGGGUCCCCCUCCCGUGGCGCUGAAGGGGUUAAAACCCCUUUGGUUACUUACAUUAAUCCAGUGCCAGGAUCUCUCGGUGCUGGUGACCUCUCCUCCCCCUGCUGACGUCAGCUCCCGAGUGGAGCGGAAUGCGCAUGCGUGGCAAGAGCCGCGCGCGCAUUCAAACAGUCCUUAGGAAAGCAUUUCUCAAUGCUUUCCUAUGGACAUUCUGCACGCUGAAUGCGAAUUUUGCAUCCAGCGUUGCAAAAGCACCUCUAGCGGCAGUCAGGAAAACAGCCACUAGAGGUUGGAUUAACCCUGCAAUGUAAACACAACUCUGAAACUGCUAUGUUUACAUGUGAAGGGUUAAAACCUGAGGGACCUUGACUGAAGUGGUCUGGGGGACUAUAGUGUCUGUUUAAUUACUGACUAACUGCAUGCAGACUAAGAAAAAAAUUAAAUACACAUUCAAACUGUUAUUCACUGAAGUUUCAAUUUUCAGGAAUUCAAAGUGAAUUUCACAUAGUAUGCAUUUAAACCCAAACUGAAAACGAACUUGUAGAAUUUUUCCAAUUACACUAUUUUGGUCUAAAAUGCGAUAUUUACUGUGAGGUUUAUUCGUAAAACUCUGAGUUGCCCCCCAAUUGAAAUUGAAUAAACUAAUUUCCACAGAAAUAGCUGAAAAAAUAAUCCAAUACCUCCCUAAUCCCAGUUUGACUAUUUUGGCCAGAAUUGAUUUUUGAUUUACUAAAUUACAUACAUACUUGAUUCAGGGAGUUGCAAAAGUGUCUUUUUAUUGCCAAUAUGGUGAAGAAGUUAAAGGACCACUAUAGUGCCAGGAAAACAUACUCGUUUUCCUGGCACUAUAGUGCCCUGAGGGUGCCCCCACCCUCAGGGACCCCCUCCCGCCCGGCUCUGGAAAGGGGAAAGGGGGUUAAACCUACCUUUUUCUAGCGCUGGGCGGAGAGCUCUCCUCCUCCGAUCCUCCUCUGUUCCGCAACGUCGGCUGAAUGCGCACGCACGGCAAGAGCUGCGCGCGCAUUCAGCCGGUCACAUAGGAAAGCAUUCAUAAUGCUUUCCUAUGGACGCUGGCGUGCUCUCACUGUGAAAAUCACGGUGAGAAGCACGCAAGCGCCUCUAGUGGCUGUCAAUGAGACAGCCACUAGAGGAUUAGGGGGAAGGCUUAACCCAUUAAUAAACAUAGCAGUUUCUCUGAAACUGCUAUGUUUAUGAAAAAAAUGGGUUAACCCUAGCUGGACCUGGCACCCAGACCACUUCAUUAAGCUGAAGUGGUCUGGGUGCCUAGAGUGAUCCUUUAAGUGUCACAUUACAGGAUCGGGCCUAGGAUAAGAUAUGCGUGCCUCUGGUGCACAUGAGAUCCUGAAAGUAUUUAUAGAGACAUUAAGGAGCCUCAGCUCUUUAGACAUGUAAUGUGCGGAAUAAUAGCAUCAAAGUGUUUGAUGUAGCAUGAAAGAAUAACUUACCAAAGUGCUAAUUGUUGCUAAUUUCAAAUUUCACAACAAAACAACAAAAACAACAACAAAACCAAAUUUGCUAAAAAUCUGCUAUAUUUUCCUGACAUACUUUGAUAUAAAAUUUGAAAUUCAUUUUCAAUUUAAAUUGAAUUUUAAUUCACACGCUAGUGAAAGACCUUGCACAAGUGUAAGGUUAAAUUGGAACAAUCACAGCAAUAUUGCAUUGGUUCCCAUGGUGACUGCUCCACAUUUCACCACAGACUUGUCACGUGUACAUUAUUUUGCGCACGUGACUUACAAAAUUGUUGAAAGCUCUGAAUUAUCCUAGUUAUAGUUUUUAUUGACAAUGAAUCACACAGUUUCAGUAACCGAAUAACAUUGUCUUGUCACAACUAAAUAUCAUUAUAUGAAAUUUAAAAAUGCUGACAAUUAAUCCAGUGGAUUAUGAAAAUAAUAAAUGUAUUCAAAUAAAUGACAAGGCUUGGGCUAUUCCAGUUCAUUGGAGCUUAUCCAAUCUCCCCAGGGCAGUCAUUUCCUAAUCUUCAAAGUAAAAGAGCAAAAGACAUUAAUUAGAUCCCAAUUACCAAUGUUCCUCUUAGUUGCUCGCAUUGAAACAGGUGAAGAAGAUUCACAACGAGCAAAGGAGGAGUAGAAGAUACAAGAAAAUCCAGAUUCAUGUCUUGCACAACAAGCUUGUCUCCUUUAAGUGACAGCUUUCCCCUAAGGCCGGGCUGGACGAAUGGCAGACACCAAGUUGUUGUUGUUAAAAUACAUCCCCAGUGAUGGUAUGCCAAUUGCAAAAUACAAGCACUGAGCUCUGACUGGCUAAGAAUUAAAGGCCUCUUCAUUUCAACAAGGUCGCCUGGGUCAUACUUUCAACAGACCACGAGUGCUUGACUUAUGUUAUGAUUUAAAAUGAUUAAUUGGGAAAUAUAAGUUCCUUCACCAACUCUCAUGAAAAACUGAAGAGACCAGUUUGGUCAUAAUCAUAAUGACUGAAGGGCUGACAAGUAGGGCAGUUAGGCAAUUGACUUCUUCCCCAGCUACUAACAAACAUGAGGUAUGGGAUGCAGUCUAACACCUUCUUCUCUGGAUUACAAUAGGAGGAGAGAAGUUCUGAUUUCUGUUUGGACAGUACAGCAGGAGUGGGGCGGCCGACAGGAUUUUUGCAAAGUGUUUGCUAUUCAAGCAAUGCAUGAGUUUGUGCAUGGCCUGUAGGCCCACAAUUGCAAUGUUCUCCACUAUAGGACUGGAUUGGCCCACUGGGAUAUUUCUCUCCCGCAAGUCCAUAUAUUGCAUGUUCAGUGGGAGGAGAAUCAUCCCAUAUCUCAAUGCACGUGGAACAUAUGUGACAACUGUAACAGUUAAUAUCCAGCUGAGUUUAUGUGGUACUUAGCACAGAACUCAACUCAGGUAGGCUCCCAAGUUAAGAAGUGACCGAAGUGAUUCCUGGGAGCAUUAUUUUGGCUUUUGCCCUUGUUGGUAUAGCUAAAUUUACUCCCCCCUUACCACACACCUUUUAUUUGCUUAAUGUGGAUUCUGUCAAAGAGUGCCUGAGACCAUUGAAAAUCAUGCACAUGGAUGAGAUGUAUCUACAGGUCUAUUUAGCCACAGCUGGAUAACCUUUUAAAUGGCAUAAGCAGCUCUGCCUGGAAGGGGGUCCUUCUUGAGCCAGAAUAUCUCCCUACUCAUCUCUGUCCACCCUCACUACCUCAAGUGAGCUUUGUGGUCUGUACCUCUAUUGGAUGCAGAUCAAUAUGAGAGCUCCAAGCAGUCCCAGUGCUUCUCAAUAAUUCAGAGCAUCACUGACAAUGCAACAGACUGUGAGGGAGCUGUUCAAGUGUUCUGCACCUGAUAGAGAUGCAGUCCACAGCAGAUCUAGCUCUACGUUGUGCAUGUCACUGGACCACCAGGGAUAACACCCUCCUCCUGCCAAAAGGUAAACAGGAGAGGGGGUGAAUAGGAAAUAAAUGUCCUGCACUAGCACACACAACACUCAGAAAGCCACCACACAGCAUAGCCUCACUUUUACACACAACGCUCAGCCACACUCAUCCUCCUCCAAACACAAAAUUCAGCUACUAUCACCUACCACAUGUAAACAAAAAUCCAACACUCCACACCUCAACCUUUCCCCCACACAAACAGCACUCAGCCUCCUGCACACGCUGAGCCUUCUCCACAAAACACAGAACACACAGGCUUCCCCCGCACACAUAUGACACUUGAACAUCACAAACACUCAGACACCCUCAUUCAUGGAACACGGCCUUGGGGUAGAAGAGGGAGCCCCAGUUGACCAUCCUGCUUAGGGUCCUGGGCAAGUCUGCAUUUAGCAAUGUAGACUGGAUCAAGACAGCACUGGUGUACACAUGGCAUCAUAUAGAAAUGAGGUUUAACAGUCAUAGAAGAAUACCACUGGGAAAGUAUUACAGACCAUAGACAUACAGAUAAAAUGCCCAAAACCCUCUCCAUAAAACAUAAAUCAUACCUACAAUUAAGACCUAAACUAACAAAAUAAGGUAGAUCUCUGCUGACACACUGGUGCUGUCGGACCUCUCUGGAAACAUUACUCAGUCCACUGAGCUUUCUAUAUAAAAGUCAGGAAACUUUUCAUUCCUCAUACAUAGUCAAUAUAAUGUCAAACUGCCAUCAGUGUACCAAGUGACUGCGUUACCUUGGUGCAUACAUUUUAGUGUCUCGGUAGACAUGUGUUUUCCACACUGCCAUCUUAUCCCUAGCACCUCCUUUAUCAGCUUCAAUUUUUACUGUUAAAUAACAACUGUAAAUCAAGGAAAAUGCUUUCAAGAAACAUUAAAGGGUCACUCCAGACCCCUAAAGCACUUUAGCUUGCUGAAAAACUUUAUGUUGCCAUAAACUUUCUGAAGAGUGUGUCCUCUUUUAUCAUUUUGGAAAUAGUGCAGAUUUCAAUAGAAAUUUACACUUUUAUAAAUUAUACUGGUUACACCCCCUUGGCUUUCAAGUAGACAGCAGGUCCUGUCACUUCCUGGUUAGGUUAACUCAGGAAAGUUAAACUCAAGAGGCAGCAAUUUUGAGAGCACCUGCCUUGCAAAGACUUCUCAUUGAGCUGCACUGGGAUGUCUGAUUGGACAGACACAGAAAGUCUGGUCGGGGUUAGGAGGGAAGGGCUUGCAAAGGCAGCAGACCAGAGAACUGCAGGUUUUGCAAGCUAUUUUUUAGAUAUAACUCCAUUGAAAAAAUGUAUAAUUAAAUGCAUGCAAGUUUUCAUUUUGAGGUAUAUCUACUAAACAGUGAUUUUUUAAAUUUAUUUUGUAUUUGGGCAGUGGAGUGUCCCUUUAACACAUUAAAAUAAAUAUGCCAUAAACAGCUGUAACCGUCUUACUGGAGAUAUUUGUUCAGAGAUUAUAAUGGAUGAAUGAUAGCUCAAAAUUCCUAGGAAAUGUGGGAGGUAGAGUCAGUAACACUUAGCGACCAGUUGAAAACGCCCCUUGUAUAAUUCUUAUAUAAAUUAAUAUGUAAUUCUCUACCCCAGCCCGAUAUCUCUGGAAAUGAUGAAUGAAUACAUAAUGAAGCAAAAAAAAGUCUAUGCACAAAAUGAGUUUGAUCUGAAUUCCUGUGCUAUUUAUAUGACUAACAUUUCAAAGAAAAGCAAAGCUUAAUUUUGAGGACUAUGAUCUGGCAGUGAAUGGGUUAACAGGUAUUCCUGGUUUUGUCUACUUUUUUUGGUCUGACUGACCACUAGAGGGCGCUCGUAGUUUUAAUGCUAAUAGUGAGCUUUUUUUUUUUUUUUUUUAACUAAUUGAGGUACUGAUGCAAUAAUUGCAAGUGCAGGUCCAUACAUACAUGGGCAGUCAAGUUAUUCAUGAUUCCAACAGUAGCAUGGCAAUAAGAAUCCAGGGAAAUUGUAAACAUGCAAGGAAGUAUUAAUAAUAAAUAGUAGAAAUACAAUCUGCAAAAUCAUUGUGACAAAAAUAAUCAAACUGCCCUAAAUUUUGCAGUUAAAAAGAAAUCACUUUAAAUCAAUGUUAAGUUAAUAAUCCCCAGUGUCAUUGAAAGUUUGCCCAAAAUAUUUGAGCAUUCUACCAUUUUUUUUAUAUUCACACUGCACCGAUCUACUUCUCAACCUCACUUUUCUCCCAGAGCUUAACCCCUGAAGGUUGGGUGGUGGUUUAUGAUUUGACUGAAUUCAGCAUGCACACAUUAUAAUCAGGGCCGGUGCAAGGAUUUCAAAGAUCCAUUUUGCCGCCCCCUCAUGUCACUCACUCAGACACAAAGACACACACCAUCACUGACAGACACACAGACACACACACUCACUGACAGACACACACUCAAUGACACACAUACACUCACUCACUGACACACACACACACACACUUACUGACAGACAUACACUCACUUACUGACUGACAUAUGCUCACUCACUGACAGACACACACACACACACACACACACUCACUGACAGACACAUACACACACUUACUGACAGAUAUACACUCACUGUCGGACAUACACUCACUCACUGACAGACACACACACACACACACACUCACUGACAGACAGACAGAUACACUCACACACAGACACACACACUCACUGACAGUCAAACAGUCAAACACUCACCUCCCUGGGGUCCAGUGUGGGGCAGCUCCUCACUCCUCCUGCCCCCUGUUUAGUUUGCUGGGGUGGGAAUGACAUCAUAUUCUGGCUCCUGACAUCACAAAGGGCGCCCGAGGGAGGAGUGAGACACUGGAACAACAGCCUCCCUCGCCGCCUGCCUUCUCCGUCCCCCUUUUCUCAGGUAAAUAGCAUUUGUUGGCAGAGCAGGCACCUGCCAUCAAGGUAAGCAGGUGCCUGCUCUGCCUUACCUAGCACAGAAUCGGGGACGCCCUGAAGUAACUAGAUGGCCACCUCCUGGCCCCCCUGUGACAGGGCUCCUCUCGACGCCCCCCCUUCUGGCGCCUUGAGGAGCUCAAGAGCCGCUCGCCCAGUGCUGUGCUGUGGCCUCAGACAGGGGGAGGCCACCAGGAAAUAUCCUGGUGGGGGCCCCCAGCAGUCUGGUCCCUAGGCGAAUGCCUAGUUCGCCUAAUGGUUGCUCCAGCCUUGAUUAUAAUAUACCACCUGUUGAAAUAUCUCCAAAACCCAGAAAUUCAAACUACUUUAUUGUCUUUUUAAAUAUGUAUUUAAUGUAAAUAUGUAUAGUGUAUUCAGAAACUGAAUUAAUGGCAGAAGCUGCGAUAGAUAGAUGGAUGGAAAUAUAGAUAGAUAGAUAGAUAGAUAGAUAGAUAGAUAGAUAGGUAAAUAGAUAGGUAAAUAGAUAAAUAGAUGUUACUGCCUGGAAAUGUAACUCCCAAUAAUUUUACAGUGUGAUGUGGUGACAUAAAAUACUAAAUACAUAGACAGACAGGCAGAUGGACAGACGGACGGAUGGACGGUUAGAUAGAUACCUAAGAAAAAGUGACAUCACUAAUUCACUAGUCAAAGUAAGUGAUUAUUGUGAACAUUAGAACUUGGGAGUGUAUGUCUGUGAAAAGCCACCUGUUCGAAGGCUAUAUUGAAGGGAGGAGAAUAAAGGCAAGAGAAAGGUUUGGCUAAACAAUCCCUGCAAAUACAUCUCACAAAGGACAUAUGAAGGUGAAGUUAGAAUGGCAGGUAUGGUAACUAAGAUGACUAAUGUUGGAAACGUCUAAUCAUUGUGUCCUGCUCACUAAAAAGACAAAGGGGUAUCAAAUGGGAUUAUUCACCAUCACAGAGUUCUAGAAACGGAACAAUGGUAUUUGCCUGAGGCUCUAUCGACACAAGAAGUUGAAAAAUUAGUAUGUUGUAAAAUGGUAUACAAAUUAGGAACUCCAACAGAACAAACAGCAGUUGUCAUCGUUACCCUUCCCUUGUGUCUUUCUAGAAAGAUUGAUGUUGAUUUACCAUUUGCAAUAAGAUUUUGUAAAAAAUAACAUAUUUUCAAGAAAUUCAAAAUCAGCUAGACAUUGGCAUAAAAUGGCACUAUGGCUAAAACAGGCAAUGUUUAUCACUCUCUGUGCUGUGGGCUACUAGCCCAACAUGGAUGCAAAACAUUGCAUUUUUCAGAACUGUUGCAAGAAUGUGUUAUGGUACUAACUGAGGAUCCACGUGAUGAGCAACAGUACAUUUGUAUUUAGGUCUUUGUCUUAUGUUUUAGGUUUGUUUUGCUAUAAUCACUUACCAUAAUGCUAAUUCAUGUAUAUAUUUGUAUAGUGCUAUCAUAUCUCCUCAGAGAAAACAAUUCUAGUUUUUCUAGCCUUCCCUCAUAACUAAUGUUUUCCAUUCCCCUUACUAGUUUUGUAGCUUGCCUUUGCACUUUUUCUAGUUCUGCAAUAUGUUUCUUUAAAGCUGAGGCCGGCAUUGCAUACUGCUGCCUAAUUUGUGACCUAUUAUUUUUCCCAACUCCUUUAGAUUUAAAAUUAUCCCUAACUCUACCUAAUUUAAUGUAUAAGUGACUUGUGGGUUCCUUAUUCCAAAAUGCAUGACUUUACAUUUAUCUAUAUUGAAUCUUUUCUGCCACUUCCCUUUGCAGAUAAAGUUCAGAUUUUAUUUUACAUUGCUACAUUUAGUACUUAUUAAUUGUAUUUCGCCUUUAGAGGGAACCUCUGGGCACCAUAACAUCUUAAUCAGAGUGAAGUUGUUAAGGUGCCAGGAGGUCCCAGGCGCUGGCUUACCUUUGGGUGUGUCAUGAGUGGUUUAACCCCAAAGUCUUCUCUCCAGUGCCAUUUAGCUUUGCCCCUGAUCUUUGCUGCUUUUAGAUCUUUCAAAUAGGUAGCACCGGAAUGCCGCAGACAGGGGUGCUGCUGAUUGGCUGAGAAUGUCAACUGAAAAUCUAAGCCAAUCAGAAGCUCCUAAUUCACUAAAGGGCUUAAAAAACAUAUGUAUUUUUCUCAAGCAAUUUUUCUGAAUGUGGAACAACUGUUUGGCUUAGAACCUUAGAUUCUGCUCUCAGAAUCCACUAUCUGCGACAAUCGAUGACUUCCAGUUUCUAAAUAGUACUGUAGAGAAGACUGUGGGUUAAACCAUUUGAGAACUAAAGAAACGCUGGCAUAGGGUACCAAGCUAUGCAGCUUUCAGUAUUUAUAAAUAGACAUAACAAAUAAUCAGAUACAAAGUUUCCAAUUUUAGUUAAGAUAUGAUUUCUUCCACCUCCCACUUUCUAUUUUGUGAACUUUAACAAGAGAUUUAACACUAAGCUUCAUUCGAGUCACGGUAACUCCAUGACUCCUGGUAACCAUUGGUGGUACAUGGGCCAGACUGUGAGGAAACUGUGUUGUAAUAUUAUCAAACAAAUACAAGAAAUAGGAAAGGGUGUGUGUGUAUCUGUGUGUAAGGGUGUGUGCAUUGGUCAGUGUGUGCAUCUGUCAAGGUGUGCAUUUGUUAGUGUGUGUGUCUGUGUGGGUGUAUGUGUAUCUAUGUGUUAGGGUGCUUGUCUGUAUGUGUGUGUGUGUGUAUCUGUAUCUCAGGGUGUGUGGAUGUGUCAAGGUGUGUGUAUCUAUGUGUCAAUGAGUGUAUCUAUGUGUGUAUGUGUCAGGGUGUAUAUUAUUAUCGCCAUUUAUAUAGCGCCAACAGAUUCCGUAGCGCUUUACAAUAUUAUGACAUUAGGUCCCCCCCAAUUUGUAUUUAGGGCCCCACCAACCGCUCAGGGGUGGGGCCAGGGGGAGGACAUUAGGUCCCCCCUUAUUCUAGUUUAGGGCCACCACCCAACGCUCAGGGGUGGGGGCCAGGGGGGAGGACAUUAGGUCCCCCCCAAUUUAUAUUUAGGGCCCCCGCUCACCGCUCAGGGGUUGGGGCCACGGGUAGGACAUUAGUCCCCCCCCCUUAUUCUUGUUUAGGGCCCCCACCCACUGCUCAGGGGUGGGGGACACGGGGAGGACAUUAGGUCCCCCCCUUAUUCUAGUUUAGGGGGCCAGGGGGGAGGACAUUAGGUCCCCCCAAUUUGUAUUUAGGGCCCCCACCCACCGCUCAGGGGUGGGGGCCAGGGGAAGAACAUUACUCAGUACUACUAAGUAAUUUUUAUUUAGUAUUAGUAAAUUUGGCUGAAAGACCAAUUUAGGUCUUUCAGCCUUUUAGUAGAUAGCUCUCCAAUACCGUGGGAAUUAGGGAGUUAUCUACUUAUUCAUUCCUGUCAUUACAUGACUGGCUAAGUAACUUACAUUUUAUAUGAAUGUGUGUUACUUGAUUGUUGUAAGUGUUGCAAACGCCAACAGCUGAAUCCUGGCUAUGUUUGUAUACUUUUUUUAAAAAUUGUAUACAAUGUAACAUUCUUCUAAGUAUAUUAGUACUUAGGCAAUACUGUGCUUCGGAACUUCGGAACUUCGGAACUUCGGAACUUCGGAACUUCGGCACUUUGAUACCUCGGAACUUCGGCAACUUCGGAAUAUCGGCACUUGAGCAAUUCGUAUUUAGGGCCCCCGCUCACUACUACACUUCAGAAAUUCUGUAAUUUCGGCACUUCGGGACUUCGGCAAUUCGGCAAUUCAGCUAUUCGGACAUUUGGAAUCACCCGAAAGUCCGAAUUACCCGAAAUUCGGCCAAAUUUUCAUUCGCACCGAAACGAAUUUCACAUGUCUAAUGUAUAUCUGUGUAAGUAUGUAUGUAUGUAUGUGGCAGUGUAUGUGCAUACAUCCAAGCAAACACCAACACAACAUGCAAACACACUCUUGCAAUCUAACACAAAUAUUACAUACUGCAUUCCCACGCCAAAAUUAUAUACAAGCACACCCCUUCACUCAAACACUAAUACUACACACAAAUGUACAAGCAUAUUUAAAAGCCAAUAUUACAUCCAAACACACCCCUGCAAUCAAACACAAACAUUUCAUGCAAACACACCCCUGUAUUAAAACACUGAAAUUAUAUACAAGCACCCCUUCAAUCAAACAAAAACACUACACACAAAGGGCUCCUGUAUUUAAAAACCAACACAACAUAUAAACACACUCAUGCAUUCAAGUACAAACACUACACACAAGUACACUACUGCAUUCCAAUGGCAACAGUAUAUACAAAUGCAUACCUACAUGCACACAUAUACUCUGUACAAAAACACGCUUACAUUCAAUAGCACAAACACUGCUCGCAAAUACAACCUUGCAACGGUGGGAAAAUAGUAGAUCCCCACGUGGUAUAGCAUUGUUGGAGUUGUAUGACAGAUGUCAAUUUGAACACUCUGGCACUACAUGGGGCUCAAAAAACGUUCUUGCGACAGACAGACAGACAGACAGACAUACACAGACAGACACACAGACAGAUAGAUAGAUACUUGAUUUAGGUAGUGGUUACAUCUCUUAAAAAAGCAAAACAUUACUUAAAGGGACACUGUAGUCACUAUAAGCAUUUCAUCUCUUUGAAUUGGUUAUAGUGCCCUGGCGUUGUCCCUCCAUUCAGUGUUGAACCAUGUUUGUGCAGUAUGCCACAAAAUAAGAGUCCCUGGCCACCCACAGUCCGGCCCCUUCAGUUUGUGUAGCUAAGGCAGAGGUUGCACACUUCCUUGUUGUCAUACCCAUUCAUACCGUCAGUUGUAACUCUGACAGGCUAAAAGCAGUCAGCUGACACUCUCAGCCAAUCACAGCUGCCUAUUGCUGCUCAGGUUAAUACUUCCUUAUUAGCCAAAGCAGCACAGAGAGGAUGGAUUGCCAGGGACUCUUGUUUAGCAUUAAAACAUUAAAACUUUAAAAACGGUUUAAUUCUGAUAGAAAUGAUGGGACCAGAGGACUCCAGACACUAUAACCAGUUUAAUGAAAUGAAGCAGAUACAGUGCCUACAGUGUCCCUUUAGAUGAAAAUUGAUCCAUCAUAAGCGUAUUUGAGAAACCACUAAAAUUUUGAAACAGCUGCUGUUAAGAUGAAAAACUCUUUAAACUUUACAACUGAAUCUCUGGCUAGGGUAACAAAUGCUACAGAUUUAUUUAAUAAAUAAUUUAUCAUUUUAGAAGAAAAAUAUUUAUCUUUUUCUUUUCCUUCUUUAGGUGGUAUAGAGAAGACCAUUUCACCUGAUUCUGGAUAGCCACGAGUAAGGUAAAUAAUUUGGUUUAUUAGCAAUGUGUAAAAGUAUGUGUCUUUGAGAAUUUCUGGACGGCUGAACAGUUAUAAAUCUGUUUAUGUAAUGCUUUUAAAUUUCACCUUUCUCUCAAGCAUAUUGUUAAUGGGUUACAGAUUUGUGCAUUCAGUUUUAAACUGAUUGUGAUUUGUUCGAAUUUUGAACAAUCGUCGAGUCUUCAGAAUUCUGUAACUCUGAAUUACAUUGUGACUGAAUCAUAAAACACAAUGAAAUGGACAAUGGAAUAUCCAUUUCAUUUGACUCGUGAUACGUAGUUCCACCUGUGUUGCCAAAGACAAAGAUGACCGAUGAGGAAAAAAGAUACUUGAUGGUUAAGAGAGAGUGAUUAAAUGUUGACUUUAUUCAAAAAAAUAUGUUUUACUGCUCUUUUUGUUUUUCCAUUAAUUGGUUACUUCUUCUCAUUUGAUCUGUGAAACAAAUGGUGGGAAAAUAUGUCUAUCAGUGUACUGUAUUUAUAUUUUGUCUCCACUGACAGGCCCAUUUUCCCACCCUUUUGGUUUGUCCGAUUUGAUUUAAUGGAUCAUUUGCAUGGACAAAAUUCAGCUUAAUCAAAACUAUCAAACCACAUAAACUGAUAUAUUAUUAAAUUUUUUGGAUGAUUCAAUUGAACUGAUUUUUUUUCCACUGUGCACAUUCUAGUGGAUUAUAACAUUAUUUAAGAUUUAGGCAUUGGUGGUUUGCGUAUUUUUUAAUACUAUAAAAUAAUUGUUGAUUCUGCACAGUCUUUGCAUUGCAGGAAAAAUAUAUUGUUUCAAGACUUAUAUUGGGGUAAAGUAGAAAUAAUUGCAAAAUGCAUUAUUUAAUUAAAACCAUGGGAGUUAUUAAGUCCAGAAACUUAGCUCAAAGCAAAAUAUUAUGACCUCUCUCUCAAGGUAGUACCCUGCAAGGGGAACUAAAGUAAAACAUGUCGCUUACAUUAUAUCUUGCCUCCUCCUUGGCUGAGAUUGUCAGUCAUGAUGCUCUCAGCCAAUCCAUUGCUUUCCCAAAGGAAAUCACUUGGCUACUAGAACACACGUGUGACAAAGUACUACGCUGCUCUGUGGCUAGCAUUUAAUUGAAGAACUGAGUGAGGAAGACAGCCACUAGAGGUGUAUUAACCCUACCUUUAAUGUUGCAGGGCUAAAAGGAGAGGAUCACUGCACCCAGACCAAUUCAUUGAGAUUAAGUGGUCUGGGUGCCUAAAGUGGUCUUUUAAAACCUGAAUUCAUGUAUCCUUUGCUCACAAUCCUCCCUGAUUUUUUUUCACUAUCUCUCUUUACUUUUUUGUGUACCUUCAUCCCUCUAUUUUCCCUCACCAACAAUUUGUCUCUCACUUUCUGUCUUUCGUCACUCACUUUCAUGUCUCUCCUCAUCUCCCUAAUCCCCAUUGUAUCCACAGUGGAUCCGGAGCUAAUGAGUCCUAUUUCGAGGACUCCAGCCACUAAAGCCUCCACCUAGCAAUGCCUGUGUUUAACCCUAUAUGGGAUCACCUGGUGAAAAAGUGCACACAAGAGUUGGUCUCAAGCCUUUGUAGAUUAGUUUAAUGCCCAAUAUCUGUUUAUGGUAACAUUGGCUAGGUAUUUUUCACCAUAUCAGUGAUCAAACAAUGAAGUAUAGAUUGCUUUUAAACAAGAAUGAGGAGACAGUGUAGCUUAAUAGAAAGAGGUAGCUUUAGGGUGGCUAUCUACUGUAUUUCACAAGACGCUUUUUAUUCUUUGCUGCGACUUUUAAUCUAUGUGAAGGUCACUUUAAUACACUGGUGGACCCUAGGAAAAUUCUCACACAUAUUGAGUGAAAAAUCAGGUUUUGACAACAGUACUAUUUACUAAUCAUACAAAUACAGGCACUCCUCAUUUACCGACCAGUGUUCCGUUCUUGCGACCAAGUCGUUAAACAAAUUGGUAGGUAAGUGAAGAUGCGCUAGCAAGCAUGUGCAAGAGAGCAGGUCUCCAUUCGGUGAAAUUCCCCUGAUCAUAGACCAUUUCAAUAGUGCAGGGAAUCCAACAAAUCUGUUUGGGGAAACUGCACUGAACAUAGAUUAGCUUACUAGCGCAGAGAAUGGCUGAAAUCUAUGUUCAGGGAAAAUUCCCUGAACAUAGACUAGCUCUUUAACGUGGGGAAUCCCCUGAAUUCCCAUGCUAGAGAGCUGGUCGAAAGUGCGAGCCAUCGUAAAACAGGUAGGUCGUAAAGUAAAGUGAGGACCACCUGUAUAACACAGAUUACUUUAUUGAAUGAGUUGACUGAUAUGAAAUAUUACUUUUUGCUUUGUUUAAAAUAUCUUCUGUUGGUGAAUGAAAGUGGUCGUUGUCAUACAUUUCCCCGUUUUGACAAGCAAAUCCUUUCAUACCUAGAGUAUUUUGAUAAAGGGUGAAUAUUUAACCCCUUAAACAUGACAUGUGUGACAUGUCAUGAUUCCCUUUCAUUCCAGAAGUUUGGUCCUUAAGGGGUUAAAUUAACCCACAGAGUGCACAGCUUCCUGACUAUUUAAAAUCAGUAACAGUGUACAGUAGGAUAACCCCCAACUUUUUCUUUGGAGGUUCUGGGUAUUUUCACUCCAACUUACGAAUGGGGAGCAAGUGAUACGCUGAGAGCGUCAGAUGACGGACAUUCCAAGGCUUCAAUCCAUUGAAAGGAAGUUGCUGGGCAGAGCAGACUGGCACUGUCUUUGCAUGUUUGGAGUUUAAUUGUUCAUAAAUGGUCUAAUCCCUUAAAAGGUUAGACAGUGUCCAGGGCCUCCUGGUACCAUAGCAAUUUGUUAAGAUGCAGUUGUUAGGGUGCCUGAAGUGUCUCUUUAAGAUAUGAAGCAGUCUUUUAGUGUAUUGAUUGUUAUUGAUGGGUAUUUAAAAAUAUUUCAACUGAGGAGAGUUUUCAAAACUAGCUGGUGGUGCACAGGUAUAAAAAUGAAUAUACAUUUUAUUAUAUAUGUCCUAAAUACAAACAAAUCUGCCCUACGGGUUUUGUCAAAGCAAUGAGCUAUAUUCAUCUUUUACAUCGCAUAUCAGCAUUAUUUACGGCAUAGAAUCAUACUGCAUGACUAACUACAACAACUGUUUCUGUUUUCCGUCAUUGCUGUUUUAAGCAAAGUUAACUUUAUCUUUUCGGAAGUCACGUGCUGCGUUUUGACAUUUCAAGUUGUAAAGCAUGUCUCUGCACAACAAUGGGAUGAUUAUUAUUGCUGUCUCAUUCUCCAGCAUCGACAAAGCACUUGGUAGAAUAUGCUUAUUAAAAAAAAAGGUUUGACUCAGCCCAUAGGAAUUAAAAGGAAUCACAGCAUAUAUUACUCAUUCCAGAAGAACAUGUUCUUUGAACAGUUCUUCCAUAUGUCAAUAGCUGAAGCAAGGUACUUGCUGAAGACAUCAGGGUCAAUACACUUGGUGGUGGAAAAACUUGAACAGCGAAGAAAUUAACGUUAGGAAAGAAAAAAAAACAACUACCUUACUAUUUACUAGCACUACCUGCAGGGCAACUUUCAAGCUGCAUGCAAUCAUAACUACACCAUUCAAAAUACACUUAAUGAAACAUACUUACAAGCUCCAUAAAAACCCUACAUUUUCCUGAUAGUGUCAAUAGGCUUCCUCAAUCCCACCCAAGAUGUGAUGGUGUUUUUAUAAACAUCACCAGAUGACUCUCAUGGUAGUGUCUGUAUUGUGUUUUUGUUGCACAUUUUAUUUGUAUUACAGUUGUGUUAGGUAAUAAAGGUAUUUUGGUCAUGAGUUUUGGUCAAAGAUGUUAUAAAUGUUAUAUAGAAGAUAUAGAAGAUCAUUAGGCAGAAAUUCAACUGGUAAAUAAAAUACUUGACACAGAAUAUCUAUCUGUCUGUCUGUCUCUCCACCUACUUGUCUGUCUGACUAUGAGAAGACCCUACUCAAGAAAUAAAUAAGAAUUGUAAAAUAUACAGGGUUGGAUGGGGGGAAUGUAAAUUGCAAUCAUUAGCAUUAAGCCUUGUGGGAAGGCAACGUUAUAGUUUACUAUGCAAACAUAGUGUAAAUAAUUCAAUAAUAAAUUUGAGUUUCGUUUUAUUAUGAACUGCAAUUCAUCAGAAUUUUGGGUGAUCUUGUGAUCAUUAAAAUUCCCGAGCUCUGAGCCCAAAUGCAGCAGAAUCAUGAACCACACGAAUCACUGGAGAUGCAAUAAAGGCACCAAAAAAUUAGAUGAUUGAUGGGACAGUCACAAAAUGUUAACUCUACUCACAGAUAAAUAUAGAAGUGACAAAUAGAGUGAAAUAAAUGUGGAGCAGUAAAAAGAAAAAUCUAUAUACACUAUAUAGGUACACACCUGUUAAUGAUUGAAUUCAGGUGUUUCAAUCUGACCCAUUACCACAGGUGUAUAAAAUCAUGCACCUAGCCAUGAGGUCUGCAUUUACAAACAUUUGUAAUAAAAAUGAGCUCAGAGAAUUUAAGCGUGGAACUGUGAUAGAUGCUACCUUUGCAAAAAGUCAGUUCAAGAAAUUUCAUCCCUGCUAGAUAUUCCACGCUCAACUAUAAGUGGUAUUAUUGGAAAGUGGAGGUGUUUAGGAACAGCAGCAAGUCUGCCAUGAAGCAGAAGACCACGAAAAGUCACAGAGCCGGUUCACUGAGUACUAAAAGUCCACAUUCUGCUGAUUCUAUAGCUGAAGAGUUCCAAACUUUGACUGGCAUUAAUAUCAUCACAAAAACUGUGCGGCUGGAGCUUCAUAGAAUGGGUUUUCAUGGCAGAGCAGCUGUGUGCAAGCCUCACAUUACCAAGUCCAAUACCAAGCGUUGGAUCGAGUGGUGUAAAGCAUGCAGCCACAGUCGAAUCAGACUUUGCUGUUUGGGCAAUUCUGGGUUUGGUGAAUACCAGGAGAAAGUUACCUGCCUGACUGCAGUGUGCCAACUGUAAAGUUUGGUAGAGAAGGGAUGAUAGUAUGGUGCUUUCAGGGGUUGGACAAGGCCUCUUGCUUUCAGUGAAGGGAAAUCUUAAUGCUUUAGCAUUUGGAAACAUUUUGGAUAAUCCUUUCCUUACAACUUUGUGGGGACAGUUUGGGGAAGGCCCUUUUCUAUUCCAGCAUGACUGUGCCAACGGUGCACAAAAGCAAGGUCCAUAAAAACAUGGUUGGAUGAGUUUGGUGUGGAAUAACUUGAUUGGCCCUACAGAGUGGUGGUCUCAACCCCAUUGAACACCUUUUUAGAUGAACUGGAAUGGAGAUUGCAAGCCAGGCCACAUCAGUACCUGAUCUCACAAAUGCUCUUCUUGACGAAUGGGCAUACAUACCCACAGAUACACUCCAAAAUCAUGUGGAAUGCUUUUCUAGAAGUGUGAAGGCUGUUAUAGUUGCCAUGGGGGAACCAACUACAUAUUAAUGUCUAUGUAUUUAGAAUGCAAUGUCUUAAAAGUCCUGGUGUAAAAAUGGUCAGGUGUCCCAAUACUAUUGUCCAUAUAGUGUAAAUAAAUAUAUGUUUACUAAAUGUGCAAUUAUAAAUUUAGGCUUUAUACUAAGCCUCCUAUAUUUCCCUCUAUUGAUUACUGUUUCUCACUGUGGCGAAACCGACCUCGCCACAGGGCAUUGGAGAAGACUGAUUGCCAGCCUCCUGCCAUGCGACUAUGGCCCUGGGAUGUAUUGCCCUUCUAGGAACUGAUUUGGGCAUAUUGUAUUUUAUUAUGCUGCUGCGAGCCCUUUAAGAACCAUCUGGGGACAUACUGUGGAGUUACUGGGUGGCCACCAUUUCAUGUAUCAGAGGCACAUGGUGAGAACAAUGGAUGGUGGCCAUUUUAACUCACAUACACUGUUUUGACUUUUCUACACGGUGCCAUCUCGCCGGUAUUUGGUGCACAAAGACAUCAUUCAGUAGUUUUUUAACUACAGAACAAGGGAAAACAAUUAACAGUAAUUAUUUUUCAUAUAGCCUGUAUAUGUUCUGCGGAAUCUGCAUUAAACCAAACUACUGAAUGGAUCUGGGUGAAUUUUGGAUAUGUGGUUCACCCAGAUCCCCCGGUUCCGAGGAUAUUUUUAUGGGGUUAUUGCAUGUUUUGGGGUCCCUUUGAUAUGUUUUAUAAUACUGUAUUUCUCUGCCUGUGCUAAUUAUAUUAACCAUUGUGUUCAGUAAUCAUAUCACAGGCAGAGGGGAGGAUUUUGUGUGGGAGUGUCUGUGUGGAUUAUACGGAUUGAUUGGUUGUAUUUCAAAACCCUGUGGGCAGUACUAUGUUUGUGGAUUGUGGAUAAAAGAGGCUGUAUGUGCCAGUUCAGUCGGUUCUGCUUGACCUCAAAAAGUGUUGUCUCGUUAUUAUGCUGAUUGCCAGGAGUGUAAGCUGAUUGUAUGCUUUUCCUGUCCAGCUGCUUACAGCAUUCAAAUGCUUGAGAGCAUUCAUAUGCUUCUCCGGUUCGGUGGUUGUGGUGUUGGGUAGAGUGAUUGGAGUCCUCAGGAAGCGCUAGGAGCAUCCUUCAAUGGAGGUACCCAGUAGACUUGGGCAUUCGUAUUUGUCCGAAUUGAUUUUCGUCCGAAAAUAUGCAUUUUCUUCCAUUCUUACGAAUACCGAAUAAAGAAUGGGUAUCCAAACUAAAGAACGAACAAACGAAUGGCCGUUUACCGAAAAUCUUUCGUUUGUUCGUUCAUUCGGCAUUUUGAAUAACACUCUGUGCGAAUUGACACAGCACUCUGUGUAAUUCAAAAAGCCGAACUAAUAACCAAAUGAAUAGCAAUACUCAGUCGGGGUGCCAGGUGAUCCGUUACACUCACUCUAUCUUGGUGUUGAGAAAAAUCCGUUAAGGUGUUUUCCAUAGUGUUUUUAUGACAUUACUAUAGGAAAAUGGGACACUGACUUACUUUUAAAACUUAAGAAUAGGUCACAACCUUUUGCAAUGUGCAUAACUUGUGUUUAAACUAACACAAAUCUUUUGGAUCUUAUUUGGAAUAGUUCUCAGGGUGGCAACCAUUCUGGGCAAACUGUAAAGCAGGUGAUCAUGCGAAAGCAAAAUAUAGUUGAAUGCCAAAGACUAAGUCUGAAACAAUCUGAAGAGUAUGAAGCAGACUAAACAUAAUUGUUGAUCACACUUCUUCCAUAAUAUCAUAAAUUCUUUCUUACAUACCAAAAAUACGUAUUGUAGUAUGAUUUUUUUUUAAGGCUCAUUCAAGUUACAUUUUCUGUUUUUGAACUAGUAUUGCUACUUGUCCGUAAACGAGAAUCAGCAUACUUAAAAUACCAGAUACAGUUUUUUCAGAUUACUUGAAAAAUAUAUUAUCAAAAUAAUUUCAUCCAGAUUUGGAAAAUAUGUAGUAUUAGGUAAAAACUUUUUAUCAUUGGGUCAUAGUAGUUACUAACUAACAACUCCUUAGGUUUUCUGAGUCAUUUACUAAAGUGAGAAUUCUAAAUACCAAAAAUAUAUGCUAUAUGUUACCAAAAAAAAAUAAUUAAAUAUAUAAAACAAUGAUAGGCGAGAUAAUGAAUCUAAGAAAGAAACUUAGCAUGCUGUUCAUUUUAAAGAGCAAUUGAACCACCAUGACCCCUACUUAUACUAAUAAUAACCACUAUAUUUAACCACUAGCUUAUUGGAAUGCUUAUUGUGCAAAAGAUCUUUGGUGCCACCCCACCAUUUUUAGAGUUUUGACAAUAUACAUCACCAUCUCCAUGUGACCUUAGACAUGUACCCUCUGCUUAGAGAGCCCCUGUUAGUGUUCCAAAGAUCACCUUGAGGAUGAUGACACGGCACGGUGGUUGAGACACACACUUUUCUACAUAAAUGACAAUUAUUUCGUUUUAAACAUCACCCCCCUUCCCCCAAAAAACCCCAAACAAACUGCAUUUCAGUGAAGGAACAUCAUGUUAGCUCAUAAGUAUGUGCUAUGUGACUUUAACUCAUUAGUAUGUGUAAUGUGAGUCUGUUUUAAAGUCCAUAUGGCAUGUAAGAAUCAAGGGAACAAUUUAUUCUAGAUCACUAUCAUUGAAAUUUUUGGACAAUCAUGCCACAGUCCUGAUCAAACCCCAAUAAAAACAUUGUGGUAUGACCAAAUACUUGCAAUAAUGCAAGAUGGUAAAAUAUUAAUGACUUGACAGAAUUCUAUAUAGAGUCAUUGGUCAAAGUACAGUACCUCCAAAUUUAUACAUUGAAGUUAUUAAACCUAAUACUUGCCCCUUUUUUUCUAGAGAAGACAGCAAAUACUGGUAGAAUAUGUUUAAUACAUAAAUGAAAAAGUAAAAUUAGUUGUCUUUUCAAUUACAUUCUUUUUGUUUACUUUUAAGACUUAGAUGAAAAUCAGAGCGAUCACAUUUUAGGUCAAAGUAACGCAAGAAUAUAAAUAACUUUCAAGGGUUCGUAACCCUUUUACUACUUAGUGUGUCCACAGUCAACAUUGAAUAGCUGAUGUAAAACAAUACAGCAUGUAAAAAAAUAGUAGUUCAGAUGAUCAAAGGGAGAAAAUAAUCUCUCAUAUGGUCCAAUAACUUAUAAUAAUGACUGAAAAGAUAGAAAAAACGAUUCUUGGAAAGAAGCCAUGUUGAACUUAGCAAUGUUUUAGUUGGAUUGGAGAAUGCUACAGGGUGAUAGGCUAAAUGUAAUAAUGGUAGUAUGGAAUUAUCUCCCUCUAUGUAUCUACGAGGUGUACUGUAGUUGUAUGUGCACUGGUGGAAGAGAUAUAGUGAAAUGGGCAGAAAGCCACCUUCAAGCUAGGUGGCCAGAGACAGACGGUAGCACUCAUCAGAGGAUAGGCCAAAAGUUCAGGGAAGGCAGAAACACUAUCAUAAUCAGAACACAGGCCAAAACCAUCAGCAGAGGUAUGAACUAUGAUUAAAUAUCUAAAAAAAUAUAAAUCAGCUUGGGUGGCAAAAAAAGAGACAAAACAAUUAAGAAGCUUUUACUUUUAUUAAACAUUACAUUUUGACAUUACUGUGACAGUGCACCCCUCCCUGUCACAGGUGCCUCAUCCCAGGACCCUAUCAGGGCCGUCUAUAAUAUGAUUAGGACCCUGGGCAAUGCAUUUUCUUGGGCCCCAUGGGCCCUGUCCCUGCCACUGCCUCACCCCCCAAUUACGUCCAACCCGCAAUCACACUGACAGACGUACUGGCACAUACACACACAGACAGACAUUAAAACAUUCACAGAUACAUACUGACACACAAAGUCACUACACACAAAUAUAUACUGGCAGACAUACUGACACACACACAGACAUACAUACAGACACAUACAUUAACAGAUAUACUGACACACACACAAACACAUACACUGACAGAUAUACUAAAACACACAGACACAUACACUGACAGACACAUUGACACACACACACACAGGCAUACUGACAUAUACACACACACACAGGCAUACUGACAUAUACACAGACAGACGUAAUGGCUGAUACAGACAGACAUUAAACAUUCACAGAUAUAUACUGACACACACAUACACUGACAUACAAAUAUAUCCUGGCAGACAUACUGACACACACACAGACAUACAUACAUACACACACAGACACAUAUACUGACUGACACACACAUACACACACAGACAUACUUACACACACACACAGACAUACUGACACACAAAGACAUGCUGACACACACACACAGACAGACUGGCACAUACACACAGACAGACAUUAAAACAUUCACAGAUACAUACUGACACACACAUACACUGACACACAAAUAUAUCCUGGCAGACAUACUGACACACACGUACACACACACACACACACACACACAGACAUACCUACAUACACACACACAGACAUACUGGCAUACACACAGACAUACUGACACACACAUACACAGACAUACUGGCAUACACACACAGACAUACAGACAUUGACAGCCGCUAGAGGCGCUUGCGUGCUUCUCACUGUGAUUUUCACAGUGAGAGCACGCCAGCGUCCAUAGGAAAGCAUUAUGAAUGCUUUCCUAUGUGACCGGCUGAAUGUGUGCACAGCUCUUGCCAUGCGUGCGCAUACAGCCGACGGGGAGGAGAAGAGGAGGAUCGGAGGAGGAGAGCUCUCCGCCCAGCGGUGGAAAAAGGUAAGUUUUACCCCUUUCCAGAGCCAGGCGGGAGGGGGUCCCUGAGGGUGGGGGCACCCUCAGGGCACCAUCGUGCACUACACAGACACCCAGAUCACAUCAGCUCAAUGAAGUUGUCUGGGUGUCAGGUCCCUCUAGUUUUAACCCUGCAGCUGAAAACAUAGCAGUUUCAGAGAAACUGCUAUGUUUCACUGAGGGUUAAUCCAGCCUCUAGUGGCUGUCUCACUGACAGCCGCUAGAGGAGCACACUGAACGUCCAUAGGAAAGCAUUGAGUAAUGCUUUCCUAUGGGCGGUUUGAAUGCGUGCGCGGUCGGCAUUUGGAGCUGAGAGGUGGAGGGAUCCCCAGCGCCAAGGAAGUCCGGCGCUGGAGAAAGGUAAAUGCUGAAGACACACACUCUCACUAACAGACGCAUACACACUAGCUAACAGACACACACAUUUACUGACAGAGACACAGUCAGCGACAGACAUACAUACACACUCACUUACAAAACAUACACUCUCAUUGACACUCACUAACAGACAUCAAACAGACUCACUAACACACACACACUCAGUAAGACACACACAGUAACACACUCACUGAGCAGACACACACACUAACACACUAACACUCACUAGCAGACACACACUCACACUCACUCUAACACUCACACUCACACUAACACUCACUCACACACACUCACACUAACACUCACUCUAACACUCACACAUGAUUUUUUUUUUUUUUAUAUAAUCCCCCCAGCCUCCUUACCUCUUGGAGUGCUGGGGGGGAUUAUUCCCUGGGGUCCAGUGGGGCUCCUGGGCGGGUGGCCGGUCGGGCAGGCAGGCAGGCGCGCGCGAGGGAGCACUCAGUGCUUCCUCUUCAGCUCCCUCGCGCGCCGCGUAGGGAUGCCGGCGCCGGAAGAUGACGUCAUCUUCCGGCUCCGGUAUCAUUGCGGUGCGCGAGGGAGCUGAAGAGGAAGCACUGAGUGCUCCCUCGCGCGCCCGCCUGCCUGCCCGACCGACCGGCCGCCCGCCCGGGGUCAGCAGGGCCAGCCUCGGGGGGCCCUGGGGUGGCCGGCUCCUGGGCCCCCCAGGGGAAGAGGCUGGCCCUGGGCGUACAUACCGGGUCGCAGGGGCGGCCGGGCGACCCUGGUAUGUACGCCAGUGCACACACACAUACUGACACACACACAGAUAAAUUGACACACACACACAGACAUACUGACACACACACAGAUAUAUUGACACCCACACACAUACACACACAGAGACAUACUGACACACACACACACACACUGACACACACAGAGAUAAAUUGACACACACACAGACAUACUGACACACACACAGAUAUAUUGACACACACACAAACACAGACAUACUGACACACACACACACUCUGACACACUGACACACACACACACUGACACACACAUACUGACACAUGUCAUGAUUCGGGGAACCCAACACGCUGGCACACACACACACACACACACACAGAAAAGGUUCCGUACCGGACCUUAGAGUGGCCGGGCUAAGCACACACAGAAUAGUCAGGAGACAAGCCAAGUAAAGGGGAACCAGAAGACAGAAUAACGUGAAACGAGCCGAGGUCAAAGGGUAGGAGAAAGUCACAGCGUCAGAUAAACAAGCCAGAGAGUACGUAACCAGAAACACAAGAUAAGUAGCAAUACUAGAAAGCAAAGACCACAACAGGGCAGGGAGGAACAGGAAAGGUAAGUAUUUAAACCAUAAGUUUAAUUCUGAUUGGAUAAUUUCCAAUCAGAAUUAACAAUCACACGUGGGAGAUAUCUAAACCUCCCACUGUGAUUGAGGCACUGUGCCUUUAACGCCGGGUCAGGUGACUGACCCCGGCGUGUAAUAAUUUGGGCGGUCUCCCAGCGUGCAGCGUCAUAUAUGCUGCCGCUGGGGGACGUGGAGGAAACGGCGGGCGGCAUCCGAGGCUGGAAGGAUGCCGCUCGCCGAGCCCACGAGAAGGAGGGGACCGCGGAUGGCUGGAGGGUGAGUACCGCGAGCGGAGUGCAGCCUCCCCUCGCAGCCGCCCGCGGGAUCCCGACAACACACAUGCAAACUUUAAAAUUUUAAAGCCUUCCUCCAGUUUCCUACCUUAUUCAGGAGGGCAGUUUCCCUGGGGUCCAGUGACAUUCUGAGGUAGUUGGGAGUGAGAGGCUCAGCCCCCUCUUUACGACCUUCUCCUCCCUCCCAUGUGGCAUCACUCUAUCUGAGAGGAAGUGACUCACGGCAGUCACGUCCUCCCACCCUCCUGCCGUAAAGCAAGGGGGCCCAGUCGCACUGUUAAAGGGUCAUGGCGCCCGACUGAGCCCCCUUAGUGUAUGGUUCCCCAGUGCAGCAGCAGCACCGGUGGACCCAUGGUGCAGAUAGCACGUUUUUUUUGUGCACAGCGGGGCCCACAGGUCAGCUGCCUUGGGCCCUGCAGGACUAACUGGGGCUGGGGCAGCUGCCCUGUUUGCCCCGCUUUAAAGACGGUCAUGAAUGGCUGUUAAACAAGCAGUCAAGAGGAUUUCCAAGACCAGUCUGUUCAUCCUGGACUGACUACACAUGCCACACAUGGAUACUCAAGCUUGGCACAAGAUCAACAAGACACGUCAUCAAGAACAUGAUGGCAACUCUAGAACUCAGGACAAUUACACAAGUGAACAUCAAAUGUGUCACAAACCAAGGUGAUAGGCUAUCACCAAUUCUGUUCUGUGUAAGCCUCAGCCAGAUCAUCAUGAAGAGUGGGUAUGGAUACAGGUUCAAGGGUGGAGCUACCAUCAACCACGUCCACUUGAGAAAGGACAUCGGAAUGUCAUUUGGACUAAAUAAUUGUGGGAAGAUAAUUGUAAAAAGAGGGAAGAUAAUCAGAAUUGAAGCAGUUAAAGUGCCAGAAGGCCACAUAAGUGACACAGAGAACAGCUACAAGUACCACAAACACAUGGCAACCCUGAGGAUGAGGCAAAGAAUAAACACAAGUCCCUUCGGAGUGUCAGAAAGAUCAUGUUCAAGCUCAAUGUCAAGUAAAGAUCCACAAUAUCCACACGCAUGCUCAACCAGUCACCUGGUACCCAGUUGGAAUAAUACCUCAGCCAAGAGAAGACCUGGACUCCAUGGAUAUAAAGACCUGGAAAGUACUCUUGAAUGGAGGAUUCCUGCGCCCAGAGAUUGAACAUCAGCUGGAAGAGAGGAAGUUGGGCCAGGAUGAAACAAAGAACAAACAAGUACAUCAUGAAAAUGGUUACUGGAGAUGAACUGCCAGGGGAUUUUUUUGUGUUAUAUUGCUGUAUUUUCUACAAGGUGUUGGGAAUCCUUGUAUGGCUUGCUGUUGCCUUAUAUUAUUACAGUGAGCUUUUUUUGUAUUUCUGUUAAUGGAAUGACUGAGACAACAACAGAUGCAGAGAAGGAUGAGGUUUCAUGCCAAGACCAAGACCAUGGGAUGUUCCAUCAGCAGUCCAGAUAGGAGAUGACACAGAAAAUAGUCGAGAAUGACAAGACAAAGAUCUCAUGGUAUUUCCAGAUCCAGACAAGGAAGUACUGGCCAUCCAAACAGACAUCGUAGUGGAAGUCAAGGAAUGAAAGACUGCAGUGUUGGUGGAUAGACUGAAAGAGAAGCUAGAAAGAACAUGGAAAGUAAAGGCAGUGGUAGUCCCAGUUGUGAUAGGAACAUUUGGGGCUGUAACUCUCAGAUUCGGAGAGAGGCUUCAUCAGAUUCCAGAAGAGUGCAGCUCAUUUUAUAAGUUCAUUUUGCUUUAAGGAUCAUGGGAUAUCCUGGAAAGAAAAAAAAGCCAGUAAAUGUACAGGCCCACUGAGGUUGACUCAGGGGUCAGGAGGCGAUCCUUCAUGUCUUAGGGUUUUAAAUAUAUGAGAUCACAGGUGGACUAGGAAUAUCAUUAUAUUUUGUUGUGGGUUCAAUCCCUGGGUAUUUUUUAAAAACCUAACUAACACUUGAGAAGGACAUAUAGCAGGACCCCAUAAAGCAUUUUGGAUUAGGGGCUCCAUAAAAACAAUACCCAUACAGUGUUGUUUUAUUUGUUCCAUAUCUUUAAAUCCUUGACUUUAAACCUGCUGAUCUUGUGUGCUCUUCUUGGUUGUGAAUUUGGAGGUGUGUCAGAGUCAACAUGACUAUAAUCCUUGAGUGGAAACAAUAAUUCACUUUCUUUUUUUAAAGGUGAGUUUAAUGUAUGGGAGUGUAGUGUUGUUUAUUGCUAUGUUGUAGUUUAUUGACAUAAAAUAAUUAUUUAUUAUUUGGUGUUAUUUUGUCUGUAGGUAUACAUAAUGAUAGUGUUUUGUGACUUUUAUUGCUAAUAUGCUGCUUUAUAGAGCUGGAUAUAGAGAUCUGUUACUUACUAUAGGGGAACUUUAGAAGUAUACGACAGGUGGACUGGGUUUAUUUCCAAUUUUUAUGGGGUGUGGGUGCAGUACAAUUUCGUAUCAUGUAUCCCUGUAAAUGAAAAGAGUUCUAUUUAAGACAUGGUUUAUUGCGUAAAUAGUUAUAGACUGCACUUGCUGAGCUAUAACUGCAUAUAAAAUUAUUUUCACAACCUUAAAAUAGCACUGAUACUGUAGCGCUAACUAGAAGAUGCUAACCUGAGCGUAAUAAUGUUGAUCAGUCUCAAGUUUAAUGUUCCCAAGGGAUUGUACAGUGUUAGGAAUACAAAUAUAUAUUCCUAACACUACAGUGACCUAUUGUCCCCCUUCCUUCACUUCCCUCCCUUGUUUGUUUAACAAAUCUUUAUUUAUUUACCCAAUUCCAGGGCCGAUGUGCCUAGGUGCUCCGCCUAGUCCGAUGUCAUCCGACAAGGUAAACUAAUGCACAUGCCUGAUGAGCGCUGUGAGCGCUUUAGGCCCUCCCCAUAGGAAAGCAUUGCCUCAAUGUUCUCCUAUGGGAAUGUCACAGAGCAUGACGUACAAUGUUAUUUAGGGGAACUAGAGUUUGCUAGCAUCCAGGAAGUGCCACCAGAGGCAGUCUUAGUCCUGCAAGACAAUCACUGCAGUUUUUCUAAAACUGUAAUGUUUUACACUGCAGAACUACAGGGGGCAGGGACACUGUACCCAGACCACUUUAAUGAGAUGAAUAUAGUGUCACUUUAAGUAACUUCUGGCCUCUCAGUCAUGCCUCUAUUACUGUAAAUAUGUUUUGCCUACGUUCAGUACUCAGUGAACUUACUUUUGGUUAGUUUUGCUGUUCUGAUCCACUUCUUCUUGUAGCAAUUCAGGAGUUUACACUGUCCUGGGUGCCAUGUGGUGCUGGUAGUUUUUUCCAUGAUGGCCCUUCAGCAGUUGGCACCCUCCAGAGAACCGUGGGGUGCUGGUGCUGUCCUCCACAGUAGCUGAAUUGCUGCUGAUAUAGUCAGCAUCUACUGUUGAUGCUAAAGUGGGGCACAGUAGAAAGAAAGAUAUAGCAGAGGUGGGUGGGAAAAACAAGAAUAAUGUUGGUAUAACACAGAAGGGGGUGUCCCCCAAACAUCCUUAUAUAAGGCCACUCCAGACACUGUAUCAUUGCUCACAAAUGCCUGUGCUUUGUAAAGAGCUGAAUUCUUACUGUUGACUCUUAAACUGGUUAUUCUGCCUUUUAGCUAUCUGAUCUGUUGUGGACCUUUGCCGCCUCAGCCAACCUUUGCUUGACCUGACUACCCCUGUGGAUUCUCCUUUAACCUCCAAAACUCUGCUUAGCUGUCAGUUUCUGUAUCUUGACCUCCACCAUACUAAAACCUGAUACAAACCUAGAGUCUGUGCUCUGUCUUCUACUUCUAAAACACAUCUCAUACACCCUACCUUUUCAUCUUAAUGGACCUUAUGUUGGAUGGUAUACACCAGGCCUUUAUAGCUAGACAUGAAAUAGUAGCAAAAAAUACAACCCAGUUUUGUAGCAGUGGCAAUUCCAUCCCAGUACUAUACUUUGAAAGGUGUUCCCAUUUAUUUGACUAUAGAUAGAGGAAUUCUCGCACAUAAUCUGACAUUUAGCACUAUAAAUGCGUGUUUCGGUCAUCGCACUUGCCAAGGAAAUUUACUUUCUUCCAUCUUCAUUCUCUUCCCUCGAAGCCCCAAUGCCAAACACCUCUUUAAAGCUGGUAAGAAAAGUAACUAAAAACACUUACAUUGUUAACAACUAACAAUGAGGGACUGAAAAUUGACCACAAUCACACAAAAUCGCUGUCAUUGCUUCAAGUUGUAAUGACAGAUCAACUUAGUUCAAACUAAUCUUUGUUAGAUAAUUGAAUGCUAAUUUCUCCAGGUAUUUCUUUAAACUGAUUAAAGGGACACUAUAGGCAGCCAAACCACUUCAUUUCAUUGUCCCCCUCAGCAGAGAAACUACUAUGUUUACAUUGCAGUGCUAAGACUGCCUUUAGAGCCACUAGAGUCAAUUCCUGCUCUUUCAUGAAGUCUGAUGCUCUGCCUGAGGACAUCCAGCGUCCUCAAAUUCUGACUAUGCUUUCCUAUGGUAAAGGAGUGCUUGCCGCGCAUGCUUAUUAGGUUCCCCCUUGGCGCUGAUGUCAGAAAAGGUAGAGAUUAAGCCAGCACCAAGGGACCUCAGCACUUGAAUCAGGUUAGUGAAUGAAAGAAAAUGUUAUUUACCCCUUUCAGAGAUGUGAGGGUGGGGGGUGGGGGAGAGACACGAGAGGAAAGAGGGGCAGAGACAGAAUACAACUUUGUACUCCUGUAACACUGUAGUGUUCCUUUAAGAAAGUUUUACUGGCACUACCACUUUAAGUUUGUGCAGUACUCUCAUAUUACAACUGCCACAGAGACACCUUGUUUAGUUAUGUAACUUGUCACAUCACAUUACAUACAGGGCACUGCAGGAAUCAGGAACUGGUAAAGUUGACGUCACCAUCUAGCCUUCAACGGACUUUACGCCCCCGCUCUGUUCUCUCCUUUCAACUUUAUGCUGGCAGGCUGUUACGGAACUUACCCUGUCAGACCAGUUUGUGAGACGAGCCUUUGUAAGGUGGGGUUCCCUGAUGCAAUGGGCUUUUUCUUUGUUAACCUAUUAAUACGUUCUGAAACAAGGUACACUCUAUGGCAUUAGACAGUCUCCUUGUAAGUUAUAAAUAAAACAUAGUUAUUAAUCAAUGGAAUGUUGUGUUUUAUUCUAUUCACAUGAGAUUGUUUUCUUCUUAGCUUACAUUACAUAUCUUCAAAGUUCUGGUGAAAGUCAGUGGUCUGUCGUGGCCACACAUUGACCCCCUUUGACAUAUUAUCCCGAUCUAUUGCUUAUCGUUCACCUACAGCAGGACCUUCUGCCUUAAUAGAGGAUUUUUAUCAAGUGGUCUUGAUAAAAGUAUUUUCUUGCAAAAAAUAAUAAUAAUAAUGAUGGUCUUAGUUCGUUAUCAACUGAUCUCAUAACAGAGCAGCCAGUAUUGUUCAGAAUAUCUUUUUGUACCUACUAUAACCAUUUAUUGACAUAGCAACCCUCACAAUAAUCUGGUUUUGUGAUAUUCUAUGUUCAUGAAAGUUACUUUACAAUCAAAGUGAUGCAUUAUUUUUAGACCAACUGCAAUUUUUCCCCAUAGGAAACGUUUCUUUGUUUGUGCCAUAUGUAUAAAUAGAAAACCAGACAAGGUGUGGAUUUGUCUUGUUAUCUUGAAAUAUGUUUAUAUACACACACACACACACACACAUAUAUAUAUAUAUAGAUAGAUAGAUAGAUAGAUAGAUAGAUAAAAUCCCAAAACUUGCAAUCCUGGUUAUAAGCAAUAAAGCCUGGUGCAGGCUUGGCAAAAAUUGUACAAAACAAAACAAGGAAAAAGUGCAUUCCAGGGACUUAAUAUUACAAAAUAUUAUUAUUAUGUUAUUAUUUUGAUAGCGCCAACACAUUCUGAAGCGCUUUACAGUGGGUGGACGAACAAACAUGUAGUUGUAACCAGACAAGCUGGACACACAGGAACAGAGGGGUUGAGGGCCCUGCUCAAUGAGCUUACAUGCUAGAGGGAGUGGGGUAAAGUGACACAAAAGGUAAGGAUAGUAUUAGACUAGUGACAGUUGCCAUAGAGGAAUCAGUCGGGAGCUAUUAACAGUUUAAUUGAUACACUUUUAUGAAGAAGUGGGUUUUUAAUGAUUUUUGAAGUAGUGGAGGCUGGGUGAGCAUCCAACGGAGAAGGGAAGUGAGUUCCACAGAAACAGUGCAGCCCUCGAAAAAUCUUGAAGGCGAGCAUCAGAGGUGGGAGUACGGACAGAAGAUAGACGCAAGUCUUCAGCAGAGCAUAAGGGCCUAGACGGGACAUACUUGUGUAUUAGGGAGGAUAGAUAGGUGGGAGCAGCAUUAUGUCGAAAUUUGAAAGCAAGAACUAGAAUUUUAAAUUGAGCCCUAUGUCUUCCAGGAAGCCAAUGUAGGGACUGACAGAAGGGUGAGGCAUGGGAGGUGCGGGCGGACAGGAAGAUGAGCCUCGUCGCCGCUUUCAUUAUGGACUUAGCGGCACAAGUUGGGAGCACGUAAGACCACUGAGUAGCGGAUUACAGUAGUCAAAGCGAGAAAGGACAGUGGAAUGGACCAGCACCUUAGUCGCAUAUGGCGUUAAGUAGGGUUGGAUGCACGCAAUGUUUUUUAGAUGGAAGCAGCAGGAUUUGGCGAUAGACUGAACAUGAGGCGUGAAGGAGAGGUUGGAGUCAAAGAGAACACCUACGCAGCAAGCCUGCAUGUUAGAGCUGAUGGUAGCACCGUUGAUUUUGAGGGAGACAGAUACAGGAGGGAGGAAAGACCAGAAUUUCAGUUUUGGUCACAAUGAGUUUAAGGAAGUGGGCAGCCAUCCAGUUAGAAAUAGCAGAGGGGCAGUCAGAUACACUAGUCAAGAGGGACGGGGAGAGAUCAGGAGAGGACAGAUAGAUUUGUGUGUCAUCCAUAUAGAAAUGAUAUUGAAAGCCAAAGGAGCUAAUGAGUUUACCAAGGGAGGCAGUAUAGAUGGAGAACAGUACUUUGGGGGACACCAACAGAGAGGAGUUGGGGAGAAGAAGCAGAGCCAGAGAAAGAAACACUGAAAGAGCACAGGGAGAGGUAGGAGGAGCACCAGGAGAGAGCAAUAUCUUGUAGAACGAUAUUGCGGAGGAUGAGAAGAAUCUGUUGAUGAUCAACAGUGUCAAAAGCCGCAGAAAGGUCAAGGAGAAUUAGAAUAGAGUAGUGACCACAAGAUUUUGCAGCGUCUAGAUCAUUGGAUACUUUGGUCAGUGUCGUUUCCACAAAGUGCUUAGCGCGGAAACCAGACUGAAGCGGGUCUAGCAGAGAGUUGGACUCGAGGAAGUCUGUCAAUCUCGCAUACACAACUCUUUCAAGGAUCUUGGACGCAAACGGCAGUAGCGAGAUAGGACAGUAGUUUGACGGGGAGUUAUAAACAUAGAAACAUAGAAUGUGACGGCAGAUAAGAACCAUUCAGCCCAUCUAGUCUGCCCAAUUUUCUAAAUACUUUCAUUAGUCCCUGGCCUUAUCGUAUAGUUAGGAUAGCUUAUGCCCAUCCAACACAUGCUUAAACUCCUUUACUGUGUUAACCUCUACCACUUCAUCUGGAAGGCUAUUCCAUGCAUCCACUACCCUCUCAGUAAAGUAAUACUUCCUGAUAUUAUUUUUAAACCUUUGCCCCUCUAAUUUAAGACUAUGUCCACUUGUUGUGGUAGUUUUUCCUCCUUUAAAUAUAGUCUCCUCCUUUACAUUUAUGUAUUUAAAUGUUUCUCGUCUUUCUUUCAAGCUAUACAUGUUAAGAUCCUUUAACCUUUCCCUGUAAGUUUUAUCCUGCAAUCCAUGAAUCAGAUUAGUAGCCCUUCUCUGAACUCUCUCUAAAGUAUCAAUAUCCUUCUGGGGAUACGGUCUCCAGUACUGCGUACAAUACUCCAUGUGAGGUCUCACCAGUGUUCUGUACAAUGGCAUGAGCACUUCCCUCUUUCUACUGAUAAUACCUCUACCUAUACAACCAAGCUUUCUUCUAGCAUUUCCUGCUGCUCUAUUACAUUGUCUGCCUACCUUUAAGUCAUCAGAAAUAAUCACCCCUAAAUCCCUUUCCUCAGAUGUUGAGGUUAGGACUCUAUCAAAUAUUCUGUACUCUGCCCUUGGGUUUUUAUGUCCAAACUGCAUUAUCUUGCACUUAUCCACAUUAAAUGUCAGUUGCCACAAUCUGACCAUUUUUCUGUUUACCUAAAUCAUGUGCCAUUUGGCUUAUCCCUUCUGGAACAUCAACCCUGUUACAUAUCUUAGUAUCAUCAGCAAAAAGACAUACCUUACCAUCAAGACCUUCUGCAAUAUCACUAAUAAAAAUAUUAAAGAGAAUGGGUCCAAGUACAGAUCCCUGAGGUACCCCACUGUUGACAAGACCAUGCUUAGAAAAUAUUACAUUGACUACAACCCUCUGUUGUCUGUCACUUAGCCACUGCCUUACCCAUUCAACAAUAUAUGUGCAACAGUGUCAAAAGCCUUACUGAAAUCUAAGUAAUCAAUAUCUACUGCACCUUCCCUGAUCUAUUAUUUUAGUUACCCAAUCAAACAAAUCAAUAAGAUUAGUUUGGCAUGAUCUCCCUGAAGUAAACCCAUGUUGUCUCUGAUCUUGAAAUCCAUGUGUUUUUAGAUGUUCAACAAUCCUAUCCUUUAACAUGGUUUCCAUUACCUUCCCCACUACCGAAGUAAGGCUUACUGGCCUAUAGUUGCCCGACUCCUCCCUAUUACCUUUCUUGUGAAUGGUCCCAACAUUUGCUAACUUCCAAUCUUUCAAGUUUGGGCUUCUUUAGAAUUGGGGUUACAGUUGCAUGUUCGAAGGGCGAUUUAAAUAUGCCAGAGGAGAGAGAGAUUGAGAAUUUUAGUAAGAGAAGAAGACAGAGUACGGAUGAAAUGUGAGGGAAUUGGAUCUAGGGAGCAGGUUGUGGGGCGGGAGGACUGGAGCAGAGCAGAGCAGAAACCUCUUCCGCUGUAGCGGGUGCAAAUGAACAUAGAACAGCAGAGGGAGUGAGGUUAGGGGAAGUAUUGUAAGGGGAAGAAGAAAGUUGAGAGGUCUCUUCCUUGAUUGUUGAGAUUUUGUCAGUGAAGUUAGUUGCAAAGUUUGAGGUGGUCAAGUUAGUAGGUGGAGGAGGAACAAUAGGGUGAAGAAGAGAAUUAAAUGUGUGAAAUAGUUGUUUAGGUUCGCGGGAGAGUGUGGUUAUGAAGGUUUUAAUGUAAUUUACUUUUGCAGAGGAAAGAGCCAAGCUGUAUGAGUGCAGCAUAAAUAUAAAACUUAGCUUUUAUUUACACGAUCCAACAAAAUGUCUGCGUUCCAGCUCCCAACUUAUAGCUUUUAUCAUUGGUGUCCUGAUGAAAGCUAUCCAUGGGUAGCAGAAACACCAACAUUUUAUUGGCUCAUGUAAAUAAAAGCUAAGUUUUAUAUUUUGUAAUAUUAAGUCCCUGGAGUGCGUGUUUUUUUUUUUUGUAUAUACAUAUAUGUAUUCUAUUUAGACACAGAAAUAACACUGCUUGGAGACUUCAGUAAGUGUAUAAAGGAUAGUUAAAGCGUUGACAGAGUUUAAUAAUGUUUAAAGGGACACUCCAAGUACCUUAAGCUUAUUGAAGUGGUUUUGGCCCAAGGGGGUUUGGUCUCAAAGUUUUCUGUAACAAAAACAGAGUUCUCCCCAGCGCACAGAGCCUAGCUCCUCUUCUUCCAUCGUGAUAAUAAAGACGCUCAAUACCUUCAUUAUCUACAUAAAUUUUUUCACAUGACACAAUUGAAUGCCCAUGAUGUGCAAUGUUAGACUGUGAGUGCUAGGCUAUAGCAGGGAACAUCUGUUCCUAGCACCGACAGCCUCUCAUUAACAUACAAGCUUGUAUGGAUAAAGAGGAAGUAAAAUAUCCUCAUUAUCACAGCAGCAGCAAAGGGGUCGGCUUUGAGUGCUGAAGGGACACCAACACACUGGAAAACAGUUUUACAAAAUACAGAAAGACUGAUUUCUCCUAAAACCUCCUUGCACCAUAACCAUACAAUAAACUGUGUCUUUUCGUUUUCAGUGAGGUAACAUUUUAGAAAUACUUAAAACACUUGAGUAGAAUGGUAACAUAUCUCACUAAUACUUAAAGCACUUCAACACAAUGUUAACAUCUUUAUAAUCAUAAAACAGGUCUGUAGUACUGUAACACACUUUACACAUGAUACUUUCGAUUUACCUAAGCUAUCUUUGGUUCUUAGAACACCCUAAUUCCUAUCUGCAAGGCCAUAUUUUCCUGGUUGCAUUAUUUUAUUAUACCAUCUUCUACAUUGUUUUAAAUACAUUUACAGCCAUAACUUGCACAUUUGACUUGAGUUGACCGAGAAAUUCCUCAGAAAACCAGCAACCCUCCCCCAAACAAUCACUCAUUGAUAAACCAACAAAAAAACAUUGACAUUUAUCGACUUAACCAGGAAUUGUGUAGACAUGAUGGAUUUGCACAAUACAAUUAAUACAGAAAUUAACAGAAAUGACACUAUGACAAUGUGAAAAAAUAGCAGAGUUUGUUUUCUAUUUUGGCAUAAAACAUCCCUUAUCAGUUCCCCACAAUUCCCAAUAGUAUUGAAUAAAGCACUCUAUAUACCUUACCAGUUGUGGUAACCAAUUGACUUUGCUAUCAUUGGAACUGUGACAUGGCAAUAAAAAGUAGAAAAUAUCUUUCUUUAAAGUAUUUGAUUGGAGCUGGAGUGAUAAAUAUAGCAUACUAGUAAGAAAGCACAACUGCGAGAACGGUUACAUACAUUCGUAAAAGAGCAAAAAAACAAGGUGCAAGAGAGUACUGAGAAUGGACAACAACUCAGCCUACACUUCGGUGGGUCCCCUCUCUGAUCUCAAGCUAGUUUUAGCUCAUCUUGUGACACUACAAAAAGAACUAGGACCAUUUGCAUAUCAGACUGAUCGCACCCAGAAAGGCAGUCCAGAACUGAAAUGCAGACCAGCUCUCACGAGAGAUAAACCAACACCAGAUGAUCGUUUCAACCUUGUUAGGCAUAAUCAGUGAGGUAUAGCCAAUGUCCCUCUAGGCAUCAUGUGCAAGGGGCCCACGUCUGGAUUACCCUUUAAUCUUAGGGAAAUAAAAAAAAAAAGGGAGUAAUUCACUUAAAAACUGACUUAAUUUAUUUUCUUUUGACAAUCUUUAUUUAAGUUGUAUAUAAUGACAUAUGAGUUGGCAAGAGUUGACACAAUAAUCAAUCAAGCAUGACAGUACGGGUUUAGUCUUAAAUCAGUAGGCAAUGAAAAUAUUGAGGAAAGUAUGCAUAUAAUCAUUCGCCAUAGUUAGUCGAUAAGUUAGGUAGUAGGCAAACUGGGUAAGAGUACCCAAUGUGGGGCGUGAUAGAGUAGUUAGAUUUGUAACUCUGUGGUACGUUCCAUGGGUUAAAGUUGGCAGGAGGGGUGUGGGGUAGGAAAGGUGGGUCGGACUAGGAAGGAAUGGACAGCUUCAGAAAAUCACGUUCAUAUAUACUUGCAACACUUAGUCGGUGAGUGAGUAGGCUGGGUAAGAGCCCAAUAUAGGCAUGAAAAACUAACAAGGCUUUUGGCUUAGUGGUAAGUUCCACAAACGAGAGGGGCAUGUGGGUUAUAGGGUGAGAUGAAGGGAAAAAAUAAAUAAAUAAUCAAUAAAAUAAAAUAAAUAAAUUUGGGGGGGAGGGGGUCAUGGAUGGAAGUGUAUCAAUGGGUAUGUCUAAGUCUAAAUCUAGGUAGUGUAGCAGGACCUCAGUUCUUCUAGUGAAUGUCAUUUAGGUUGUUGCCUUGAAACGGGAGACCUGUUACAACCAUGAGUGCAGUUAAGGAUAUGUUUGUCAGAGUGAUCCUUAAGGGCUUGGGUCAUUGAUUCCAUACAAUAUAUUUCCUCCACCCUGGCGCCCACAAUUGUUCGCACAUGAUGGGCUUUAGGGUUUUGGAAGCAUCUAGUAGGUGUUUAGUUAUGGAUUUCUAAUACGAGGAUAUUGGGGAUAGACUUAAUUUUUUAUUUAAAAUAAAAUAUUAUAUGUAUUAUAGGCUCUAUGUGUAAACAUGUAAUGAACACAUAAAAUUAAACUCUUUUUUUGGUAGAUAUUCUGACUUAUCCUUACCCUGAGUUGGGAGCCAUCCAAGUCUUCAUUCAGAAGCACUGCUUAUCUGACCUAAGUCAAUGCAGUUAAUCAAAAGGUAAUGCAAAUGUAUACAUCCUGGGUAACAAUGCACUCUGUAUAUUAGAGGAAAAUCCUUCCUUUCAUGAUAUUUAAUGGAUGAAUGCCAGCUUAAAGAAAAGUUGGAAGAAUGAUUUAGCCAAAGAGACAAUAGAACCCUAACUCAAAAAGUUUCCAUUAGGGAUUUACAAGGUCCAUAUUCACCUACGGCUAUAAAAAAUGGGAGCACGAUUUGACCAUAAAUAAAGACCUGAAUGAUUGGCUUAGCGGUCUCAGGGUCCUAUAAAGCGACCAUUUGUUUAAACUUACAGAAUUAUAUUUCAAAAUAAUUAAUAGAUGGCAUUUGGAACCAAGCAGAAUGGCAAAGAUCUAUCCAGGGGAACGGAAUAAUUGCUGGAAGUGUGGAGGUCCACAUGGUAGUUAAAUGCAUAAAUGGUGGAACUGUCCAUUUAUUGUGUCCUUUUGGAGAGAUUUUUCCACCUAAUUAAAAAUUUUACAGCGAUUGAGUUACAUAACCGACCAGAUGUAGCCAUACUCCAUUUAGGGUGACCAGUUAUGGAUUAGGAUAAAGUUAUAAUAUAUUUGUUAAUAGCUGCUGAUAUAGCCAGAAUUUGGAAAGCCAACCCCCCAUUAAUAAUAUGUAAAGUACUAGAGCAAACUCUAGAACAGUGUAAGAGAGAAAGGGGAAGAGCUCGUUUUGAAAGUUGAAGGAAUAAAUGCAUAGAGGAUUGGGAAUUCUGGAUAGGAAAAAAUGAUCAAUGUCUAGAGAUGCAAAAGGAAAACAUAUGAAAAUUUUCUUCUUGUCUCUUCCUUAUGACCUUCUAAGGUGGCGGUUUAACGUUUUAUGUUUUAUUGUUUAAUUGUUGUGUAUUUUACUGUCUGACUGCAUUCUACCUAAUAGCUUAGUCCAAACAUAUGUAAUAACACCAAUCUUUGAAGUCUGUAAUAAAUUAAAAAAAAGGGAAGAUUUGGAUAGAAAAUAUAGGGUAAGAAGAGGGGAAGAGAAAAUGUAGAUGACUACUCUUAACAGAUGCAUAGUUUGUGUUCACAAACAUAUUGUUUGUCUAUGAUCUGCUUUAUGUUUUUUUUUUUUUAAAUGAACGACAACUUUUUGAAAAUAAAAAACGCCCUUUGGUUCAGUUUAACCUACUGGGUCAAUUUCAGCAGUUCAAAACAUAUAUGGUCAUAGAGUAGGAGCAGUGCUUCUGACUAAAGACAACUUAAACAUGGUCAUCCCCUGGGUCAAUGUUCAGUCAGACAUGCACCAAAAAGGGGGAAUUAGAUAAAUGCGUUCAUUCAAAAUAAUGUGAAGCCGUAAUAUACACAAUAUUUUAUUUUCAAUAAUGAUGAAACAUGAUCAUUUUAAUUUAUCAGUGAGUUGUUGGGUGUUGACAAGUGAUUUGCAAAAUGUAGGCUGAUUUAGAUGUGAAAUGUGUUCUACUUAGAGCUUUACAAACAAGUGAACCCCGUUGAUUUCUCAUGUGCAUCUCGCAUGACAUUAGGUUCCAUUGUAGAGAGAUUGAAAGGUAUUAAUAGAGUAAUCAGCACAACUUCUGAAAUAGUUUACAAAACGUUGCAUACACUGCAGACAAAUGUCAUGCUCAAUUAAUAAAAAGCAUUUCUGAUGAAAGAUUUUUCUUAUUUGUCGACUUGUCAAGUCACUCGUGUAUCUCUCACUUUUAAAUGCCGUUAAGUAUAGGUUUGCAGAAAUGCUUCUUCUCUCAUCUUAAGAAAUUAGAAAAUACCAAAAGCGGCAAAGUCUCUUCGGUGGUCAAUACAACAAUCAUCAGUUCAAUCAUUUAACCGUUCAAACAUAUAUACUUACAUAGUAAAUGUCUUCUUGUAGAGACUGCCCAACAAACUUGGGAAGAAUUCCUCAUUUGUCAGUGAUGAACUGUCCAUUACAGCAAGCUUCAAGCUGUCACAUCAUUCCAAAGCAAUUGUGUGUGAUGUCACUUAGAAUUAAACUUGUCAACAUGCUGCUGGACAUUUUUGUAGAGUCCCUGUUUUUUUGUUUUUUUUUGCAAAUUGUGCUUAUUUAGAGCAAGGAUGGGGAACCUACAGUCCUCCAGAUGUUUUGGACUACAUCUCCCUUGAUGCUUUGCUAACAUCAUGGCUGUGAGAGCAUUAUGGGAGAUGUAGUCCAAAAGAUCUGGAGGGCCGAAGGUUCCCCACCCCUGAUUUAGAGGAAGACAUAAAAAGUUAGAUAGUUGGGGAAUUAGAAUACUAAAGAUUGUCAUAAGACAUGCUGGGGGAGGUUAAAUGGACACUAUAGGCACCCAAACCACUUCAUCUCAAUGAAGUGCUCUGGGUGUAGUAUCCCUAGCCUCUUUUUAGAAAUGAGAGCUAAAUCCACCUCUAAAGGCUGUUACUCUAACAGCCAUUAGAGGCGCUUCUGCUGCACUGAAUGUGUAAAACUCGGCCGCAUGCCGUGGAAGUCUAUAGUCAUGCAUUGAAUAAAUGCUUUCCUAUAAGGAAGCUUGAAUGCACGUGUGUCUUGCCAUGCAUGCACAUUAGUUCUCCAUUGCUCUUCUUUGAGGCGCGUUGGAUUGGACCUUUUUGAGGAGACAAUGAGAGAGGUAAGCUUUUGCUCUGGGCAAAGGUAAGUAACUUCCUUAUUUUCUUCAUUAUUAUAGCAAAUGGGUGGUCCAAUACAACUAGAGACAGGGGCACUAUAAUGUAAAAAGAUGUGAGGUUAUAGAGCACACAGGACAAAUGGUGAAACAUUCUAAAACAUGAAGACUCACUGUUCCAGUACUUGGAUGGAUGACAGUCGUGUAUUCAUGAUAGAUUGGGCAAACCGGGGAUUGAGCAUGGCUUCUUCUGUAAUAAAUAUUAUAUUUUAAAAUCACAUGACCCAUAGAAAAUGGGAAUAAUAUGCACCAGAAGUGAUUUUUCCCACUAAUUUCUCAAUAGCCUACAAUUUGAUUUUUAAGAUUUCUUUCACAAUAUUUUUUCCGUUCACGUUAACUGAGUGACAUUAAUUAUUUUAUUUUUUUCUCUCACCAUUCAUCUAACAUUCUUUCGCAUAAAAGUACUAAGAUAAUAAACUCUUUCCAUUUCAACUAUCUAUCCACUGAAAAAGAACACAACCUAUAACCUUCUCAGUAGCACUUUUUUAAUGUAACAUAUUAGUUAAACUAACACUUUCAGCUUCUCCCACUGCUUGACCCCUGGCUACUUUCCAUGCUUUAUUUACACUGUUAGCUUCAAUGCUUCUUACUUCACUCCCCCAUCAUCCUGUUGAAAGUCUUUCUUCAGUCAUUUAACUUGUUUAGCUUCUUAGCACUACAAACGACAAAACACUGCCACACUAAAUAUUUAUUUUUAUUAUUAUUGUUAUUGGCAUUUAUAUAGCUCCACCUUAUUCUGCAACACUUUAUCAUAUUAUAAAGUGGUACAUUUAAAAACAAAUGAGACAAAUUACAAAAUAUUACAGGAAAAAUAGGUUGAUGAGGACCAUGCACAAAAGAGCUUACAUUAUUUAGGUAAACUCAAGGCUGUAUUUUCCACGAGACUAACAAGGAAUUUGCCUUGGGUGGCACUUUCGAGGUGGCGGCAAAAAAACGCUGGACCUCAAGCGUCACGACACGUCGUGUUAGCCUAUUCCAUUGGGGGCCCAAGAGCUCGCCGGCUAGCCAUCCUAGGACCCCCCCAUAGCUGGUGGUAGCUAAUAUUGCAAGUUAGCGGCAAGGGAGAUCUCUGCAUCUGUCAAUAUCAGGGUGUGUGUCAGUGAAUGUGUGUGUGUCUGUCAGUGUAUGUGUUUGAGUGCGUACGUGUGCCUGUGAGUGUAUGUCUGUGAGUGAGUGUGUGUGUCUGUGAGUGAGUGUGUGUGUGUCUGUCAGUGUAUAUCUGUUAGUGAGUGUGUGUCUGUCAGUGUAUGUCUAUGUCUAUGUUCAGCAGUUUUAGGAACUUUAAAGUGAAGUAUAUUUUUAAAAAAUUUAUUUUAUUAUUUUUCUUAAAGAGUAACUGUUACUUAACUGAUUUUAGCCUAAACACAUAGCUAACUAAAGAUUAGGAGCUACUAAUUACAAUUUUAUUUCCUAUAUUUGUAUUUUUACUUGUGUUUAACAUCUAGUGUCCCCUAACCAUCAAUUAUCUUUUUUUCCUGUCAAUCAUCCCUUUUUUUUUUGUUGUCAUACUCAAAACUCUGAAUCAUGAAAUAAACAAAACUGUUUAUCUGUUGUCCAUUUCGAUUGCUUCAAAUACAUCCAUUAUAUAUCCACAUGACGCUUCGGAGUUACGGUAUUCAGAACCGCCAAUCGCUUGGACGAAUCAGUUUAAAACCGAAUGCACAUCUAGACCUUCUAUUGUUUGGUUUUCCAUCCACAAUGAACCCAGGUGUCAGUAACUGAAAUAACAGAAAAAAACUCAAGAAUCUCAGUUCAGUCUAAAUUCAACCAUGACCAUUGGGGAUUUAGAAAAUCUGUCUUUGGUCCCAGUUGGACAUUCUGCAGCAACAUGCUGGGUAUCAUUGCAUUUCAGUUGGUUAGGCUGCUGUUGUUGUUUCAUCAAAAUGGUCUCUUAUGAUGCAACAGAAAGGUAUUCCCAUUAGGUGUAUAUAAUUGCAAAGACAGGUGUGUUCAUUAACCGUUUCAUAAAACGAUCCGAACAAUGAUUACAACGAUGUUUGCUGAAGAAGAUAAUAUGGACAUCUCACUAGGCCAGAAUCGGCUUUAAGUGGUUUAGUUACUAAAUUUUGAAUUGACGUCAUAGAGGAAAUUGAAAUCUGAAUUACAAAACUUAGGGGAAAAUAACUAAUUAGGAAAAAUUCUCCAACACAGUUAUAGUAACACCUUUUCUGUUUUAGCACAAAUUAUGCCUUCAUUUCUUGCACUGGGCACAAAACCAAUAUAUCAUAGGGGGUAAGGGCAUAAAAGUGCAGGAAAUAUAGACUUAGGCUAUGGGAGACCACGACGUGUUUUUGACUGGGGCUCCGGCUGAUUUUAGUCCACCACCAAGGUUUUGGAGAGCUCUCGAGACAGACACAUGGAGAAGGACACUGAGUGAGAGACAGAGUGUUAGACUAAGAGAGAUUUGAAUGAAUAUGAGAGCAACAUAAGUCUUCUGUGCAGCCAACAAUAUAAGGCAGGGGUGCCCAAAAGAUAGAUCGCUAGAUGUUGUGGAACUACAACUCCGAUGCUGCUUUGUCAUUCUAAAAGCAUUCUAAAGGCAUGUUUUAGAAUGCUUUAAGAAUGAAAAAGCAUCAUGGAAGUUGUAGUUUAAAAACAUCUGAAGAUUUUCCUUUGGGGCAACCCUGAUAUAAAAAUGCAGCAUUAUAAUGGGGUUUCAAAUUCUUUACUUGGACCUGUAGAAUGCCAUAUACAUACACAACCGUACAAGGGUCCAAUCACAGCAGAAUCCAUCAGAACCCAUACAUGGAAAUGGUUCCAUCUUGGAUAGGUAAUUCUGCAGCUCAAUCAAUUGAAACCAUUCAUGUGCAGGAGCUAUUGUUACACUGCAUAAGCAUUCUGAUACUUUAAUCUUUUCCGUGUAAAAGACUUGUGGAAUUGCUUUAAUCCACCGAGCUUCACCUGCCGUGUAAUUAUGAUACCAUCACCGUGCAUUUUAUAUGUGUUAAGAUGACAGAUGUAAGCAGGUUAUUUGAGGACACUUGAUCGCAGUUCUAUAAAACAAUAUAAUGAGAUGUCUCUGUUAAUUCUGGUUGUAUAAAGUUGCAGCAGUCAUCAAAUCCCAGAAAGUUACCGUAAUUAUUUCUGAGUAUGGCAGGUGGACAAUGCCUUUUCAUCCAUAGAAGUAAAUGAAACAAAAAUCUUUCGGGAAUUUUAGUGCCACCAUGGAAAUUGCGACUCACCCAUUAAUCACCAAGUGACUAAACUGAGCCAUCUCAAUCUACAAUAUUUAUUUAGUUUAAGAACUAAGAAUACAUGAGAGAGUAGAGUGCUGUUCACCAAAGCAAAGGCAUCUGUGUUCUAUCUUAAAAUAACCGCCAAACCAGGCUGCAGUGGUUAUGGUGCUAGGAGUGCCCUGGCAACCCCUCCCACUAGACAGUGUUUAAUACACAAUGAGAUUCUUGAAAUCACAAAAAAGUAUAACUUUUAAAAAAGUUUAAAGAGUUGUAUUCCUAACACUAUAGAUCCCUCUGGCCCCCCUAACUCACCCCCCUUCCCCCCACCUACACACUGCAAGGGUUCAAAAACAUUUUUAAAACUUAUCCAGCACGAUCUCUUUGACACCAAUCUCUUUUAACGCUGGGUUGACGCUCUGCUUCCUCAUCCAGGUAUUGCCUUGAUUCUUUCCUCUGGUGAUUUAAUUGAUGCUGGAUGUCCUCAUGCAGAACGUGAGGAUGUCCAGCAUCAGUUAGGUGACCAAAAGUCAGUUAGCCAACAAGAAGUGCCUCUGAUUGACAGCCACUAGAGGCUGUCUUAGUUCUGCAAUGUAAUCAUUGAGGUUUCUCAAAUACAGCAAUGAUUUACAUUGCAGGACUAAGUGGGACUAGGACACUGCACCCAGACCACUUCAAUGAGAUGAACUGGUCUUGGUGACUAUAGUGUCCCUCUUUGGAUAAAGCGCUGUAAAAUUUGUAGACAAUUUAUGAAAAUUGAACUACAUAAAUUACAAGUCCAAUCUUUAUUACAACAUUACAAUCCAACAACAACUGAAGGGCAGCAGUUGUCCAUACCUGAUAUACAACAUGUGAGUGGGCAUUUGUCAUAGCCAUCCUCAGUUAACCACAGUCUAGAAUGGAAAAACACACAUCAUCUAUAUUAAUUCCUAAUUGGUACAUGUCUUAAGGUUCUUAAGAGACCAAUUACCGGCUCUGAAACUAAGCAAGGUGAUGAGGUUGCUAAGAUUGGGAACUUGGGGGUGGACAUCAGUGAGUCAUGCAUGGCAAAUUAAACCAGAAUUAAUUCUCCCUGGAUCGCUAUGGAUAAUGGGUUUGCAAAAUUGUUUAACACCAAAAUAAAUUAUUCUGAUUUUGUUCAAACAGUUUGGAGAUAAAUUAUAUCAUUUUCUUUUGUCAAUUUUGUUAAAUAGUUUAGGUUUUGGUUUUUAGUGUAGAUUGUGUCUACUGUGAAAGAUACAGCAUGGAAUAUGUACAAAUAGUAUUACCCAUCAGACCCAGGCUUCGGCAUAUUGCUUGUUAUUGGGAUAGCUCUAAUAUGUCAUCGAUCCUGAACAGUGUAUUUUAUAUUAAUUUUUAAUUUCUGCAUUGUCAUCUGUUCUGAGCAAAUACAUUAUGAUAUAUUUUAUCAUAGUGUUAUUAUAAUAAUUAACGGUCGGCCAAAUUAGGAGUACAAUAUACAGCAAUAAGAAGUCAGGAAGGUGUAUAUUGGAGUCCCGGAGCAGGAAUGCAAAGCCCCACAAACCAACACAACCCAUGUAUUGUAAUAUACAACUAGCUUGCUUGGUGAAGAGAGGAACAGAAUCUAUCCAAGGUAAUGUACCAAGGGGCAAUGAGAAAGCGUGGUGAACAGGCCCAUAAGUCAAGGAAAGCAGCAUCAGAUAUUAAGUAUCAGGAUCAAAGUUAAGGGGGCACUGACUGUCACUGUCUGGUGACUUUGCUAAAUUCGCAAAAAUCCCCAAUGGAGAUAUUGCCGCUUGGGGUCCGGUGGUCAGGGCGGGAAUGUUAAGGUGAGAUUUGCUUACCCGAAUCUGUCCCUUGCAGGUGCUGCCAUCUUAUACAGUCUGCUUCUCUUCAGGUCGCCAGAAGCCAACGUCACUGCUGGACUUUCGUGUAUGCGCGAUUCCACGGCAUUGAGGCCUGUGGAGGAUCCAGCGAGGGAUCCUCCAUAGACACAGCAAAUUCCCUAGAGCCGUCUCUGGUGAUAGCUGUUGGGUUUGACACUUAGACUUCCUCCCAAAUCUAACAAAGUCAGGCGGAGGAAAAAUACAGGGACAAACUAGUCCCUACUUUGUCUCUUUAUAGCUCUUGACUGGGUUGGAAUUUCCAACACAGUCAAAAUUAGUAUUUCAUAAAGAUUCUAUAUUUAUGAAAUAACCACUUUUCGGUGUUGGUGGUGGUGGUGGUGGUGGUGGUGGUGGUGGGGGGGGGGGAGUGACAGUGCCACUUUAAAUGUCAGGAUCAGAAAGUUGCAACAAACUACCAGGAAUCACUAAGGCUCGCUCUAUAACAACACAGCACUGUACCCUGGUGUUCCCUGGUUUUUAUAUUGAAAAAAAAUAACAGCAGAGACAGCGGCAUGUGUAGUGACGCUAAUACUCGUGUUGUUAUAAUGACACAAUGAAUAUGAUGUUGCAUCGUGCCAUGCGGGUGCCAAGGGCAGUUCUGCCUUACGUGGAAGGAGAGCAAAGAAAGACACAGACAAUAAAGUGGAUUGCAUGCUUUUAUAAAAAUGACACCACACUACCAGUGAAUUCACAAACAGAUCUGUGUUUGCCCAUGUUUGCAUGCUGUUUGCUACUGAGUAAAUUCUUUGGCAGCGUCUGUGUAAUUUGUAUAUUCUGCUUGAAAUAAAACAAGAAAACAAUAAGGAAGAGAUCAUGGUUGCAUUUUUCACAGAUAUUUCUCAGCACAGAAAAACCAACAGGACAUAAAUCCUAUUUUUUCACACGGAAAGCACGCACUCAGCAUUUAUGUAAUGUGCACAUUUUGCAGCAUUUAUUGUAGGGAUGGAUGGAGCUUGCGUUUAUAUUAUGAAGUCAUAGAGGUAGAAACUACAAUCUGAUUGAAAUCUCAUCUGAAAAAACAAUCUUUAAUUUAAUUAGAGAAAUUUACAGACAGUAUGUCAGGCCCCUGACAUUACUUAAAAAAUGUCUUAUCAGUCAUGUGCUAAUGACUAUGGGUGACCAAAUUACAGACUCUUAUGCAGAAUCAUCUGCUAUAUUUUGUCUCCUAAUGAAGAGCAGACAUCCUUACUAUCUUGCAUUGUCCAGCAUGCACAACCUCUUCCUUAUUUGUCGAGAGGUUCUAUUUUUAUUGUCAAUAAACUACUUCUUUUUAUUUUUUUCUUCUAGAGAGUGCAUUUUCAAGGACCUCUACAUUGAGUUUUAGAUAGAAAACGUUAAUACAUUUAUAACUCUACCAGGGCCGGACUGGGAAAGAAAUUCAGCCUGUGCAUUUUUGAGUCACAGCGGCCCACUGAUAAGGGGGCGGGGCCAGAGAGGGGGGGUUUUGUCAUCACCAAUGACAAGCACGUCCCUCUCAAAGUGAGCAUGUUGGUUAAAUGCUCUUGAAGGGUGCAAUGUGUGUAUGUGUUUAUGUGUGCGUGUGUGUGAGGAGUGCAAUGUUUGUGUAUGUGAAGGGUGCAGUGUGUAUGAACUGUGCAGUGUGUGUGUAUGUGAAGGGUGCAGUGUGUAUGAAAGGUGCUGUGUGUAUGUGUGUGUCUGUGUGAAGGGUGCAGUGUUUCAGCAGUGAAGUGUGUGAAGGGUGUAGUUAGUGUGUGUGUUUGGUGUGCAGUGGGGGGAAGAUGAAAGUAAUAGAAAUAUGUUUGUUUAUUUAAAAAAAAUCAAAAAAAUCUAUACUUUAUAUCCCCUCUCCCUUCUUACCUUUGUGUGGGAGGGAGGACACAGAGUUGAAAAAGUGGUGAAUAAAAAUGCCAAUUUCUAUUGAAAUAGACCUGAGAAACUGCUAUAAUUACUUUGCAGGGUUAAGACUACCUCUAGUGGCUGUCAAACAAUAACUACUAGAGGCACUUCCUGGUGGUUAGGCGACGUUCGGUCGCCUAACUGAUGCUGGACAUCAGAUGUCAGUCAAUUUCCCAUAGGAAAACAUCGCAGCAAUGCUUUUCGAUUGAGAGGGCCUAAUGUGCUUGCGGAGGUUGCCGCGCUUGUGCGUUAAUGUGCCCCCUGUUGGAUGAUGUCGGAGGGGGCAGGGCGACAUCGGCGCUGGAGUCAGGUAAAUACAGCAAGGAUUUAUUAACCCUUACACACUGCGCAGAGGAUGGGGUGAGGGGGCACGACGGAGCUAUUGUGCUAGGAAUACAGCUUUGCCUACCUAGUGCUAUAGUAUCCCUUUUAGUCAUCUCACAAUCAGAAGAAAGGCAACCAUUAUAGCCUGAUUACAGUGAAUUGUGUGCCGUGAUUUGCAUCUUAUUGCUAGAGAGAAAAACCCACACUUAUGAAAUUCAAUGUUAACUUUUUGACAAUGAUAUAUUUAAUUCUGUAAACUCAUGUAUCAAUCAUUCAAUAGAAAGAAAAAAAAUUGACAAAAUGUAUUAGCAAACAAAAAAAAUAUUAAAAAAAUGCAUUUAUAGAAAUGUUUUUUGUGACCUGAGAUUUUCAUCUUUAAGCACACUGGUAACUUUCCAUGAUUUCUUGCUAACCCGUAGGCCUAUAGACUAAAAAAGUAGAACAAGAAUUUCACAUUUAGGGCACAAGAAGCCAAACUGGAAUCAUGGCUGACUUACAGAAUAUUUACAGUCCAGCUACUUUAUCCUUAAUUUCAAAUGAUCACUGAGCAUUGAGAUUUGUAGACAUCUUGUGAUUGUAAAAUGUAUAGAACCUGUUUUAUUGAAUGAGCGGUGAUGAUGAAUAAGACUACUUUAUGAUGCAGUAAUACUUUUCCAAACCCCCACUCCCUUCUUGUGGUUGUUAUUGAAGAGCCCGAGGCUUUGGAAUGUUACGUUAGACUUCAUCAGUAAUCAUUUUGAGUCCUGCGCAGAGCAGGUUUAAGAACAUAUUGUAGUCUAACAACCCUUAAAAAAAUGCAGUUUCACUUCUCCACCCAAGAGCUUAGAGUUGACGUGUCCUGAACUGCAACCAAGGAGGGCGCAAAGAUAGUACAGAGUAUGCAUGUUUUUAUAGUGUGCAGGCAUGUUUCAAAGUUUUGUGUUUGCAACCUCUUUUCAUGUGUAGGAGGGAAGAUUCUAAUCGCAUUCUUUUACUCAUAUCACUCUUUUACUUUGAUCCUAGACCUCGGAGUUUAAUAGCCAUAGCAGACAUUAAGCUUUGGGGAACAGAAUGUCAAGCCAACUUCUGCAAUUCCUUGUUUUUUUUUGACUGAUAUUUUAAAUGAUUUCAUUCUGUAGCACAUGCAUAAUUCUAAAGUUUAAAUGUUUUUAACUGCAACUCUUUUGACUCUCAGACAGUUUUUUUCAGGCACUAACCAAUGAUCACAGGGGUAAACGUUCAACAAUAUUUGGAGAAGUAGUUGGUUGAUUUUGGUAUAGGAAUUAUAAUUAGGGAUAAUUAGGUUCCAACAGGUCAUUCACAACGGGCAAGCUGACUUUGCAGUCUAAAAAUCAGGUUAGUAAAAUAAAGGUGGCUCUUGCACGGCUUUUAGAUUACACUGCUGUUCUGAACUCCAGAAGUUUCUAUACAAAAUAGGUUUAUAUUAAAAAUGAACAUUUGGUUAUAAUCCUCCCCAAAUAUUUUUGCACAAACAUAUUGCCUUUACAUAGGCAAAAGUUAUUCAGCACAAGAGAACAUGUUUGGCAUCUGUUGUCUCCAGGUCUGUUUAGGUAAAGGAAAGUAAGUUAUCUGCCCCACCCGUCUCUUUCUUUGUAUAUUUUGUUAAAUCAAAUAUCUUUGUAAUGUAAUAAAAACGUUAGCCUGGAUUGUCCCUUUAAUGAAUUAAAGGAACACUAUAGGCACCCAGACCACUUCAGCUCAUUUUUAAGAAAUUGCAAUAAUUACCUUGCAGGACUAAGACAGCCACUAGAGGCACAUCCUGCUUGCUAGCCGACAUUUGGUCGCCUAACUGGCGCUGGACAUCCUCAUGCUUUUCCUAAUGUGCUCACAGUGUUUGUACAUUAGCGACCCCCCUUCCGGUUGCAUUAGAGGAGGCGGAGCGCCAACCCAGCGCCAAGGGACAUCGGUGCUGGGGUUGGGUAAGUUCAGGAAGGGUUUCCCUUUAAAUAAGAUUACAGGAAAGAUUCAGCAACAUUUAUGUGUGAAGUUACUGUGCAGUGAAUAAAAUCUCAGUUUGCGCCAUUGUCCCAUUGGGCUAAUAUAGUUUUAUGAUAACUAUAAAAUUAAUCAAAUGUGACUUUUUAAAAUAUUCUACACCUGCAGGGAUUGCAGGUAUGUCAUUGUAGACAUAAUUAAUAGGAUGUACAUUCUGGAAAACACACAAAACAAUCAAAAAGGGCCAUAUUAAUCAAGAUGCUUAAACAAGUGCUACUAUAGGGCAAAGUGCUAAAUAAGGACCAAUCACUUUGGAAACUAAUAGAAAGUGAAGUGAGUGAAAGUAUUUUUUUAUUCAGUGUAGAAUUAUUUUACAUCUACUCCCUAAUUAUUUUCAUAUUGGGAAAGAUGAUUUUAGAGAAUGAUGUGUCUUUCUGAUAACAAAACCAACCAUUUAGGUGCUACUUAAAGGUACUCUAUAGGCACCCAGACCACUUCAGCUCAUUGAAGAGGUCUGGAUUCAGUGCCCCUGUUAGUUUAACUCUGCAAUUGAAAUUAUUGCAGUUAUUGAUAAACUGCAAUAACUACCUUGCAGUGUUAACUCAAGCUCUAGUGGCUGUCUACCAGUCUGCCACUAGAGGCACUUCCUGGUGGUUAGGCAACUUUUGGUCGCCUAAACAACGCUGGACAUCCUCACGUUUUGCAUGACGACAUCCAUAGGAUUGAUUUAAUGUUUUCCUAUGGGAUACUCCUAAUGUGAUCACGGUGCUUGCCGCGCAUGCGCAUUAGGCCACGCCGCCUAACGGUGGAGGACGAGCAGACGAUGAGCCUAAUCCAGAGCCCAGAGACACAGCGCUUGAUUCAGUUAAUUGACAAAAGGGUAUUUAACCCUUGCAAUGCUGUGGGGGAGGGGGCACUGUAGGGUACUAUAGUGCUAGGAAUACAUCUUUGUAUUCCUAGAACUAUAUUUUCCCUUUAAAGGGACACUAUAGUCACCAGAACAACUACAGUUUAAUGUAGUUGUCCUGGUGCCUAUAGCCUGUCUCUGCAGGCAAUUUAAUCUAAACACUGCCUUUUCAGAGAAAAGUGUUUACAUUACUGCCAAGAAACACCUCUAGUGACAGUCACUCAGACAGCCACUAGUGAUGCAUCCUGGGUCAGUGCUGUGCAACACUGACAUUCAGCGUCUCUACGCGAUGCAUGGAGGCGCUAAAAUUUCUUCAUAGCGAUGCAUUGAUUCAGUGAAUCUCUAUGAUGAGAUGGUGAUUGGCACACUGUGGCAUUUUGGCACACAUGUACAAUAGCCUCCCAAUGCUUUCCUAUCAUCAAGAUUGGCAGAGUGUGGGUGGGACCAGCCACAGCAAGACGGGUGUGCCAUUGAGAAAAGGUAAGUUAACAAUUGGUUUCACAGGGUGGAAGGAGUAGGGUGGUCAUGAGGGACAGGUAAUCUAAACGGUAAGACAUACCUUACCAUCAAGACCUUCUGCAAUAUCACUAAUAAAAAUAUUAAAGGACCACUAUAGUGCCAGGAAAACAUACUCGUUUUCCUGGCACUAUAGUGCCCUGAAGGUGCCCCCACCCUUAGGGUCCCCCUCCCGCCCGGCUCUGGAAAGGGGAAAAGGGUUAAAUCUUACCUUUUUCCAGCGCUGGGCGGGGAGCUCUCCUCCUCCGAUCCUCCUCUUCUCCUCCCCGUCGGCUGAAUGCGCACGCGCGGCAAGAGCUGCGCGCGCAUUCAGCCGGUCACAUAGGAAAGCAUUCAUAAUGCUUUCCUAUGGAUGCUGGCGUGCUCUCACUGUGAAAAUCACAGUGAGAAGCACGCAAGCGCCUCUAGCGACUGUCAAUGAGACAGCCGCUAGAGGAAAUAGGGGAAGGCUUAACCCAUUCAUAAAUAUAGCAGUUUCUUUGAAACUGCUAUGUUUAUAAAAAAAUGGGUUAACCCUAGCUGGACCUGGCACCCAGACCACUUCAUUAAGCUGAAGGGGUCUGGGUGCCUAGAGUGGUCCUUUAAAGAGAAUGGGUCCAAGUACAGAUCCCUGAGGUACCACACUGUUGACAAGCCCUUGCUUCGAAAAUACUACAUUGACUACAAUCUGCCUACCUUUAAGUCAUCAGAAAUAAUCACCCCUAAAUCCCUUUCCUCAGAUGUUGAUAUUAGGACUCUAUCAAAUGUUCUGCACUGUAUAGUGUCAGGAAUACAUGAUUGUAUUCCUGACACUAUAGUGUUCCUUUAAUGUAAAAUUUUUUCUGGAGGCAAUCUAAGUAUAAGUCAUGUUUUAGCUAUAUUGUAGAACAAAACAUAUGAAAAUCUGUGUUGGAAUUCCAUUGUAAAACUGUUUGAUUACAAACCGUGAUGAAACAAUUGACAACAUGAUCUAUUCUGGGUGCUAUGAAUGGGUUAAAUAUGGCACCGAUGCCCACGCUCACGUGAGAUGGUUUGAUUGAGGAAGUUCACCUUUCACUGACUAUAACAGAAUAAAACUCUACUGUACAAUGAAACAAGAGUUGUAAAAAUAAAAAAUAAAUAAAAGACACGCCUUGCUAAGAACAUUUGAUUCAUAUCCUUGUUAACCUUGCUUACUUAGCGUUCAAAUGAAUUGCAUGAGAUAUGCUUCAUCUAACUAUAUAAGAAUGUCAAUGCAACUGUUAAAAUGUCCAGAUGAAGCAUAUAAAGGGUCAGUCUUUACAUCAUUGCAACAUUGUAUGAUUGUGAAGGUGAUUGUACCUAUGGGGUGUGUUUUAGGGGUGAAGCCCCAGAUCUCUACAAGUAUAGUUCUUCUCCAGGAACUAUAGAGAAUAUCUACCUCCAGGGGAUUUAAAGAAGGUGGUACUGGGCAGAGGGGCUCAAAUUCUUAAAUAGUAGGGCUAUGUAGGAUUACAUUAAAUAAUUGGCAUUGCUGCAUGCUCUUGUAUUUGGCUAUUUUUUUUAAUUGACCUCCAGGCUCACAUAAGGCUCAACCCACUGGUGUUACUGGAAGAGAGCAACGACUCUGCUGUGCUCUCUCAUAUCGAAGGACAGAGCCAAGCUCUGCUGAUUCAUGCUUCCAGCCCAGUUCACCAAGCGGUGUACUGUGAAAUGUGUAUAGUAUAGCUUUCUGGCUGCUAUCAGUUUAUGCGAUGAAUGGAACUGCUUUGAAAACCAACUUUUCCUUCAUGGGCUACUUGUAGCUGCAGAAACCCAUGAAAAAAUAUGCAGAACUUUAAGUUUUCUUUUUUUUUAAAUAUUUUUUUAUAGUUUAAUUUCUGGAUUUUUUUUAAAUGUAUUAUCUACAAGUCACAUUAGGAAUGCUUGAAUCUCUAACUAAGUUCCUAACAGAUCAGGAAAACUAAAUCCCAACACUCAGAUUAAUAUCUCAUGUACAAAGUGGGAUAAACCAUAAAUAAUAUGCAUGCAAGCCAAGAUUUGGCAAUUAAACUUUUCAUAGAAUGAAAAAUAUUUUAGUUGAUUUUUUGUUUUACUUUUAAGAUCUGAAAGUCUAUCCCCCCUUUUAAAUAUAGGUAGGGUAACAUAAUACUAUUUGAUUUUUGGCUGUAGAUUUCUGACCUGGUUGCCUCCAAUUCUGGUUACUGUGUGACACCUCAAAGUGUUGUGACAGUGUUUAAGAAACAAAGGUACAAACUGACUCAGGUUAGACUAAUCAUAUCAUUGUUUGGUCACAGCUAGGUUCUUCAAGAAAUCUCAAGAGCUCUCCUGGCCCAAAAAAGAGCUAGUAGAUAGCGUUAACAUACAACAUAUCAUGUAACUUUCCCAUGUACAGCAUUUAAAUAGUUAAUUAUAUGUUUACUAAGGAUAUCCUACGAAUGUGUUUGCCCAAAGUUCUCUUAAAACUUGUUGCGCAGCCCUCACCAAUUGGUCAAUGAAGCUAGAGGGCCUACAGGGAAGAAAUGUAAUGCUUGUUUAUCUGAUUACAAAUUCUUUUUGAAAGUGGAGAUGUGACUUCCAGUGAUUGGAGGAUCUCCAGGUUGUUUAGAUGUUUCAUUUAGAUUGUCUUCCAGGAUUUCCUGGAGCAUUUUUUGGAUGCCACACUCCUGCAUAUAGCCCCUCGUAUUUUGUGCACAUCAGUUGUACACAGAUCCAGAUGGUCUAUUGUGACAAAGUAUGGACAUGUCUUUUAACUAACUCCCUUUUGUGAGGGUGGUUUAAAUAAUGCAUACACAGGUUGUGAUAUAACAUAAGGCACCUUCUUUUUUUUUUUUUUUUUACCAUGCUUCCAGUGAAACAGCAUCCUUAUGAGACCAACAGGGAAAGACGAAGCAGUGGCUACUGCGGUCGCAUGGCGUCACAGCUGCGACCGGGCCCGCCACUCCAGGGGUCCCCGCCGCCCUGCGGACCUGUGCGACCGGUGCCCGCUGCCAUGUAUUGCGCCCCAAGCCCGCACGGCAGAACCGCCGGGGCUGCACAUUAAGGGACAAUCGGGUGGCCCAAAUUAAUUUCCAGGGGGCUGUGGCGCUUUAACAACGCGACCAGGCCCCCUGAGAUGACAUCACAGCUGGGAGAAAGUGACUGAGCUGUGCGGGAGGAAGGAGUCAGAAGGGGAACUGGACCCCAGGGAAGUCACCCUCCUGCACCUAAAAGGUAGGAAACAGGAGGGUGACUAAUACAUAUUGUAUAUGUGUGUUUGUUUGUAUGUAUGUGUGUGUGUGUGUGUUUGUUUAUGUGUGUCUGUAUGAAUGUUUCUCUGUAUGUCUGUAUGUAUGUGUGUCUGUAUGCAUGUGUGUUUGUAUGUAUGUGUGUUUUAUAUGUAUGUAUGUGUGUCUGUAUGUCUGUUUGUCUGUGUGUAUGUCUGUUUGUGUGUCUGUGUGUCUGUGUGUGUGUAUGUCUGUUUGUGUGUCUGUGUGUCUGUGUAUGUGUGUGUUUGUAUGUGUGUGUUUGUAUGUAUGUGUGUGUGUGUUUGUAUGUAUGUAUGUGUGUGUCUGUAUGUAUGUGUGCCUGUAUGUAUGUGUUUGUCUCUGUAUAUGUGUGUGUGUCUAUGUGUGUGUCUGCAUGUGUAUCUGUUUGUCUGCAUUUGUGGGGGGGCAACAUAUGGGAGGGGGGAUAGAUGUAUGGAGGGGUGGCAGAGGGUAGACAUAUGGGGGGGCAGGGCAGAUUUCACACCAGAGCCCGGUGGUUUCUAAUAACGCCACUCUGCAUUAAGAUGAUGUCUUUUUUUAUUAAAGUACUUUAUUUAUGCCCUAUUUAUUCAUUUAACUUUUUUUAAAUUACUAUAAAUUGCAAUUUAUUUUCUUUUUAAAACAUUCCAAAUUUAAGAGGUGGCUUGCCAUGAGACCAGUACAGACUUCUAGCAGACGUAGGAUUUUUGGGUGUAUUCAUUGAAGAGGCCAGAAAACACAAAUCAGAUGUCCUUUGUCAUUAUUUACCUUUCAUGCAAUCAAUUUGUGUAUAAUUUGGCAGGCAAAUCUUCAGGGUAAGGAGAAACUGACAUAGUCUCAUUUGAAUAUGCCAUGUAAAAACUUGUUUGGAAAAGGCAGUAAGGAUUUUCAGAACACACAUCCAUUCCUUGUGAUUUUUGACAAGCCCAUCGUGAUGUACUAAGUGUGAGUGCACUGCAAUAAUUUGCAUUUUCGGCCCUCAAAAUGUUGACAUGCAAAGCUUAACAUGCAAGUGUUUAUACGCAAGCUCCAACUUUAUUCCAACAAGAUAAUAACUCAAAUAGAAAUCAUAUGUUUUGCUAGUAUUUACACACACAUUGGAAGAGAUUUUGUGACACCAAUUUUAUCCAGAAUAUUUCAGAAUCCCAAUUAUAUUCAUGUGAAGAUGUCAGAUAUUUUUGUCGGUGUCCUUGGUAGCACAUACUGUUCAUAUCUAUGUAUCACUGAUAAACAAGUGUCAUCAUUAUUAAUAAAUUUUAAAAAUCCACAUGGAUAUUAAAUCCAGUUCAGAUUCAGAUGAAGACUUUUCAGUACGCACCCCGGGAUGAAUUGACAAUGAGAUCAAUUUGGCGGUACAGGGCUCAUUACCUUUAUCUAUCUUGCUCACUGAUAUUAACGGGGUUAAUUAGACCUCAGCCUUUGGGUUCCUAGUAAUGAUUGUGAAUUACGUUGACAAAUCUGCUCUUAAAUAAUUCUUUAUCUGUUUUAGACUCUUAGAUAUCAGGAGAAAUAAUAUAUAUAAUAUGUAUUAGGAUCUUUAUAAGAAUAUCUAACCACAAACAAAAGUAAUAAUGAUCAAUACACAAUUACACAUUGGUCCUCCCCCACUGUCAUUUGUACCACUUUACUACUUUGUACAAUGUAUUGCUAGAUAGUUAUCAGAGGACCAUUUUCUGGGACACAUUAAUUCAGCAUUCUGGAGUUAAUCCAAAAAUCACGUUAGAUCUCCUUUAAAAUACAGUUUGAUCCACUUGUGUUCAUAUGAUUAGAUCAUAUGUUUUGUUUAGUUUAAGUAAUCAGGGUGUGCCACGUAUUUUUACUGACAUAUGAUUAGAUUCUGAAAUGUGGCACUGAGACAUAGUUGAUACAUUUUAAUAUUUUAACUUGAGACUGGACGUUGUGUGUUUAUUUCCUAUGAGAUUUCAGUAUCUCUAGGAUUAUUUUAAAAUUAAAAGAUGGAUUAAGUUUAAAAUCAGUUGACUUGCACCAAGAUUAUACUAUAUAGAGAGAUUACAUAGAGCAAGUUCAGCAAGAACCCGUCUUGGUUCAUCUAAUAGAUUUCGUGGUUGAAAAGUAUAUAGCAACAUCAUUACAAAGGGAUUCUCAGUAGAUAUUCAGGAUGUAAAUAUUUGCAAUGCUACAUAUUUACGAUUUACAAGAUUAAUUGGAAUAGACUACUAAUAUGAUGCCAAGUAUGCAGACAGUUUCUUAGGCUGAUUCAUAGAUGGCAAACAUGGUGCUUUUGAAGAGACGUAGACAUCAGCAAUACAACAAUGCUUAUACUAUCAUGACACCAAGGGUUAGUGGAAGACUUUAAAGGGACACUGUAGUCGCUAUAACCAUUUCAGCUCUUUGAAUUGGUUAUAGUGCCUGGAGUCCCCUAGCACUGUCCCUCCAUUUAGUGUUAAACCACAUAGUUACAUAGUUAGUUACAUAGUUACAUAGGCUGAAAAGAGACAUGCGUCCAUCAGGUCCAGCCUUCCACACAUCUGUUUUUUGCUCUUGAUCCAAAAGAAGGCAAAAUAAAUUAGUUUGAAGUACAUAAGAGCAGUUUAACACUAAAUUAGCGUCCCUGGUCACCCACAAUCCGGCCCCUUCUGGAGGUGUGGCUAAUGUAGAGAUUUCACACUUCCUUGUUGUCAUAUCCAUUUAUACCGAUUGAUAAACCGCACCUAGAUUAUUUUGAUAUUUAGCCCUUAAAAGUGGAACAAAACUAUAUAUAUAUAUAUAUAUAUAUAUAUAUAGUUUAAAAAAAAGUUGCUGUUUAGUGAGUAAGUGUGUGUGGAUCUUGUGUAUUGUAUGAACUGGCCUCAGCAAAAACCCAUUUAUGCAUAUUCAGGUUAGUGCAGCCCCCUGGUUUCAUAUAUAUAUUUGGGAGUCUAGGCUAACUCCUUGGUUUUGCACCCCUCCCUGUCAUAGGUGCAUCAUUCCAAGGCCCUAUUAAUCUUUGUACUGAAGAGAAAGCCCCAGAUGGAAUUUUUCCCCCCAAGUAAGUGGGUUAAUCUCAAAAGAGCAGACAUUAGGGUAGUAGAGUAGGACCUGCCAAAGAUAGGGUACAUUGACGUUGUGUCAGGCAUAUGUAACGUAUGAUCAUAUACCGUAACUAAACCCCUAUUAAAAUUUGCCUAAAUAAUGUGUUUAAAAACAAAAACAAAAAAAAAACCCAAUUAAUAAAAUCUGUUAGCUUUGAAGUUAUAGUUAUAUAUAUACAUGUAUCAGAAAGGGCCAUCAUUUGCCUAGUGCCAAAUAUCUUGGAAAUCAAUACACAAAAAAAACAACAACAUACAAUAGUGUAAAAUGUAUAUAUGUAUAUUCCCAAAUAAAUGAACCCCUACAUCUUGCUGGCUUACUGAUGCCACAUAUCCAAGGUGGGAAUUGUACCACUAAUGCUACAUACCACCAGAGCAGGAUUAUUGCUCUACUCCAUGUAAGUAGGAUACUUAACCUUUUUUUUUUUUUAAGUCACUAUUUAUACAUACUGUACCAUUGGAUACGUUCUAUUUUUUGUUGAUGCAUAUUACGCUGCUGUCUGGACAUACACAAUCACAACUGCAAAGUAUAUCCAGAGACAGGAAUUGUUCCAUCAACGCUGAAUAAAGCAGAAAAGCAGAGCUCAUAGUAGCUCUAUAAAGUGUGAGUGUGUCUUUAUUAUAUGCCUGUCAUAUUGUUAUUGUUUUUUUCUGUCCAUUUUUACACUAUUGUAUGUUAUUUUUUUUGUUUCCUGAUUUCCAAGAUACUUGUCACUCGACAAAAGAAGGCCCUCUCUGAUAUGUGUGUAUAUAUAUAUAUAUAUAUAUAUAUAUAUAUAUAUAUAUGUAUAUUAUUUUUUUAUUUUUUCACUUUAAAGGGCUAGAUAUCAUAUUAAGCUAGGUGCAGUUAACCAAUUGUUUUAGUUCCUUUAUACUGCCAAACCUUGUGACAAACCUUGUUUAAUGAUGCCUUACUCUAGUAAUAGUGAGCAACUAAUCCUUUACUCGUUUCUUAUACCCAUUCAUACCAUCAGUUGAGCUCUGAUAGGCUAAAAACACUUUCAGUCAAUUACAGCUGCCCAUUGCUGCUCAGGUGUCAGGAUUACAGUUGAUCCAGCAUGCAGAAUUGUAUCCCACCUAGGACUAAAGGUAACGUCUAACCAGACCUCAGAAUGGCCAGACUCAACGUACCCGAGAAUAGUCAAUAUACUAACCGAGGUCAGGGACACAGAACGGACACAGCGAUAAGGAAAAGGAUGCCAGAAGUCAGGGAAGUCAAAACGACUCAAAGAACUGCAGCCAUCUAAAACACUCAUCAGUGACAUGGAGAGAUGGGUAGACAAACCAAUCUCUUGGAUCGGAAGAAUACACUCCAUAAAAAUGAACAUCCUUCCCCGCAUAUUAUUCCUAAUUCAGGCUGUCACUCCCAAUCACCAAAGCCGACCUAGCGCCCAUACAAAGAGUGAUAGGACCCUUUAUCUGGCAGAAUAAGAGACAUUGCAAAUCUAUAAACAUCCUUUACCACCCAAAAGCAAAAGGGAAUCCAAGACUACCACAUUUACACUGCUAUUACUUAGCUGCCCAACUGCCCCAAAUAGCAAUGUGGCACACACCACCAGAAGAAAGAAGAUGGGUAAAUUUGGAGUCCCUGAUGAUGGGAGCUGACCUCCCACAAUUUUACAUAUGGGUUCCGCAAAGAGCCCAAUUAAAACCCUCUGACUUUUUAAAAAAAUUUACAAAUAAGAGACUUUGCUAACCAAAAAAUGGGUAAAAGAUGCAGUGAGCCAACAACUUACUUUCUUGGAAAGGAUGUGCCUCAGUGGGACAUCACCCAAGGGCCUCAUGUAUGUAUGUAUAUAUGUGUGUAUAUAAUUUUAUUGUUUGAUUGCAAGGUUGUGUUUGCAUGUAGUGCUGGUGUUUGAUUGCUGGGAUGUAUGUACAUAUAUACAUUCACUGCCACAUACAUACAGAAACACAUAGACUGACACACACACACACACACACACACACACAGAUACCUACGUACACACACACUGACAGCAACUUGAAACACUCACACUGAGAGCCACUAGAGGCGCUUCUGUGAAAUAGUAGCAUAAACCUCUAUUUUAGUCAUAUGGUCUGAGAAAGCCUUGGAUGGCUGAGAUCAUCAACAUAGUAAGAACAAUAAGGAUGUGGAAUUCUCUGCCUGAGUAUGUGGUUUUGUCAAAGUCUAUACAGAUGUUUAAACAGCAAUUGCAUAAAUACAUGCAAGAACAUAAUAUUCAGGGAUAUAACUUUUAAUUAGUGGUGUAAUAGCUUCUUGAUCUAAGGAGAUAUCUCCAUUAUCUGCCAUUCUGGGGUCAAUAAGUAUUUUUUCCUAGCUUGUUGCAAAAUUGGAAGCACUUCAAAGUUGGCAUUUUGCUGAAGUUGUCUCUUUUCAGCCUUUGUAACUAUGUAAUUAUGUGUUGGAAGCAGUAAAAAAGGGCAAGCAAAAAGAUCUGUGUGACUUUGAAAAGGGCCAAAUAGUGAUGGCUAGAUGACUGGGCCAGAGCAUCUUCAAAACGGCAGGUCUUGUUGAGUGUUCCCAGUGUGCAGUGGUUGGUACUUAACAAAAGUGACCAGCAAUGAGGGAUAGCUGGUGAACCGACUUCAGGGUCAUGAGCUCCCAAGACUCAUUGAUGGAUGUGGGGAGCGAAGGCUAGCCCUUCUGAUCCAAUCACACAGAAGAACUGCUGUAGUUAAAAUUGCUGAAAAACAUAAUACUGGCUAUGAGAGGAAAGUGUCAGAACACACAGCACAGUGCAUUGCAGUUUUCUGUGUAUGGGGCUUCAUAGCUACAGACAAAUCAGAGUGUCCAUAAUGACCCUUUUCCACUGACAAAAGUGCCUUCAAUGGGGACUUAAGAAUCAGAACUGGACCUUGGAGCAAUCAAAGAAGGUUGCUUGGUCUGAUGAAUCACAUUUUCUUUAAGAUCAGUUAGAUGGCCAGGUGCAUGUUUGUUGUUUACGCGGGGAACAGAUGACAUCAGGCAAUAUGGAAUAUGGGAAGAAGGCAGGCUUGUGGAGGCAGUGUUAUGCACUGUGUAAUGUUCUACUGGGAAACCUUGGUUCUUACCACCUACCUAGAGAUUGUUGCAGACAAUCAUUCGUACCCUCAUUCGGGGCAAUGUUGUUUCCUGAUAGCAGUGGCAUCUUUCAGCAUGAUAAUGCAGCUUGCCACACUACAAAAACUGUUCAGGAAUGGUUUGAGGAACAUGACAAAGAGUUCAAGGUGUUUCCCUGUCCUCUAAAUUCUCCAUAUCUCAAUCCAAUUGAGCAUUUAUGGGAUGUGUUGGAACAACAAAUCCAACCCAUGGAGGCCCCAACUUGCAAAUUGCAGUACUUAAAGGAUUUGCUGCUAAUGUCUUGGUGCCAGAUACCACACGAUACGUUCUUGUGGAGUCCAUGCCUCGACGCACCAGAGCUGAUUUGGCAGCAUGAGUGGAACCUACAUGAUAUCAUGCAGAUGGUUUUAAUGUUGUGGCUGACCAGUGUAUAACAUCAACACAUUUUCUAGCUUUAGCAGGCUUCCCCAAACUCCGGCCCUCCAGAUGUUGCUGAACUACAACUCCCAUGAUUCUAUGAAUGAAAUAGAUAGGCUGAGAAUCAUGGGAGUUGUAGUUCCGCAACAUCUGGAUGGCUGGAGUUUGGGGAAGCCUGCUUUAGAUGAAUUAAGUGAAGGGAAAACAUUAACUGAAAAACAAAAAAGACCAAAUGAUACCAAGCACAACACUAUGAUACCAAAAAAGCACGAGGAUAAUAAUUUAAAAAAAAGCAUUUUUAAAAAUUAUUAUCCUCAUGCUUACAUCAACCAUGCACACGCCUCUGGUACAUAAAUGGUUAUUUAAGAUGUUAAGCUUUGUUGGUUAAGAUUCAGCAAAUUUCUUACUACUUAAUUAAUUUUCUCAAAGCUGUCAGUCCAUUCAAAGUCAUAAUUUGCUGACUAUUUGCACUGUAAAUGAAGAUAGGGGUGGGGUUAUUUAAACAAGGUACAAAACCUGCUUCAAUAUUGUUCUUUAUGCACCUGCAGACUCUGUGUAACAUACCACCCAACUCCCCCCCCCACCCUCCCCCCCAUACAUUCACAAUCUCAUUCUUGGUGUAAUUUAAGAAGAGAUUAUCCAAAGCAUUGCAUCAGACUUGGGGGCUCGGUAACAAUGCCUUGUGUUUGCAACUGAGAAAUAAAGGCAGCAGUGAGACUUUGUUUACCUGGGUACCUGAGGCCCAAGCCUGAUUAACAGGCAUGUUCAGUGAAUACAGCUGUCUGGGAAUAUGAAUCCAGCUAUAGCUCAUUGUUUUCUCCCCUGAGGUGGAGGAAGGAGUCAUUAACGAGGAGGUGAUGGGGAACUCUGCAGAUGGGACACGAAGAUCUGAUGAACCAAUUGGGUAUAGGAACUGGAUAAGAAAUAUAUUAACCUUUUAAUAACCUUUUAUGACUGUUUGCAUUGCAUUCACAGGAUACUGCUUUUGUGUUAUUUACAUGACAUUUUUUAAAUAGGUCACAAUAACAAGUUAUAGUUUACAAGAGGCCCUUUACAAUCAUAAAUAUUGCUUUCUUAGCAGUGUGAUCAAGCUGUAGCUAAUUUAUUCUCUACAUGUAGCCGUUUUGACUUUAAUUACAAAUUUACAUUUGUUUUAGUCCGUACUAAGCAACAAUAUAAUAUAUAUAGUCAUGGGAAAGAGAAAGUGCACCAUCUUUAAAUUCUAUAGUUUUACAUAUUUUUAUUAGUGAUAUUGCAGAAGGUCUUGAUGGUAAGGUAUGUCUUUUUGCUGAUGAUACUAAGAUAUGUAACAGGGUUGAUGUUCCAGGAGGGAUAAGCCAAAUGACAAAUGAUUUAGGUAAACUAGAAAAAUGGUCAGAAUUGUGGCAACUGACAUUUAAUGUGGAUAAGUGCAAGAUAAUGCAUCUUGGACGUAAAAACCCAAGGGCAGAGUACAGAAUAUUUGAUAGAGUCCUAACCUCAACAUAUGAGGAAAGGGAUUUAGGGGUGAUUAUUUCUGAUGACUUAAAGGUAGGCAGACAAUGUAAUAGAGCAGCAGGAAAUGCUAGCAGAAUGCUUGGUUGUAUAGGGAGAGGUAUUAGCAGUAGAAAGAGGGAAGUGCUCAUGCCAUUGUACAGAACACUGGUGAGACCUCACUUGGAGUAUUGUACACAGUACUGGAGACAGUAUCUUCAGAAGGAUAUUGAUACCUUAGAGAGGGUUCAGAGAAGGGCUACUAAACUGGUUCAUGGAUUGCGGGAUAAAACUUACCAGGAAAGGUUAAAGGAUCUUAACAUGUAUAGCUUGGAGGAAAGACGAGACAGGGGGGAUAUGAUAGAAACAUUUAAAUAUAUAAAGGGAAUCAACACAGUAAAGGAGGAUACUAUAUUUAAAAGAAGAAAAACUACCACAACAAGAGGACAUAGUCUUAAAUUAGAGGGACAAAGGUUUAAAAAUAAUAUCAGGAAGUAUUACUUUACUGAGAGGGUAGUGGAUGCAUGGAAUAGCCUUCCAGCUGAAGUGGUAGAGGUUAACACAGUAAAGGAGUUUAAGCAUGCGUGGGAUAGGCAUAAGGCUAUCCUAACUAUACGAUAAGACUAGGGAGUAAUGAAAGUAUUUAGAAAAUUGGGCAGACUAGAUGGGCUGAAUGGUUCUUAUCUGCCGUCACAUUCUAUGUUUCUAUGUUUCUAUGUUUCUAUAUCAGAACAUAAUAACAACCAUCUGUUCCUUUACAGAUCUUAAAAUUAGGUAAAUACAACCUCAGAAUAACAACAACAUAUGACAUACUACACCGUGUCAUGAUUUAUUUAACAAAAAUAAAGCUAAAAUUGAGAAACCAUAUGUGAAAAACUAAGUACACCUUAUGUUUCAAUAGCUAGUAGAACCACCUUUAGCAGGUCAUCCUUUCCUGUAUGACUUUAUCAGUCACACACAUCGUCAUGGAGGAAUUUUGGCCAACUCUUCUUUACAACAUUGCUUCAGUUCAUUGAGGCUUGCUGGCAUUUGUUUAUACACAGCUCUCUUAAGGUCCCGCCACAGCAUUUCAAUCGUGCUGAGGUCUGGACUUUGGCUGGGCCAUUGCAACACCUUGAUACUUUGGUUUUUCAGCCAUUUUGCUGUAUAUUUGCUGUUGUGCUUGGUAUCAUUGUCCUGUUGCAUGACCCAAAUUCAGCCAAGCUUUAGCUGUUGGACAAAUGGCCUCACAUUUGACUCUAAAAUACUUUGGUAGACAGAGGAGUUCAUGGUCCACUCAAUGACUGCAAAGUUUCCAGUUCCUAUGGCUGAAAAACAAGCCCAAAUCAUCACCCCUCCACAACCGUGGUGCCCGGCAGUGAGGCAGAGCAUUGGAAGCCAUCUGCCUGUGCUGAGUGCCUCGACCCUGUGAACAUUGAAGUAAAUAAAUAAUAAUAAUAAAAAAUUUAAAAAGUAUAUAUAUUUUUUAAAUAACCCCUUCCCUCCCUCCCUCUCCCGCCCUCUCCCUCCCUCUCCCGCCCUCUCCCUCCCACCAUUCCCAUGUACUUACCAGAUUGCCAUCGUUCCCCCGCCAGCGAUCGGUGUUCUGAUACACUGGGGGGACUGUCUAACAGCCCAGACACCCUAAAACCUGUACAUGGGGGGUACUGUUUUACUCGGUAGACUUCGCUGAACACAAAUAUUAGUGCUUCAAAACAGUAAAACAUAUCACAGCGAUGAUAUUGUCAGUGAAAGUGAUGUUUCUUGCAUUUUCCACACACAAACAGUGCUUUCACUAACGAUAUCAUUGUUGUGAUAUGGUUCACUGUUUUGAAACACUAAUAUUUGUAUUCAGUGAAGUCUACCAAGUAAAACAGUUCCUCCAUGUACAGAUUUUAUAUUAGUUUUGAAAGUUACAGGGUCAAAUAUAAGGCCAUUUUUUCACAUUGAAAUUUGCCAGAUUUGUUAUGUUGCCUUUGAGAGCGUAUGGUAGCCCAGGAAUGAGAAUUACCCCCAUUAUGGUAUACCAUUUGCAAAAGACAAAAGAAGACAACCCAAGGUAUUGCUAAUGGGGUUUGUCCAGUCUUUUUUACUAGCCACUUAGUCACAAACACUGGCCAAAGUUAGCGUUCAUAAUUGUUUUUUGCACUUCUAACACACAAACAAAUAUAAAUGCUAACUUUGGCCAGUGUUUGUGACUAAGUGGCUACUAAAAAAGACUGGACAUACCCCAAAUUGAAUACCCUUGGUUGUCUACUUAUAUACUUAAAUAUAUGGUUUGAUGGGGGUAAAUUACAUUGGCCGGUUUCAAAAAUGUCCCAAAUAGGACAUGGGUGCAUGAUGACCAACUGAGAAAAUUCCAAGUUGGAAAACUGGAAUGGGCACCCUCCAAAUAAGGUAUUUUAGCCCCCAGAGAACCCGACACACCUGUACAUGAGUGGUAUCACUGUACUCAGGAGAUGUUGCUGAACACAUAUUGGGGUGUUCUUUGGCAGUAAAGUUCUCAGUACAUGUAUUCUUAAAUUGCUAUGUGUGUCAAAAAAAUCACCAAUUAUUAUUAUUUUUUUGUUUUUUUAAAUUUGGCAUAGAUUGGUGGUAAAAUGGUUGCAUGAAAAGAGUCAAAAUACCCCUAAUACCUAAAACCUAAUACCUUAGGUUGUCUUCUUUUAAAAACUAUAUACAUAUGAAGGUUUAUUCAGGAUAUCAGUGUUGCAAUGUUUUUUAUUUUGAAAAUAAAAAUGGUUUGGAAAUAGCAAAGUGCUACUUGUACUUAUCAUUAACAUUGGGUAUUUCUAAACUCAAGACAAAAUUUUGAAACUAUUUAGCACGUGUUUUUUGGCGGUUGUAGAUAGGUAACAGAUUUUGGGGGUGUAAGUUCGAAAAAGUGUGUUUUUUUUAAAUAAUUUAUCAUAUUUUAUAAUUGUAUUUAUAGUAAAUUAUAUGAUAUAAAAAUAAUGGUAUCUUUGGAAAGACCAUUUAAUGGCUAGAAAAACAGUAUACAAUAUGUGUGGGUACAGUAAAUGAGUAAGAGGAAAAUUACAGCUAAACACAAACACCGCAGAAAUGUAAAAACAGCCCUGGUCCCUAACAGUAAGAAAAUUGAAAAGUGGUCUGGUCACUAAGGGGUUAAAUAAAUCAUGACACGGUAUAAUAUGUCAUAUUUUAUUGUUCAUUUAAGAUAGUAUUUAACUAUAUUUAAGACUUAAGACCUGUUAAGGAACAGAUAAUUGUAAUGUUCUGAUAAUUCAAAACCAUAGAAUUCAAAGAGGGUGUACAUUCUUGUUCCCAUGACUAUUUAUGUAUAAGCUAUACAAAAGUGGAAUUUUAGUACAGAUAUUUACAUACAAAUUGGUGCAGAUUCAUCAGAGAGCAGGUAUUCAUUUAUAAAUAUUAAAUUUUAAUGUUUACACGUGGUUCCAGAUUGCUAGGUAACCUGCUUCAUGCACACAAACACACACAUAAAUACAUGUAUACACAUAAACAAAUACUUGUAUACCUCCCAACACUAUACGAACUUCAAAGAAGAAGCAUAUGUAUUUUUAUAGGUAGCCAUAAAUAAAUAGGUAGUAAGGUCACCUUAUUUGGACCUUGGUGUGCACUUAAUUGUCACCAUCAAACUGGCAGGAUAAAUGACAAAUGUUGAUCAAUUCCUCAAUGUUUUAGUAACAGUGAAAGCAUAGCAUCAUUCCAGCAUUAUUCAUGCCAUUAUCAUUUUAAAGAGGCAGCCUAAGCCCCUUAACCUCUAAAAGCCACUGUAGUGGUUUUGGUGCCUGGUGUCACCUGCUUCUGUCUCACAGUAAGUUGCCAAACCAUUCUCAAACAGUUUGUUACUUAUUGGAAUCUUUCAAGUAGCCAUAGUAGUUAGAACCUUCAGGAUAUAAUUAAAAGUCAGACCAGGUAUUGAUAUUAAGUAAAACUGGGAUCAACAGGGAAAUUUCAGCAACAGAAAGCUCCCAUUUGCCUAAAUAAUAUCGGUUUUGUCCCUGUUUGGACAGGACAUUGGACAUUGGCUGAGAAUGUUCGGGCUUGCGGUACCCAACUCUAUAAUGAUGUACACCGUAAUUAGCUUUCUUAUAGAGUUGAACUGUGAAUACAGUGCGGUCACGACUUUACUAAAAUGAAAUUUACCAUAUAGCAGUAAACACAUUAAAGUAAACAUUUUUAAAACGAAUAGUAAACUUCAUACGUGUCCAUUUUUAAAUGGCUAUUCUGGUACUCCUUCUACUACCUCCCUGUAACCAUGUUCCAUGGGAAGAAUGACAUUCAGGUAGAGAGGCCAGUGUUUUGAUGGAACAUGAAAGCUUUAACAAGUUUGUGUGAUUGUGUAAGAGGGGCUUGAGUUUCAACACAGCUGCUUCACCUUGUUCCAUCAUUUGCACUAAGGAGGGGGACAGGGUGAGGGGGAUACUGUGUAAUUUGUUUUUCAAAUUGCACCCAUUCAUGACCAGAGAUAAUAAGCAUUUUGAAGGCUUAACACCUGAUUGGAAGCCAGAUGGCACUGCAAGUAUUAACCAGGUCUUCACACAGAAUGCAAUCCCUUAUUUGACUACAGCUAAUUGGCCAGAUGUUUCCAAGAAAAAAAAAAAUUAUUCAGUCCCCUAAACGAAAAAGUUUAAUCACCUGUAAAAGUCUUCUCUUACCUCAUUAUUAUUAAUAUGUGCAAUUUGUGCAUAUAAUAUGUAUAUGUGUGUGUAAAGAAAACGAAUUACUCACCUGAGCAAACAUAUAGUAAUAUGGUACUACUCAAAUAGUUUUUAUACAAUGUGAUAAAUUAUAUUCAUAAUUAUUAAAGUCGUAAUUGUCAGGAAAUUAAUCUUAAUUCAAAGUGAAUUAAACAUUUUCUUUGUUGCCAGUGUGCCGGCAUUGGAAUGCAGUGACUUCAAGUCACCUUGUUCCUAAACUCCCUUAGCCGCCGCUGGAAGGACCAGCUAGGGAGUUUCCAGAGCAACCACAACGCAUGCGCUGUGGUUGCGAUAGUUGGAGAGAAGAAGGACAGCGACGCCAAUGCAUUGACUGACAACCGUGAGAAAAAAAAACAUUUUUGUAACUAGGUUUUUCUCCUAAUCUAUACAUUUGUUAGCAAAACUAUAAGCACAAUGUAUACAUAAAAUUUUAUGCUCAAUCUAAUGAGCAAAAGUUGUUUGGGACAUGAUGCCCUUUAAACAUCGUUUGCCUGUCAGCUCCAUAAAAGCACCGUGGCAUUAAAAAGUGCUAAACUAAUUUAUCUUUAGAAUACAAUAAAAAUCAUUGAAAUUGCAGUUUGGACUUUAUACGUGAAUGGGAAACAAAAAUGAUUUGCAUCACUUUGGUAUCUUAGUAACCUGAGCAACAACUUGUUUUAUCUUGUGGCCCAUAAAAUGAGUAGUAUUCAAUAAAGUGGCUAUUACAUCUAUGUCAACAUCAUCAGAGGGCCUAAUGUAAGUAUAAGGAAAAACAAAUUGUCUUCCAAAACAUCAGGGUCUGGAGGCCAAGCAUACCCAAGACAGACACGGCAAAGAAACCAUUGUUCAGCGAGUUGUGUUAUUUGGGGUACAGUUAAACUUUUGUUUUGGUGGGUUGUAUUCAUUGAGUAGUGAUGAAGACCUUGAUUUAAUAUUUUUGGAUAAGCUUUUCAAAUUAUUUAAUAUUUAGAAAAAUAUUUUAAUAUUUUGAUUUUUUUUUUAAAUAUUGAUAUUUUUUUUAUAUAUUCUAUAUUUUUAAAAUUGUAAUAUUUAAAAAAUAAAAAUAAAUGCUUAUCGAAAAAUAUUAAAUCAUUUGAAAAGCUUAUUAAAAAAAGAUUUAAUAGAUGCCGAAGUAUUUUAUUAAGUAACAUUACUGAAUUGAAUGGUGUGCCGUGCAACACUCUUGUCCAUGUAAGCAUUAUUGUGAGAGAGAAAGCUUCAGAAAAUGUUACAGCAGAGGCUGUGUGAUCCUUAAGAAUAUGAAAGUCCCAUCAAAACCAUUAUCUCUAUAUGGAAUAAAAGAGGUUAUGAGUGCUGUUGGUUUUAACUCAGGAACAUAUCUGGUUAGAGGUGGUAGAUUAUGUUUAGUGUGGAGUAGUGACAAAUCACACAAAGCUACAGUCAACCUCCUCAUUUUAAAAGUAUACUCCAGACCACUAAAGCACUUUAGCUUGCCGAAAAGUUUUAUGUGUGAAUACUGUGUCCUCUUUUUUUUUGUGCAAAAAUUGCAGGUUUUUACACUUUUAUAAAUCAACCUGGUUACACCCUCUGGCUUUAAAGUUCUGUUACUUCCUGGUUUGGUUAGCUCAGUGGAGCUAAACUCAAGAGGCAGCAAUUGUGCAGAGCUCCUGCUUGCAAAGACUUCUCAUUGAGCUCUUUUGGAAAGAGUGUGAUUGGACAGCCACAAAAAUUCUGGGCAGGGUUACAUGGAGAUGGCUUGGAAAGGCUCAGACAUGAGAUCUGCAGCUUUUACAAGCUGCUUUUAGAUAUAUUCCCAAUGAAAAAUGUAUAAUUUAAUGUAUGCAUGUUUUCAUUGUUGGUAUAUUUACUAAAAGUUAUUUAAAAAAAAAAAUUAUUUCUGCAGUGGAGUAUCCCUUUAACACAUUUUGUAGCUAAUGUAUUUAAAAAUAUUAUGAAAUGAAAAAAUGUCUACUUCUCUAAUUUCCUUAGCAGGUAAUUCCUAUGAUGCAACUCAUCUCUCCACCAAAUGAAACAGUAGUUUUAGUUAUUAUCAUCUCAACCAUAUUGAUAAAACACAAUUAACACUUCUGUGUUAUCAAUGUCAAUUUUGUACAACCUGGGAUCAACUGAUUGCUUGAGAAUAACGGCUCAACCCCCACAAUACUCUCAGCCAAUAAGUUUCUUCCAGGUUGAAUGAAAUUGACAGCAGUGGCGGAUCCAGAGCCUGAUCUCGGGAGGGACACUUAAAGAAAUAAUCCAGGCACAAUAAUCACUACAGCUCAGUGUAGUAGUUAUGAUGCCGGUAGUGCCAGGAUCCCAUCCCAGAGUAAGUAGUCAAACCGUUUAAGAACAGUUUGACAACUUACCUGGGGUUGCUGGGAUAUAGGGCAUAGGAGCAGUGGUAUGUGUGUGUGUUUGUGUGUGUGUGUGAACAGUGAAGUGCGUGAGGGCGGCAGUGUAUGUGUGUUUGAGGCAGUGUGUGUAUGGGGGGCACUGUAUGUGUGUGUGGGGUAGUGUGUGUAUGGGGGGCACUGUAUGUGUGUGUGGGGCAGUGUGUGUAUGGGGGAUACUGUAUGUGUGUUUGGAGCAGUGUGUGUGUGGGGGGCCCUGUAUGAGUAUGUGGGGCAAUGUGUGUAUGUGGGGCAAUAUGUGGCAGUGUGUGUAUAGGGGGGCAGUGUGUGUGUGUAUAGGGGGCACUGUAUGUAUGUGUGGGGGCAGUGUGUGCGUGUGGGGGUCAUGUGUGUGUGUAUGGGGGGGCAGCAGUGUGUAGGGGGCACUGUAUGUGUCUGUGGGGCAAUGUGUGUAUGGGGGGUCAUGUAUGUGGCAAUGUGUGUAGUGUAUGUGUGUGUGGGGCAAUGUGUCUAUGGGUGUGCAGUGUGUGUGAGGCAGUGUGUGUGUGAGGCAGUGUGUAUGGGUGGCAGUGUAUGGGGGGCAGUGUUUGUGGGGAAGUGUGUGUAUGGGGGCAGUGUUUGUAUGGGGGGCAAUGUUUGUGGGGCAGUGUAUGGGGGGUAGUGUUUGUAUGGGGGGCAGUGUUUGUGGGGCAGUGUGUGUAUGGGUGGGGGGAGGAGGGUAGGAAGUCUUUAAAAUCAUUUUUUACUUAUUUAUUUAAAAAUAUAUAUAUAUUUAUGUCCCCCCUCCCUUCUUACCUUUACUGGGAGGAAGGGGCAUUUCUUAGUCCCUGGUGGUCCGGUGGGGAAUCCCUGGUGAUCCAGUGGUGAGAGUGAACUAUAGCCCGCAGCUGCAGGGCUAGAGUUCACUCUUGCGAGAUUUGGAGCGUUGACGUGGUAACCGCAGCAACGCUCCAUUCUCACGAGAGAAGGACCUGGAUGAGCUGCAGGCUGAGCUCCUGGGUCCUCUCUCCCUCCCUCCUUCCCCUGCCGGCUGCCAGCAAUGUGCCUGCGGACCGGGGAGGGAGAUCUCUGAUCUCUGAUCCCCCUCCCCGGUCCGCAGGCACAUUGCAGGACAGGCACUUGGACAAUGCCAGCCCUGCAUUAGCCAACAGGGGAGACUCUCGGGGGGGGGGCAAUUGCCCCGUUGCCCAACCCCUGGAUCCGCCACUGAUUGACAGUGAUAUUUCAGAAGUGUUAGUUCUGUAUUAUCAAUGAGGCUGAGAUGGGGGCCGUCCCUCUGGCCCAGGGAGUUGUAUCAAACUGUUUUUAAAUGGUCUGAUGUUAAACCAAGGGACAAAACCAGGGGACUCUAUGUAGCAUAACCACCACCACCACAGCUAUUAGUUAUGUUUAGAGUGGCCUUGUAAGCUUUAGUAUACUUAAAAGCAUUAUGUGUUAGUGUAAGACUUUACAACAAAAACGACUCUUUCUGUCUACAAUUCAGGGCUUAUGUGAAGGAUCAAAUAAACGCCAACAGUGUCCUUUUAGUACAGCUGUCUGAUUUUAACCAGGCACAUAUAUUUACUGUGUAUGGCAUGAAAGACAAUACAUAUUAGCAAUUUGGAGAUCUGGUACCCAAGCAUAGGUGUAGCUUUGCAAAUACCCAUAAGCAGAGCUGGUCUUAGGCCUUAUGCGCCUUGCGCAAAGAAUCUGCACAAGCGCAACUCCCUGGUCACAUCCCCUCACCCAUUUAUAGUGUGCAUGUAUAGAGGUGUAGAGUUUGUAUAGCAAGUUAUUAAAUUAGUCAUUAUUUAAAAACAAAUACCGUAUUUAUUCUCCCUUCCCUGUUGUUGUCUUGCAUUUUUAUUCGUUUUUUAUACUUAGUCAUAGGCUGUUAUACCACUGUAUACCCUAAAAAUAUUUUAAUAAAAAGCCGUUUACUCAAUGCCUUUCUGAAGGAUUAUACAGUAUAGACUUGGAGAUUUGUGUAGUACCAAUCUUCAAUUUACAAUAUACCCAAAUCACAACCACAGAAAAUUGAUUUAGACGAGGCAUUUUGGAAUUCCAUUUACUUUGUCUACUGACAGUAACCAUUGUCACUUAACUUUAACUCUGAAUAACUGAGGGACACCAAGAACCAUCUUUAUGUCAAAGGGACACCAAGAACCAUUUUUAUGUCAUUUGUGGGCUUCCCAAAUAUUCUCAUGUACAAAAGAAAUUUCUUUGUCCUGAACCAUUUUUUUUUUGGAUGAAACUUUUCCGAUCGGAAAACGUUUAAAAUUUCAGUCGAGUUGAUUUGUCCGAAUUUAACUUUUACCCCAUGCAGAAAUCUAAUAAUCACUCAUACUUUAUAAUUGCUUUCCCCACACACGGACAUCUCAAUUAUCGUGCAGUAUGUGUUCAUACACGGAAAGGUGUGAUUUUACUUGUUCCUUAAUAGCAAUUAACUCACACUUAUUUUAUUGUACUUACUAAUGCCAUAAUUAAUUUGUACAUAUUACUUCGUUUGAAACCACGUCUUUUUUACCAGUGUCUUGCAGUAACAUAGUACUUCCUACUCUGCAUUUUUAAUAUUUAUUGUUAAAUCCUAAAGAAACAUUAAAACGAAACAUGCUUGGCAAUGCAAUAUAAUGCAAUAUGAAAACAGUAGUGCAGCAGAAAAAUUGUAAGCUCCUCUGAUUGCACAUUCCAUUCUCAUAUUUGCUCACCUUUAUGUAGGGAGAUGGACUCACAUCGAUUUUACAUGACAUUAUGAACGAUGCUCGUAAAAAGCUUCAUAUUGUGAUUUGAUCCUUGCCUGAUCUGCAUUUAUAGUGGAUCAAAUUAAUGCUGGAAAUGUAAGCAAUUAAUCCAUAGAAGCCUGUCACUAAUAACAAUGUUAUCUCGUAAUUACCUUAGUUUGUCUCUCUAAUUACACGGUCAACAUUAGUUACAGAACGGAAAACACUGGAUGGACUAUUGAUCUGGACAUCUUCCCACCAUAAAUGGAGAAAAAAAAAAAAGAAUAAAAAAUAGCUUCAAGAUUUAUUUUAAGAGGUGUAAGGUUUAACUUUUUAAUUUGAAACAACAUGCUAAUUCUACUUCUGCAAAUUAAUCAUGAAUCAUACGUAUUUUUUUUUAAAAUCUGAAAUGUAAAAAUGUGCUUCCCCAAACGGUAUCUCUGAUUGUAAAAGGUUGCUAUGUUUAACAAGAAGACACUAUUAUUAUUAUUAUUAUUAUUAUUAUUAUUAUUUUAUUAUUUAUAUAGCGCCAACAAAUUCCGUAGCGCUGUACAAUGGGAAUUAUUAAACUAUUAAAUCAUUUCUGUUUUAUUUUAUUUUUUUUAAAACGUUUCCUCUUAUGAUUAGUUAGAGAUUCAGCAAUUUGCUAUAAAUUAUAAAAGUGGCGAUUCAAAUAAUGUUUAUAUUAAUAUAGAAAAUUGUGGGACUGAUUUUUUUAAAUUUUCCAUUCACAUCUGCCCUGUCUAGAGGAAACUAAGUCAUACAAGAUCAGCCAUUUGGUUUGUUCAGUAAAUUUCAACAUAGCAGAAAAAUCGGAAAAAAAAAUAAGGAGAGACAGAACAGGACAAAAAAUGGCAAGUCAGAUGUAAUGGUGAGAAAAAUAGAACCUAAUACAAAUACCCAAAUAUGUUGACUAUCUGGGGGGUGGAAACAGUGCUGAAAGACUUGGAAAAAAUAGACAAACCUGUCUAAACUAUCAAUAAUAGCAGAAUGAAAAGCGUGGAUAUAAUAUGAUAUAUAUAUUUUUAAAUGUUAUAUAAAUGGCAGAGAGAUGAAAAGAAGCACGGGGCAUCAGUGAAUGUCUAUGAUAUAGAAAGCAAUCUAAGAUAAUGAUACAAAAUAGAAUACAAAAGUGUAUUAAUAUUCACAAAAUGCUGCACGGAAAUUCUAAAAAUAAAUAAGAAAAGUUGUUUUCAAGGUCUUCUAUUGAGAUGUCCCUACUUCAUCAAUGGUUCUAAUUCACGCAUUCCUUCUUCAGCGCUGACAUUGGAACUGGCAUUGUCACCGUAAAAUAUGCAAUAUUUACCGUUAGUGUCUCAAUACUCAUUUCUUGCUGUUAGUUAAAGGGACACUGUAGUCACUAUAAUCAUUUCAUCUCUUUGAAUUGGUUAUAGUGCCUGGAAUACCCUGGCACUGUCCCUCCAUUGAGUGUUGCACCAUGUUCGUGCAGUAUGCCACAAAAUAAGAGUCCCUGGCCACCCACAGUCCAGCCCCUUCUGUAUGUGUAGCUAAGGCAGAGAUUACACACUUCCUUGUUGUCAUACCCAUUCAUACCGUCAGUUGGAACUCUGACAGGCUAAAAGCAGUCAGCUGACACUCUCAGCCAAUCACAGCUGCCUAUUGCUGCUCAGGCUAAUACUUCCUUAUUAGCCAGGGCAGCACAGAGGGGGUGGAUUGCUGGGGACCCUUGUUUAGCAUUAAAACAUUAAAAGUUUAAAAACUGUUUAAUGCUGAAAGAUAUGAUGGUACCAGAGGACUCCAGACACUAUAACCAGUUUAAUGAGAUGAAGCAGAUACAGUGCCUACGGUGUCCCUUUAAGGCUAUUCAAAGUGAAUUUAAUGUGAAUUUAAAAGUUAAAGCCAAAUAGCUGAAUUGGGGAAAUUGUUGAAGUCAGCUACGCUUCCAGUUCAGCUAUUUUGGUCUUAAAUUGAAAUUCACUUUAAAUUCACGUUGAAUUCCCAACAAUUCUCAUUUUAGUAAAUAACUCUGCGAGUGUUGUUGUUUUUAUUUUUUAUUUUUUUGUAACAAUUCUUCAUUUAUUGUUUUUCAUUUGCAUGACAACAUUUAAAUAUAUCAGUACAGUGUUACAACAGAACAUAACACAUGGUAGAGUAUAUGUUUUAGAAAAUUGCUGAGGUUCCAAUGCUCGGUACAGUGGAUAACAUUGCAGUUGUUGACAAGGAAGUAUAUCUCAGCCUUAUUCAACAUGAACAAGCGUUAUAUAAAAAACAACAACAACAUAAUAGAUAUUUCAAGUAGAAUAGUAAAUCAUAUGUAUCAUGAGUGUGUCAAGGCAUAUAUUUGAUAACAGUAUGUCAUGUUGCCUCUGGGGUGACCAAUCCUAGGGAUAUUGUAACAUACCAAUAAAGUUUUGGUGUUUGAGGGUAGACAUGACUUUAGUUAGACAAUGUGGUAGUAGCAGGUUUGUAGUGGACCACAAUGUGCCUGUACCGGUCAAGGCCUGUUACAGUUAUAAUGUGUUGUGUUGGUCACAAGCUUGUGAGUAUGAUUAAUGAGUUGUUCGGUGGAGAUGUAUAAAUCAUGUGCCGGCAACACAAUAAGAGAAACCUUCGUGGGCGAUGCUCGUCUGAGAAUUUUAAGGUGAAUGUGAAUAAGGAAGUUAUAGAGACAGAGGAGAAGUAAAGUUGAAGAUGAGAUAAAAAAAAGUGGAAAAAAACAGCACACUUAUAAACUCUGUGAGUGUUUUAAUUAACUGAUUCCUGGAUGAAAAUAUGCUGAAUUAUAUAUUAUUUAAAACUAUUUUGCAUUAUAUUAUCAUUUCUUACCUGUAUAAAACUACAUCAUUUCACACAAAAUGCAUUAACAUGACCGGUGCCAAACAAAUUACACUGUCGUAAAACAUAAGCUACAUUGGUUGCAUUAUGUUAUAUUGUUCUUUAAUAAAAUGAGCAUAAUUUAAAAAAAAAAUUAAUAUGAUUGCAUGCUUCUAUAAAAAAUGUUGAAAAUAUUAUUAUACAUUUUAAAGCAUGUUACAUUGCAAUAUAUGAUGAAUAAAUCAGUGGUCGAAUCCUGUUAAAUAUCCUAAAAAUAUGCUGAAACCUCAGUUCCCCUGGGAAGCAGUUAAGGUAGUUAUGGUGUGAGUUACUUACAUGAUGCAACAGCAUGUAAGCUGUGACAGAGCUCACAAGAUGUCCCAUAUGAGUUUCAUAAUCACUCAGGGAACCUGCCCCAUCUCUCAUAAUUACAUGCUAACGCUAAUUGCUCACAACCAAUAAUGCUGGGAACAAAAGCAAGUCAUCAACAAAGGACAUGAGAAUGGAGCCAGCCAUCUUAAAGCAAGGCCUAUCUCAUUGCAGAUGGUAUACAUUUAGUGGUUAGGUGAGCAGGGGGUUGGGCUGAGUAUAGACAGAUUCUGUGUAAUUUCAAUAUGAUUACUCCAUUUUUAUCCAUUUAGAAAAAAAAAUGAUACCACACCGAAUCUGUUGGUUAAUCCCUCUUUUGGAUAUUCUUGUAGAGUAACUGAAAUGUUGAUCACAACAAAUUCAAUAAACAUUAUGUGCAUAAUUGAGGAUGGUUUGGAUGUGUCUAAGACAACAUAAAUGUUGAUUAAAACAAAUUAAAUAAACAUCAAAUAUUGAAUAAAAUGUAUUAACAUAUAUAUGUUUAUAUGAAGUGGAUUAAAAGUCCAUAAAAAGAAGGACUGGGCACAUGUGUGGUCCAAGUGCAGAUUUAUUUCUAGGAAAAACAAUAUUUCAACCCUAUUAAGGGCAGUUAUCAAGCUUGAUAAAAAGAAAAAAAACCUUUAUCGAGCCAUGCACCUUAUUUUCAGAAUAUAAUUAUUCACUCUGUUGUGAUUAUAAAUUUUGUGUAUAUUUUUUGUGUCAAGAAAAAAUCCUGGAUUUGUUUACUUGGGGAAUUCUAGUUUUUGAUGACCCAUUAGUGUAGCUGAUCACAGUGUUGUACCAUCUUAAGUUCAAAGCCUACCAAACUAAACUAGAGAGCUGUUCACUGUAAAUCCAUACUCAGGACAGUAGAGUAAGCCAUUUGAUAACUAUAAUUUAAUUGCAAAACAAUGUCCUACCCAGGUUGCUUCCUGCAGUCUUGAAAAUCUGAGUGGUUGGACGUUUAGUCAUUACAAGUCAGAUUAGCCAUUUCCCAGUUAGAUCAGAUAAUGCAUCAUUAGCAGGCCUGGUCUGCAGGUGAUUGAGAUCUAAAACCCAAAUAAAAAAUCUAAAUCUAAACUGUCACAGGUAGAGAACAACUGUUACACCAGGUAUGUCAUUAAGGACAAUAUGCCAGUUUAUGAGAAAACAAGUAUAUCCUGAACUAAAAUACAAAUAUAAAGGUGACAAUACCUUAUAAUCAGCUAAGGGACUUAGUUUAUGAGGCUAAUCCCAAAAUAGCAAAGGUCCUGCCAAUACGACUCAGAUUUAUCACAGUGUUUACUAAUUAGUUUAUUACUCAUAUUUUUACAUUCCUUUCUGCUAGAGACCAACUCCUUCUGUGUUUUUCACUUGGGGCAUGAAAAGUCCAGAAUUAGAUUUCUAAAUAUGUCUGAGAUUACAGAAUUACUAAACUGUAGCACUAGAACAGCAAGUCAUAUAAUAUACCUCAAUUCUUUUUAUUUUUCUUCUUUUAAAGUAAAGGAAUGCUAACAAUAGUUCCAACCCAAAUAGGUAGUUUUGUGUAGUUUUGUCAGUACAGAAUUUGCAUGCACUGCAGUUAAUGUCUAGACCCGCUGGAGUCUAAUUCUGAGUCAAUAAUCCACUGGAUUCACUUGGUUUGAAGAAAAAAAAUCUACCUUUAGGCUUCUAUCUAAAAUAAAAAAUAAAACAAAAACGAAAAAAAAUCUAGAUUUCUGCUUUAAAAGUCUAGAGAAAAAAACAGCCUGUUAUGCUGAUUCAUAACUGAUAUACUCAUUAGACUUUUUAGUGUUGUCUAGAUUUUGAAAUGUAAUAUUCAAUUUCAUUUAUGUGUUUUCAAGGACAUUACGUUUAAUUGAUGGAAUAUUUUAAAUGAUUUUUGUUUCUAAGAUAAAAUAUAUAACAAAAAUUAUUCAGUGAUGAUUAGCGAACAAAAUCCUUUUUAAAGUACAUAUAUAUGUACACCCUAUAAAAACUUCCUUUUUUUCUAGGACUGGCAUGUAAAACUAUUCAAUAUUAUGCUAGGGUUUGCCGAAUGAGUUGUUCCUUAUUUUAUUAUCCAAUCGGCCUAAAUGUUCUUCUGAUCCAGUCUUUAAAUUCCUUUCAUUUGGAGUUUCCUGUCUGCUCUGUAACAGUAUUACAGCAUAUUACUGUAGAUUGAAAUCCAAAUGACAAAACUGAGUUUUGGUUAUAGCUAAAUUGUGAUUAUAGCCAAAAAACUGUUUUAAUUUCAGUUCACUACAAUCCAGAGUUUAGUGAUUAAAUCUGUAUUCUGCUUGGUGGGUUGGAACGGGUUAAAGGAAUGUGGGAGAAGAAUCUUGGUAUACUCCGUUAUCGAAAUAUUCCAUCCAGGGACCUCAUAUGUUCUAGAUGUGCAUUUGUCAUGGACAGACUGGAUCCAACAGGCAAAUACUAAAAGAACAACGAGAAUGUUACCGGACUUUAGAAAUCAUAAAGAAUAGUACAAGACUAGCCGAGGUCAGGGAUACAGAAUUCAGAAAAAACUGAAGGAAAAGCCAAAGUUCAAGGACAAUCAGAAGGCAGAAUAGUCAAAGAUAAGCUAAGGUCAAAAUGCCAGAAUAUACGGGUUACGCGAUUACGCAGGCUGUGCGACAUCAUUUUGAUAUGAAGUCUUAUUACAUGGGGGUUUUUUUUGUGUGCGUUUAACUCUUCUUUAAAGUGCACCUGUCAUAGUCUGUGUUUGUUCCAUAUCUCUUUGGCUUAGUAGAAACCUUUUUAUUCAAAUGAGUCUUCUGGGCCAACAUUUAAAUAAAUAAAAAAUAAAAAAUUAUCUUCCACACUGGAAAAACAAAACACGAAACAAACUCAGACCAGGCAGGUUCAAUUUUAUUUCUUAUGUGUAGCCUAUCAUUAUGAAAGCCAUUAACUUAUUUCUGGAUUUAUUUACCAUUGAGAUUUAGGACUUGAUUCAACAUUUUGUGAUAUACUGUCAGUGCUUGGGACCCUGCUGCUGGACUGCCGUGAACCAAACCAUUCUCUGGGGUGAGAUAGGCUCUUUGCAUGUGAGUGGGAGAUGGGGCCAAAACACAGAAACUGGCAGAAGUAUGAAAGAUGAAGUCUAGAAUAGUUUAAUCAACAAGGCAAAAGCUGAUACAAGUCAUUAUACCCUUCAUGGACUAUAUACACUGAACACAAUUAUAAACGUAACACUUUUAUAUAAUUAUAAAGGCACACCUAUGCAAUAAUCAUGCUGUGUAAUCAGCAUCUUGAUUUGCCACACCUGUGAGUUAGAUGGAUUAUCUCGGUAAAGGAGAAGUGCUCACUAACACAGAUUUAGACAGAUUUGUGAACAAUAUUUAAGAGAAAUAGGCCUUUUGUGUACAUAGAAAAAGUCUUAGAUGUUUGAGUUCAGCUCAUGAAAAACGGGGGAAAAAACAAAAGUGCUGCGUUUAUAAUUUUGUUCAGUGUAGUUUUAUUAAUAGGAGCACACACCAAUGGCGAUUGUCACUAUAAUUUUUGGGUCCUUAUUUACAUAUUCAUUCUCAAUGACACAGCAGCAAGUGGUUGAAAAAGACUCACAUUCUUCAAGUUCAUCAAGUUCCCCAUUUCUGGUCCAAAACAAGGUAGACAAAUCUCACUUGACUUCUAGAUAUGGCUGGGGAUUCCCAAAGUAACAGCACAGUAAAUUAUGUAAUAACCCAUAUAAUCUCAUAUUCUACACAUCAUGAUGAAUUGAUGUUUUUGUAUAUUUGGAAGUUAGAACAUUGGGGCAGUUGAAUUACAGAGUAACAAAUGCAAACAUACAUUAUUGUUCACAGAGAUGAUUGAACUGCAACAGAAAAUAGUGAUAUGGAUCCAAAAAGAAGGCACUCACAGGACUUUAAAUUAUGUUUACCAUAUAUAUAUGCAAGUUUUAUUUGGGAAGCUAACAGAACACUUCAAGCACUAUAGCCACUACAGCUUGCUGCUGUGGUUAUGGUGCCAUGAGUGCCAUGGGGCCUCCUUUGUAAGUAGGUAAAUAGUAGUUUGACUUCUAACCUGUGGCUCCCUGCAUCCAGUUUCUGACAGAGAGCCAGAAGCUACUGCCUAGCAGCCUCUAUUAGCUCUCCUUAGCUAAGCCCUGCAUUUCAGGCCUAGUUCAUUGGCUGAGAUUGUCAGCUGAUCCCUUCAGUUAAUGAGUUAAGCCUUACACUGUGUGGCUUAUUCCAGAGAGCCUCAGACUCUCCGUUAAAAGUAGUGGAGGCAGGCAGCUUGAGGUGGUUAUAGUGCUUGGAAUAUUCCUUUGAAGCUAGUGUGUAAAAGCUGACCUUUGGAUAUGAGAUUAACAUAAAUGUGGACUGCAUGAUAAACUGAAAGAAAACUGAUUUUGUGUGUUCCUGGGAGGAAGGGUUAAUUGAUGGUACAUUGAUAUUUUGUGUCCAAAAUCCUCAAAUCACAAAAAUGUCAAAUAAAUAAUUAUUUUAGAUUUGCACUAAUAACAUACAUAAUACCUACUAUGUCACAUACUCUUAACCUGUGGUACAUGUAUCUCAGGAGGUACGCGCAACAUAAGCAGGGGGUAUUUCAGGAGCUGGCCGGCAGUGUGCUAAGGCAGAGGAGGCUCCUGCUUAUUCGGAAGGGGAGAAUGAAGGUGGACAGCGAGAGAACGCUGAUGUCUGUGCUAUUCCAGCAUGGCAGUAUACGGUGCUCGCUGACAACAGAUGUUUUUUACACACAGAAUUAACAUGUGACAUCAAGGCUGGACUGGGAACAAAAUGCAACCCUGGAAAUAAAAUUCGAUACCAGCCCAAUAAGGCGUCAUGCCAGCAUAGUGCCAGGGUGGGUAGAGGAUACAGAAGCUUCUCUACCCGCGUUUCACUAUGCCACAUGAGACACGUGGAGGUGCUGGGGGGAUAGAGGAGCUGUGGGGAAAUUAGACACAUGGAGAGGCUGGGGGGAUAAGACACAAGGAGAGGAAUGAGACACAAGGAAAGGUUUGGAGAGAAUGAGACACAAGGAGAGGCUGGGGGAAAUGAAACAUAAGACACAGAGGGGCUGGGGAGAGAAAAAGACACACAGAGGGGCUGAGGGGGGAAAGAGACCCAUGGAGGGGCUGAGGGAGAGAAAUAGACACUUAGAGGGGCUAGGAGGAAGUAAAAGAUGUACAAAGGGGGGUUGUAAGAGACACACAAAAGUGGUGUAGGACACACAAGACAUGAUCGGCCAUGCUCCAUGCAGUGACUGGCAGGAGGGGAGAGCUUCCCCUCCUGCCUGUCAUCUGGUGAUUAAGCCCCCUGGGCUGGUGUGCACUAAGCGGCCAUGCACCUUGCGAAGGCAUGCUUGCCCACUGGGAAAUUUUCUGCUAUCCUAAAGGGCCAGACCAGACCUGUUAGUCAGUCCGGAACAGAGUCAAGUGUGCUGGGGGUGCUGGGGGUGCUGCCAAAGUCAAGUGUGCUGGGGGUGCAACUAACCUCCAGCAUACAAUUAACAAUAACUCUGGUAACACUAUAUUUCCAGACUCCAACCACCAUGACCACUUCAAAUCACAGAAGUGGUCAUGGUGGUUGGAGUAACCCAUACAAUAUGCAAUACACAUACAACAACAAAACUACCUGAGUAGCAAAUGUAGUGUAAAGAAAUAUACAUAUAAAAAAAUAAAUAAAAAAAAAUAUAAGAAUGGUAAACCUGAUUGGCUAACGUUUCUUCUAUACAAGUAGACGGCUUGGUGAUCAAAAGGCUGAUAAUUACACAAAGAAGGGGAAGCUGUAAUGAGAUAAACGGUAUCUGCUGCUGUGGCAACAGGUUCCACAGCCUACAGAAUGUAUGUAGACAAGGAUUAUAGAACUUUCCUGUCUCUUGUUUUGUUUAUUCAACCCUUCUGUCACUAACCCAACAUAGUAAUUUAUUUCAUACACCUUAUGCCACUCAUACCGUCAUUCUUUUCUUAAGGAUGCAAGUCAGUGUAGAAAACCCACAGCUAAUUAUCACAGAUGUUUUACCCUUCAGCUAAAAAUCUCAGUGUAUUCCCAGGGUGAUACCCUUCAUGGAAUCCUUUAUGUUUUACGAGAAGACAAAUAUCGACGGUAUCCAUGAUCAUGCCUAUUAAUGCAACUUAAAUAAUUGUAGAUAUAGAUCUGAACUUUGACUCUACAAACACAAUUAUGUGAAUGUUAUAGGGGUUAAGGAUCACGAACAAAAAAAGAUAAAGACACUUUUCAAAUGUACCAUUAAAACAGGCAGAUUUCUACCAGUUUUUAUAAUGAAAUAAUAUCUUCAUUCAGAGUUCAUAGCUGCAUGCUUCCUGUUUACUGGAAGAAUGAGAGAAUUAAACUUCCUGUACACGUCUAGUAAUGAUGCAUACCUCUCCAUGCCCCAGUACUUAAAGCACGUUUGACAGCAUUUUAUGGUAAAUGCUUAAAAUGAAUCUAUGUUUUCUUGAAUAUGUUUCAAUGGAGACCAAGUGCUACAUAAAUAAUACACUGUAACAGGGUUAUUCACUAACGUGUCAGUAGUUGGGGAGUCCCGGUGAGUGGAAAUUUAGCGUAAAAUAGUGAAUGGGAAAUACCUAAUGUGGUGAAUUUUUCCAAUUUGUUUGUUGUUGCAAAAAUUUUAAAUUCCCUUUGAAUUUAGUAUGAAUCCUCUAAAAUUAACACGUUAGAGAAUAAUCUUGCAUCUUUAGUUGUAGACCUCUAAUGUACAUAAAAAAGAGAACAAAGUCAUAUGACAAGAUUACAAUUCAGGAGUCCAGAUAAAUAUCAAGGACUGAUGGAUUGUCUCCAAUAAAACGCCUGCAGUCAAACUCCUAGAUAGAGGGGGUAACCCUCAAACUAGCGCAAAAUUACAAUCAAAAUUACAAAAAAUAGGUGUUUAGGAGGACAACCAAAAAACUCAGAGGGAAGGAGGCCCUACCUUUAUUGCUUUUAGGGAAUGGGGUAAACCAAAAAAUGAGAAACUUAUAAAUAGGGAAGAAUUGUCUGAACAGUGCUCAAGGGUAUAAAAUGACAGCCACACAAUAAAAAAGGUGAUAAGAAGAUGCAGGAGCCUCUAAAUGUAACUCUAAUGUUAUAUAUACCCUGAGGCAGUUAACAAAAGAGAGGAAUAGGCAAAUCAACGAUGGAGGUAAGAGGAGAGAUGAGGAUAGGGGGUCCUAUAUGAGAAAACCCAUGCCCGUGGAGACCUCAAUGAUUCUCUCUCUAGGAGUACCUCAGGACCGUGGACAAGCCACUAGUGCUUAUCUGCACCACUCUCCCUAGCUUAGUCAAAAUAAAGCAAAAUAAAACUACCAAAAAGUCAUAGUGCAAAAAUAAAACUACCAAAAAGUCAUAGUGCAAAAAAAAAGUGCUACCAAGUGUAGUGAUUAAAAAGAAGAUAGUUCGACACGCGUUUCAGCGUGUCAGCGCGCUGUCGUCUGACAAUCUAAAUGACAUUAGAUUGUCAUGGCAGCCCUCAUAGGUACUCGAGGGUUCAAGCAGGCAUAAUAUAUUAUACAGAUGACAUGUUGUCUCCAAAAAUAGCAUAGAUAUCCAAGCAAAAGAAACAAGCAUUGCAAAAAUAGGACAGAUGAAUGAGAGGAAUAACAAAUUGUCGCAAAACCUACUACUGCCAGACAAGUGAGAGACCACCCACACCACUACCCGAAAAACAAGUAUUACAAGUACCCUGGACGCGUUUCGCACCUCUCAGGUGCCUUCUCAACAUUGUUCAAAAUGGUAAGUAGAAAUUCACCCCUAUUGAGUGUGCCAUGUACGGUACAGACUUUUAAGGCCUGACUAGUAGAGAAGAACUUGAAAUUUUAAUCCCUGGCAGAUGACAGUUAAAAUAUUGGUACUUGCACUGGACAGAGAUCUGUGGGGGAGUUUGCAAUAUUUUGGAGGAACCUAAACAUUCCCUUACAACCUUUUUAAAGUGGAAAAAGUUGAUGUAGUGAGUUAGAUAAUGUCUGUAAUAAGAAUAGUAAUUAAAAUGGAACUGGAAAAUGUGUCUAAUUUCAAAAUUAAGUCUAGAUAGCAAAAGUAUGUUUUUAGUUAUAACCCCAAUGUAAUUUUAUAAUCUACUAAAUUGUGAUUUUUCUCAUUUAAAAACUUUUUUUUUGUGUUUGGGCAGUGGAGUGUCCUCUGAAACCUUAGCAAUUUUAACGUUGUUACAUUGAUGUGGGAACUAGACUUUAAGAUUUGUUUUGGUCCGAACUGUAAUUGUGCCCGAAUUUAGGCCAAUCGGGUAAUGUGUCAAAUUCCCGAACUCUGAGAUAAAAUUUACCCGACUGUAAAAUAUAUAUUUUUUAUUAUGUAUAUAUUUUGCUGUACACUUUUUAGCCAAUUUUCGAGGCCUUUUGCAUCAUUUAAUUUGGUUCCCAGAUUAGAUUGUUGGCACCAACAUUCUUAGGAGCCAAACCAAUAUAAUGCCUAAAUUUGGGUGUCCCGACAAAAUGUUCUAUUUUUGCAAAAAAUGGUUUGGUCGUGCCCAAUUUUCUUGAUGUGCGCAGGUUUGCUAUGGACCUCAUAGGUCAGUUAUACUGUAUAACCAUUAAGAAAAACAAAGACUUCAUAAAAUAAUUAUAUAUAUCCGUUUGGGAGAUUUAUCAAUGCAAAAACUGGUGGCAUUCUGGUGUAAAAUGCUAAGUAGGGGACAAUCCCCAUGAAAACCAAUUCAUUGUUUCUCACUAUUUAGCACUUUGCUCCAGACUAGCACGUUAUUCCUUAACCCCUUAAGGACACAUGACAUGUGUGACAUGUCAUGUUUCCAUUUUAUUCCAGAAGUUUGGUCCUUAAGGGGUUAAUGAACCUCACAUUUCUGUCUGUCCUAUGCCCACUUGUAUAUUCUAAAAUAUAUAAUGCAUACUACUUCUAUCGUAUGUUUUAGCACAGAAAUUCUACAUUAAUAUAGAUAAUUGGUCACUUUGGGGUAUACAAUGGGAUAUGCAGCAGUGAGAGGGUUCAUUUGAAUGAGUAGGAAUAAAGAGCUAUGUAAAUUCAAUGUAGGUUAGGUACAGAGCUCAAAGGAGCAGAGGGGGAAGGGGUUAAGCAGCUGAUCAAAUCCCUUAAGAGACAGAGUGGUUUAAGAUAACAGGUGACUCUGGCUCGUAGGGACACACCUUUGUUUUACUAGCCCCAUAAUUAUGGCACAGGUUAAGAAGGAAAAAAAAGCUGUAUAAUUUACCUGGCCUGUAUGUUUUUCUCCUAUUCAUCUAGCACAUGGUUACCUAAGUAACUGAGAUUGGGGGGUUGAGGUUUACAGCAAACGGAAAAUUGAAGAAACAAAGACGUAGUAAAUUCUGCAUUUUUUCGUGGCCAUUUUGCUAUCUGAUGCACGUGAAAAUCAUCAAUCAUUUGCCAGUGCAAGCUGGUUAUAGAGAUCACUAGAAGUGUUAUAUCAUCAACAACUUACUCUUAACGUUUGUAGUGUCUUUUUUAAGAACUAUGUUUAGAUUCUUUCACUUGUGUACUUUUUAAUUUUGUAAAACAUUUUUUACAGGUAAUUUUGUUACAUCAAGUUACACUCACAUUAUAGAAAGUACAGAAACACUCAGAGCGCCAUAACUAGCACUGUCUAUGGUGCACUGACUUAUCCCCUGUGCAAGUCCACUGGAGAGGGUUGCCCUCACUUUUGGAGCUGGAAGCUUCUGCAGAGAGCUUUUGCUGGCUCCACUGAGCUAUCCCCUGCUGGGCAGUCAAGCAACGGCAGCUGGGCUCUUUUUAGUUUGCUCUGCUAGACUAGGUCAGCACAGAGUGCUUCGAGCAGCACAGGAGGAGAUGACGGGCACCCAGCACACAGGUAAGUUGUCAAAUGGUUUAAUUACUUACCCUAGAUGGCUCCAGGGCACUGCCGGCACCAUAACCACUACAGAGCCCAGUAAUGGUUAUGGUGCUUAAAGUGUUCCUUUAAAGAACUAUUUAUUAAAAAAUCGGUACAUAGUCAAAUCAACAGUAACACAUUUCUUUAUUCAAGCAAAUAAAAAAAUAUUUAGAUACAUUUGAGAGAGAGGGAAAAAUAAAGGGAGAUCCAUAAUCUCCCUAAACACUAACCCUGGCACAACUGAUCUGCUUUUAUGUGCACUGUGUGAAACUUAAGAGUGUCACCCUUCACCUUUUACUUAUUAUUUCUGUCCAUGUUCCCUCUUGGUGGUGUCCUCCUCCAUAACCACCUAUGAGUGCCCCUCUCCAUUUCCACCAUAAUAUGUAGUCCUCACCAUGCAUCCCCUUGUGAGUGCUCAUCUCUAUGUGCCUCCUCAUGUCCCUUGUGUGCCACUCUCCACUGCCCCCUGUUUGUGUUUUUCUAUGCGUACCUCAUGUGUGCUCCUUUACUUUUCCACCAUUGUAUAUGCCCCUUUCCAAGCUCACCAUUGUGUGUGCCCAGUGGUGGAACUACCAUGGUCGCAGGGGUAGCAGCUGUGAUCGGGCUUUUUGGAGUCACCAUUGUGUGUGCCCAGUGACAGAACAACCAUGGUUGCAGGGGUCACAGCUGCGACCGGGUCCCUCGGAGUCACUCCAAGGGGCUCAGCCGCCCUGCUGACCCCUGCAACCAUGAGCCGCCAAAGGUAGGGGCGCCUGGAGGAGCCCUCUCAUAGGGGGCCCAGGAGGUGGCCAUUUGGCCACCUUAGGGCACCCACAAAAUGACUCCUACACAGUGAGGCAGAGUAGGCAACUGCUUACCUGGAUGGUGAUAUUUGCUGCAAGGAGGUGGGGGAGAGGAGGCAAGCGGCGGCAGUGUGGAUGUCGAGGGAGGCUCUUCUGAGAGUACCUCUCUCCUUCCUCGUGCGCUCUCUGUGAUGCCGGGAGCUGCAAUAUGACGUCAUUCCGGCCCCGGCAUACUAAACAGCGCGAGAAAGCAGAGGGGAAAUGCUAGAUUAUAGCACAGCCCCACACUGGACUCCAGGAAGAGGACCCAAACCCGCUCUCUAAUAGGUAUGGAGGCUAGGUGAGCCUUAAAAAUGUAUUUGUGAGAGUGUGCAGGAAUGCGCGAGUGUGUCAGACAGUGUGUUUGUGUCUGUCAGUGUGUGUGUCUGUGUCUGACUGUCAGUGUGAGUGUCUGUCAGUGUGAGUGUCUGUCAGUGUGUGCCUGUCUGUCAGUGUGUGUGUGUGUCUGUCUGUCAGUGAGUGUGUGUCUGUCAGUGUGAGUGUCUGUCAGUGUGUGUCUGUCUGCCAGUGUUUGUGUGUUUGUGUCUGUCUGGCAGUGUGAGUGUCUGUUUGUCAGUGUGUGUCUGUCUGUGUGAGUGUCAGUGUGAGUGUCUUUCAGUGUCAGUGUCUGCCUGUCAGUGUGAUUGUCUGUCAGUGCGUGAAGGUCUGUCUGUCACAAAUGUAUGGGGCUGGGAGAGACACAUGGGGUGUCUGGGGGGUGGGUGGUGAGAAUAAGAUGUGAGGAGGGGCUAGCGGGGGGAUGAGACUCAUGGGGGGGGCCCAGUGCAGUUUUCACACCGGGGACUGGUGGUUUCUAGUUACGCCUAUGUGUCUGCCUGUCUACAUGCUCACUAUUGCAUGUACCUCUCUAUGCCAAUCAUUGUGUAUGGCCUUCUCUAUGCCCCCACUGAAUGUCUCCACCAUGUCUUUCACACAAUCUCCCCUUAUGCCUCCCCACCUUCUGUAGCAUGAUGGAGCUGCAUGUUGAUUGACUGUCUAAACAUGGACAGACUUACUCUGCAUGAAGUAAUGUGCAUUGUGUGUUCAGAGGGCAGAGACACAGCCUAUAAAUGUCACUUACAUUCUGCCACAUCCUUGUCACUGAAUGUGGAGUAGGCUGAGGAACAGUGGUCACUCUGUAACUUCCCAGUGGCCCACGCCUAUACCUGCCAAAUGAUCCCCAAUCUUGUAGGCCUUUGCAGCAGCAUCCCAUUGCGUUAAUGCCAUAUGCAUUCACCCAGGACACACACUCUAAAUGCCGCCCAUGGUUAGAUUGCUUUAACCUAUGGAGAUUUUGUACUGAAGAGUUAUAUUUUAUUUUGAUAGCUUUAUAACCGAUGGCUGACAUUUGCUGAUAUUUCACUUUCAUUAUUACAGAUCUGCACACUUGGAAUAUACCUUUAAUCUCGGGCAUUUAGUGGAGGAUUGUGUGAUGAGUGGAGAUGAUUUCACAUACAAAUUAUUAAUGUGAAGGAAGCUAGCACUGGUUCUCCAUCAACUGUUGGUAAAAAAAAUCAACAGACAAAAACAACUUUGAUGUUUUGUGAAACAGUAACAACAAUAUGUAUCUCAAGCUCCCAGAUGGGCUAAUUAAAACACAUCCAAAAAGCCAUGAUUUAUGAAUUAAUUAUUCUGACCUUGAAAAAAUCAUAAUAAACCAUUACGACCGUAGCAGAUCAUGUUUACUCUCUGAUAACUAGAAGAAACAUGCUAUUUGGCCUGCUUAUAUUUAAAUCACAAUUUUAUGUUUAUAUUGAUUAAAUUACCAUACGUUUGGUAUCUUGUAGUACAAGUUACUGACAAUGACUUUUAACAAGAUUUAACCACAAAAAAAGGGUUUUGAAUAUUUAAAGAUUCUUAUACAUACAGUAUAUGGACCCAGACAGCUUAAAGCUGCUCUGCCACUUUUCAGUACUUAAUAAACAUAUAAUCUUUAUGGAAUACUGAUUCUGACCCCGUUGGAAAUACCUGCACAAUCCAGCGAUAUCAAAAGACAAAAAAGGGACUACUUUGUCUCAUGGGAAAUCUAAAGUUGACAAAAGGCGGAGCUCAGCCGUCAACUUUUGUCCAAUCCCAGCAGCUGUCAUAAUUAAAACGGCUGUGGGAUAUAGACAUCCAUCUAGGAGGCUCCAACAGGAUCCUCCAUAGAACUUGCUUGAGAGUGCAGCACUGACGCAGCUCUGGGCAAAUGAAGCAUUAGGAACCAAAGAAGACAACAGCAUAAAGAUGGCGGCAGCUGCAAAGGACAGAAUGAGAGUUAAAGUUACCUCUCCGGCACCCCAUGGUCACCAGACACACCAGAUCUGUCACUUUUUAGAAUCUUUGUGAUAUAUGCAAAUAUCCCCCAAAUGACAGAUCUGCUUUAAGAAAGUCGAGUAUUUGUGUGUUUUAAAAAAAAAAAAAAUAUUAUAGUGCUUGGCUCCUGUAUUUAAGUUGAGAUAAAUGUGUAUAGUUGCAAGGUAUCUGACUUGUGCUCACCUUUCUUCCUGUGGGAUUUAUGGUUGGAGAAUACAUAUAGGUGUGUUCGUAAGUAAAACCAGAUAGUGCAGGUAUAUCGUAAAAUCAUUUUAUGGUGUAUUCUGUAAAUAGGCUUCAUUUGAUUCGUUCCAACGCCAUAACAUUUGAAUGUUUUUCAGUAAAUACCAACAUAAAAUGGUUUAAAAAUUCACAGUUGCCAACAUUUACAAUCAGACCUUUAUUCAAUAUGGUAGUGUGCUGAGAACUUCCUCCAUCAUUCUUCAUGUUUACCUUUUAUUUUAUUGUUUGGUUUCUUGCUUUUUUUAUUUUUUUGUUUUAUUUUUUUUACUACAAGUAAAAUAAAUAACUAUGGGGGUAUGUUUGAAAGAGAAACAUAUAGUGGUGUGAUGUAAUUACCAUAAAAUGAUGAGGUGGAAACUAGACUUUGGUACUUCCAAACUAAAUUAGUUAGAAUUUUUGAAAAUGUUUGAUUAUAUAGAAUUUUGGGCAAAAAAAAUGUAAACUUAAUUUCAGUUUGGUUCUAAAAUUUUGGUUGAUACUUAAUAUUGCCAUGUAAGCCCUACAAGCCGUAAAAUGAAGGAAAAUAGUUCUCAUAGUGUCCCUUUAACAAAAAUCAGCUUUUAAACUGUAAAUUAGUGUUUAAAAGGUAUUGCUAAGUGUAAGUAGCUACAAGCAGUAGCCAUCAGAAAACUUAUUCUGAAUGAACCAAAUUGGCUAAGCUAGCAUGCUUUUCAGUUUAUUCGGAUUUCAGAUAAAUUUCAGUUCGAAUUUCAAAAUUUAAAAAAUGCAACAAAUUUGCCGAAAAUUACUGAAUUACAAUUAGGACUGAACCAAAUCUCCAAGUCUCGAGGAAGCUUAAUUCCCUUGUUAAUCUAUGGAACAUGAAUCGCAAGCUGAUUCGAACUUUUAAGCUACUAAUAAUUAUAAAACUCUUACUCCAACUUUAAGUCAUUAACCACCAAACCUACUGUAUCAGUAUUGCAUGCUUAGGAGAUUCUCACACAAUUCUACAUGCUCUAUUAUGCUCAGUGGUGGAAAAAGUUGGUGAGAUUCAGAGCAGGAAUAUUCCUGACAAAAUCAAUUUUUCCAUGUUUCCCACAGACAAUUUUCUUUGCCUCCAUAACAAUAUGUUCAUUACCCUGGCUUUCCAAUCUUUUUUGCCUUGUGGUUAUCCAGUCUAACCACUAUCUCUUGAUACACAAUGUCCCUUGUUAACUAUUCUGCUCAGUAUCUCCCAUGUCCCCUAUCGGCCUUCUGUCUCUCUUGUGUUCCCCACAUGCCUUAUGCAACUUCCAUGUGCACCCUUUUACUACAGCCCCUCUGACCCUGUUGUUUCCUUGUAAGCAUUUGUACAUUCUCCACUGUCCGCCAUGUACCACAAUGUUUCUUGUUCAAAUGUGUACCAAUUCUACUCUAUGUCCCUCUUGCAGCUCACACAUCCUUAUCUUAUUGUCACAUUUUCCAAUUGUUUCCUUCCUUUGAUAUUCUUAUCAAUGGGAAUCUUCCUUGGCACAUUCUAAGAAGAAAUGUUAUAGACCUAUGUUCAUGUUUAUUUCAGGGCUGGGCUGCUAAUUAAGAAGAUUUCUUCAAUCCUGCCAGCCGGGCAAUGGUUCAAUGAACUGGCACUAGUUCUGCCCCUGAAUUAACUACAGAUGGUUGUGCAAUGUGAGUGGCAUAUAAUUGGGUUACUGGUUGAUCAUGCUUGAUUAUUAAUUGAAUAAAAGGUAAGUAUGUGUCUUUGUCAGUUUCUUCGACUUGCAGCCAAAUGGAUUCAACUUCACCCAAACAAAAUUGUGUUGUAUUUCAUGAUCACCAUGUAAAAAUGUAACAUGUGAAUGAGUGCAUUGAAAAAUAAAAAAAAAUAUCUAAAAAACAUUUGACUUAAAAUGUGCAAUUUUACAGAAUUUAAACUAUCUUUCAGAUCUCU